rnacentral:lncRNA from 1 species
GAAGACUCAAACCGAGCACUAGAAGUGUUGACCUGGUUUGACUUGGGGAAAAUCAUAUCAUAACUAUCCCGACGUAAAGUAUAUCUCCCAUGAUCCGAUGGAGCUUCGAACCACAGUGGCUCGUUCACACGUAACAGCUCAAGAAGUUCGUUCAUUGCAGCGACAGCUGUCUCGAUAAUGACAGAUUUAUCCACAUGCGUCACACUUGUUGACCAAUGUUGUGACAUAUAUUGUUGACCAGGUGCACUAGCACUGGGCUCCGUUCCAACGGAAGGCAGAAUUAGAUUUCCCAUGUAAUUGGUUAAGAAGUUGACCGCUCGUUCGUGCUGAAAGAAAAGGUUUACGAAAAUCGAUAAUUAAUAAAUGUCCCAAAUAAGUAAUCUCGUAGUGAUUACAUGUUUCUUGAAUAUAUGCUUCUACUCGUGCAAUUAAAUAAACUCGGACAUAAGGAAAACGACGAAACUUUUCAUGUGCAAAAUAUAAAGAUCUCGAUUAUUUAGUAUAUAAUAUAUCGAUCGAUCAAUCACACCUCUUCUUUCAGACGUGCAUUUUCGAUUCUCAAUCUCUGCAGAUUUUCGCGUUUCUCUUCUUCACAAACGCCUGAGCUAUUGCAAGAGGGACAAAAGGCGUUUUUCAGAGCCUCGUGCAUCGAAAGGUUCUCGAAAUGAAUUCUUUCGUUCUCCGAGCGGAGGGAAUUGCUGUCUGCUCUCUCGUUUUGAGCCUACAAAACAUAAUAUAGAAACAUGUAAAUAAAUCGUCGUAAAACGACCGUAGAAAAAUAUUUGCGUGCUCUGUAUAAAGAAUAAAGCACCUUUAUCUGAGUUCUUUUAUUUUGAAACCAGAACUUUAUCUGCUUUUGGUCAAGGCCGAGUUCUCUGCUCAAUUGUUGCCUCUGGUUCUUGUCCGGGUGCGGACAUUCGUUAUAGAAACUGCGUAAAUAUCAUAAAUCGGGAAACGGAAAAAUAUUAUAUAGAGAAAUUCUAUUUCAAGUGUCGUGUCUUUCGAAUGUACAGAGAAAUUUUCAGCCAUGCAAAUGAAGGUUUAUGAAAAAUCGAAAUGUAAAUGGAAUAAAAUUAUUUAGACAGAAAUUAUUCGUACGCCUCGAGCUGCUGAAUUUGUUCGGUAGUGUGACGGUGGUAUUGCUUCUUGCCCUCUCGUGAGUUGCAGUUUUCUUCGUCGCCCGAUCCAUUUCCUCUGUUAGACAAAUCCAUCUCUUCGUAUCAAACACAACAGCUCUUUUUUUUAUUCCUAAAAUUUUUCUUUAUAUAUUUAUAUACAACGCCUUCGUUUAGAACCCAAGAAAACAGACUCCCCUAAGUGAAAAAACUCGGGAGGACACAGUAUGAGUGAAAAACAAAUAUGUUAAUAAUUCUGCUAUAUGAAAAUAUGGGUGUCUUGGACUCAAUAUAUAGCUUGACGUAAACGAGAGGGAACGAGCAAAAAAAGAAUUCGAUGACGAUAUUCGAAAUAAUUUCAGAUACGAGAUACCCUACUGAAGGUGGGCGGGAGCUCACGGUCAACAAAAUCCUGCUGGGUAGAAAAUAUAUACAUCAUAGAAUACAAUUUACGUCUUUAUUCGAAAUAUCAAAUGCAGAUGCUAAUGAUUAAAUAAUGAUUAUGAAUGUAUGGCAGGAAUUCAAAAGCUUCCUUUUAUUGCAUUAGCUUAUAUGGAUUGGUAAUGAAUUAGUAAUUGAUGGUUUGAAUAACAAUUAUUCAGAAUCGGACAUUUCUUUAUUCUGAUGGUUCUUAUCNNNNNNNNNNNNNNNNNNNNNNNNNNNNNNNNNNNNNNNNNNNNNNNNNNNNNNNNNNNNNNNNNNNNNNNNNNNNNNNNNNNNNNNNNNNNNNNNNNNNAAAAGAAAAAAUAUAUUUAUCGCGUAUUUGUUGUCAUGAACUCAAUAUUACGGAGAAGACCUCAGUUUCCUAUUGCCGAGUGUUGUUCAGUUAUCCUGUAAAAAAAGUGAUUUCCUUUUUUUUCAACUAGUUCUUCGAGAAUAAUAAACAUACCUAUAUAUAUAUGGCCUUCGACUUCCUAAAACGAAAAGAUCGAAUAAAAGUUAAGGUUUAGUACCAACAAAUGAAUCAUUUAACAUCAUGUUCCAUCUAAAUUGAUACAUUUAUUUCCUCGAUGCUCCAUGCACGUAAAUCGGGAACAAGAACUUCCUUCUUUCUAUUAAAUAACAACUCAGUCCAUUCAGUUUCAAUUAAAUAUACUAUUAGUUCCAACAUAUUAUGCUGGAGUACUUUACCCCGGAAUAUCUUUUCCGAGGUUUAAAAGAUAAUAACAAGAUCUUAUGCUAUCAUACUUCAAUAAUUGCAAGUUAGUAACUAAGAUUAUGAAAAAAUGAAUUUGAGCCAUAUUUUUUUACGACUUUAUAACAGUCGAGUUGUCUGAACUUUCGAUGAUUAAGCCCUUCGUUUCAUGCAAGGUCACAAAGAGUAGCAUAUAUUCUCUGAUUCUUGCAUCUACCAUGCACAAAUCAUACCUAUAUUUUUUAGCAAAAUUUAAUUACUAACUUACGGUGAAACAUUGAAAUCUAAUCAUAUCCCACAUAGAAAAAUGUAUCAAUAAACAUAUUCCCAAUCGCGAAACACUUCGACAAGCAACGAAUAAUUAAUCGGGGUUUCAGCUGAUGGAAAUAGUUAUAUGCAAAUAUGAAUCAUGCAACAAGUAGUAUUGCAGUAAAAUUAUCACUACCUAAGUAAAAAACACAAGCUAGUUUCUGAAAACAUCUAUUAAUAGACAUUUACGUACCUUGUGAACGAAGUUAUUUUCUUUCUUUAUUUUACAAUUCAUCAAGAAAAAUCAACGUAGCUACGCAUUCGACUUUCCUAUAAUGAACAAGCCGUAUACAUUAUCUCCAACAUGGCUUUAAUUAACCAUUAAUUACACAUCACGCUCCAUCCUUUUGUAAAUUGAUACAUAUCUUUUUUUCCUCAAAGCUCCUUGCAUGAAAAUCGGGAAUAUACUUCAUUUAAACUAUCCCUUAGUCCAUCCAAUUUCGAUUAAAACUAACAGUACGAAACACUAUGAGUUCCAAUAUAGUAUGCUGAAGUCUAAUCGUAAGGUGAAAACGUAAAAACCUAAUCCCGAGAUAUAUAUUAGUUUAUCAAAUUUAUCAAAAUUUCACUAUUAACCUAAUUAAGGUGAAAUGUUGAAAUCUAAUCUCCUCCAACGCAGAAAAAUGUAUGCAAUGUCCGUAUCAAUAAAUUCUCGAUGACGAAGCACUACGACACGUAAUGAAUAAUCGAUCGGGGUUUCGGUUGAUGGAAGUAGUUUUAUUCGAGCAUCAAUCAUGUAACAAAUAACUAUUGCAGUAAAAUCAUCACUACCUACGGCACACACACACACACACAAAAAAAAAAAAAAAAAAAAAAAAACUAACAAUAGAACUUCAAAGUAGGUAGUGAUGUAAAAUCUUCACUUUUUCCCUUUUAUUUUUCUUUCCCAUCUCCGUUCUGGCAGCGUCUAAUAGGCAUUUCAAAUUAGGAAGAUAAAUUGCAGAAGAGCUCGCAAUGCCCAAAGGUACAACCUGUUGCAGCGCGAUGUACAAACAUCAAGCAGCAUUUUUCCCUCUUUUUUCUUCUUCAUCUUCACUUCUUCGCUUUUAUUUUUCUUUCCCAUCUCCCCCGCGGAGAAGAAACUGAAAAACACAAAAAAAAAUUACCGCGACAAUAGGGCAAGGGCUGCGCCACCGUUCUGGCGGCGUCCAAUAGGCAGUUUUCACCACUGCGCCGCCAGUCAGCGGCUUCUUCUUCCUCCGGCUGCCUCAUCUCCAACAGGUGAAAAAUGGACGAUUAUAAUUAUGCUUUGUUCGACACGACAAAAAAACUUCGAUCGUUUUGAGUAACAUUCUAAAACUCUAUUAACAAUUAAAUUUAUUAUUGUUUUUAUUUUUUCCCUUUUUAAAUUCCAAUCCGGACCAAAACCCCAUCCAUAUAUUUGUCAAAAUAAAAAUAUAGAUAAACAUCUAUAAAUUAAUAUAGUUAGAAUUGAUAAAAUUCUAUUAAUUUAAUGGAAUUUUAAAUACCGAACUAAAAAUUUAAUAUGUCUUUUUACGGAAUGAGGAUUAGAAAAAAAUAUUAUUUACGCGAGAUUAUUAAUGUAUCGAAGUUCUACUAUAAAACAAAGUCAUACGAGUCCAGUGAAGUAAGCAAAUCAGGUCUCCAUAUCGAACUUCUGCUGUAAACCAGAAUUAGAGCAUCUCCAAUGGAGAAGCAAAUCGAGUCUUUAAAUUCUGUUUUGGAGACUCGAUAGAUUUUUUUUUUCUUAGUAAAGACCCGAUAAAAUUUUAGAGUUUCUAAAAGCAAAAUCUCACAAUGAAGGAUCUGAUUAUAAGUCUCUGAAUCAUGUUACGUAGUAUUUUAUAUGGCAACGAAUAUAUGCAAGAUGGAAAUUACUAAGUGCAAGACCUAAAUAUAAAUAAACUUACUAAGAUCAAGAUUGGAAAUUACAAAUAUAACCCCAAUAUUAAUUUAGAUAUUAUUAAUUCAAAUUAGGCUAAUUGCUAUUGCAAGAUCAAAAAAAAACAAAAAAAAAAUAGAAUAAAAAAAAAGGAAAAAACGAGAGGGAACUCACUCCCCCAACAAAACCCCAACAUCUUCUUCUUCACACUCACUUUACACACUUUUUUCCACAAAAAAAUCUUCCAUAUUCUCUAAAACCCUCAUCACACAAAACCCUCAAAUCUUACUAAAACUUGAAAAGGACAUUAUGGAUACAAAAGACAUAUAUAUGGAGGAUUCUAAGGUCGAAGAACACAAAGUGGUAAGAAAUAUUGUACUUUGUGAUCGUUUUUCUCGUUUUUCGCACCUCAUUUCACGUACAAAAAAUUCAACGUGUACAGGUCGAAAUAUGCUCCGAAUAUCGACACACUAGUGUCGAAAAUUUCAACAUAAAUCGACAGUACUCUUUUACUGUCGAUUUUUAUUGAAUUUUCCGACACUAGUGUGUCGAUAUUCGGAGCAUAUUUCGACACUGGUGUGUCGAUUUUUCACUGUUACAAUUGUGUAACCAAAUUUCCGAUUUUUCUUGCAGAGUUUUGUACCUAGCGCGUGUAGUGGACCUAAUGCAUGUAGGGAAUUAGCUUUGGAUUAUUCACAUGAAUUUACCAUCCAUGAGGAGUUUGCAACAAGGGACAAUUUAGUCACAUGGGUGCGCGAAGUUGGUAUGCGACUAGGAAUGAUAAUGACGGUAAAGUGGGUAUGCGACUAGGAAUGACAAUUUAGGACUCCCAUUCCUAGAGAUUGUGGGUAUUACUUCUACGAAUAAAACGUCCUAGAAAAGGGUUCAAUUGCUUAUGAAAUUGCGGGAGAUUACUCAGCCCGAGAGUAACUCUCUCAUUGAGCCAAUGCAAAAGGUUGUUACCAAAUGUCGUCCCGGAAAAAUAUUGCGUAUUGAUAAAUCAACCCGACGCAACCCAUCCAAAUUUGAGUACGAGCUUAAUUCAAGCAAAGAUAGUUGUUCCCCAAAGAUAGUUUUUUUGAAGUUUUUAUCUCAUAGUUCAUUUUUUGGUUUCUCAUUUAGUAAUACGUGAUAUUGGUUAAACAUUGUAGAUUAUGACUCCUGAGAGUUGCACUCCUAUUUCUGGUAUCCAAAAGCAACGUGAAUAGCUUAUGCUGCAGCCGAUCACUGUAUCAAUGGUAACCGACAUCUUCAAUCGAAGCACCGGUAAAUCGACGGUGUUGGAAAAACUACCGGUAAUAUAUAGUAAGGCGUAAAAAUAUAUCAGUAGAAUAUCGACACCUCCGUGUCGAAAAAAACAACAAUUCUCGACGAAUUAGCGUCGAAAUAUGUCACAUUUUUCGACAUCAACAUGUCAAUAUUUAUCAUAUUUUUCAACAUCAAUAUGUCGAUAUUUCACUGUAAUUUUUUUUCCCAUUCUAUAUUACUAAUUUAACCUUCUUUUGUGCAGGUUCGAAAAAAAACUACCAAUGAUAUAUAUAUUAAACAAAUACAUCUGAAGUUCCGAAGAUAUGUUGGAGAUAUAAAAAAUGUUGCGUCGAAUGGUCAUUGUGGAUUUCGGGCGGUUGCAUCAAUGAUGGGCUUUGGGGAAGAUAAUUGGAGUCUAGUACGAAGAGAUUUGGUCGAUGAGCUCAUUAUGAAUGAUGCUAUCUACAUGAAUAUCCAAAAAGUUCGAGAUACGCUUGAUGAAUUGGAAGCGAAAAUGAGGUGUUCGGUUACACCUGCCCCUUAUGAAAAUUGGAUGUCGUUUCCGGAUAUGGGUCACUUUAUUGCGUCUAAAUAUGACAUUGUGCUCGUAUUGAUAACGCAGCUGCAGUGUCUUACAUUUCUCCCACUCUCUAGUGACCCCGUGCCAGAUGAGCAAAGACAAGAGCAUGGGAUAGCGCUUGUUGAUGGAAAUCAUUUUGUGCAUCUUGUUUUGAAGAAGAAUUGUCCUCUGCCCCCUGUAGCAGAUUAUUGGAGGCGAUACCACCACCCUAGAGCUAGUGCUUGGAAAACUAUUGAUAUGGAGUCUAGAAUUAUUGCUUUUAAAGAGUUAGUUAAUCGUAAUUACGUAUCACUACAAGAGACCAUAUGUAUUGAUAUGUAGAAUUGGUGCAUUAAAUAUAUUUUUGAUGAAAUAUAUAUAUAUAUAUAUAUAUAUAUAUAUAUAUAUAUAUAUAUAUAUAUAUAUAUAUAUAUAUAUAUAUUUUUUUUUUGAUGAAAAAAUUAGUUAACUCGUCCAUUAUAAUUUUUUAUCCAAAACAUCCAAAAUCAAUAAAAACAUCCGAAAUCAACAAAAAUAUCUAAAAUCAUCUAAAAAUUAAAAACAUCCAAAAAAUAAUCAAAAUCAUCCAACUAUCUACUUCUUUCUAAGUUUAUUCCUCUGAAAUGUUAGUAACGGUAGUGGAGCGGUCGACGAUGGUGGAGCAGUUUGGGGAAUACGCGGUUCCACUGAAAAAUUAUAAAUAAAAUAUUAAUCAUUUAUAUAGAAUAAAAAAAAAAGUUUGCAAAAAAAAAUCAGUUUACCAGUCUUUUUUCGACAUCUCAAUGUCGCUAUUUGUACAAAAAGUCGACAUAAGCUCUGUGCCGAAAAUUGUAAAAAAAAUCGACACAGCAAUAUCGAAUUUUCUCUCAAAACACGACAUUAGGUUUAUGUCGAAUUUUUGUACAAAUAUCGACAUUGAGAUGUUGAAAAAAGUUCCAAUAAUCAACAAUUGUGUGUUGUCAAAAUUAGAUGAAAAAAUCGACACCAAUAUGUCGAAAUAUUUCCAAAAAAUCGACAAGUACAGGUCAUUUUUUGUAAAACCGCAACUCCUUCAACAAUAGUGUUAGAAUCGAACCCUAAAAUUAUCAACUAUGUUCUAAAAUGACUUGUAUUCAUUAUUCUAACAAUAAAAUUAUGUUUAUCACAUUUUAUUUCUCAAAAAAGUUAAUUCAAAAAGUAAUUUCCUUACUUGCUUUUCGUGAUAUUGUUGUGGCGGGGUUGGGACAACAACAGUUGCAGGUGGGAGGUUCUAGUGGUUGUCGACUGCAACGGCGACGUGGAAGGUGGUGGACUUCAACGACGACGGCGACGGCGACGGGGCGACGACGAAGGGCGACGGCGAGUGCUGCAAUUGAUUUUUUUUUUGUUUUCUUCCCUUCUUCCCUCCUCCUCGUUUUUCAAUUCUCGUUUUUCAAUUUGUUUUUUCUUUCUUUUUUUAUUAAUUUUUCUUUUUUUAAAUUGGUCUUGCAAAAGUAAAUUAAUAAAAUAAUUUUUAUUUUGUUUGUAUUUUAUUAAGGUUAUUAUAGUCUUUUUAUACUUAAUUUGAUAAAAAAAAUUAAUUUGGUCUUGCCCUAAGUAAAUUUGUGAUUCCAAAUAGUCGCUGCCAUUUUAUAUAGCCUUUAGAUUAUGGCUCAAGUUUUACUCAUAUACAAUGUUGUAGAAAAUUAAAUUUUUUUGAACAACCUUAAUUAUUUAUAUAUAUAUAUCGAUCCAAAAAAAUAUUUUUUUUAAGAGAUAUGAAAUGUUGAACUACAACCAUUAGAUAUGGUUUCAAUUAAAAUAUUAGUAGCCCCCAUGGGUGUAGCUCAACUGGUUCCGGAGGUAUCAAGUUGGUGCAAGGUCCUAGGAUCGAAUCCUGGCAGCCCCAAUAUGGGAAUUUCAACUCCAAUGAGGGUUGGUUCCUUGUGGGCACAAGGUCCGGAUCCGCUACCUUAACGAGCCGUUUAGUUACCAGGGCCAAGGCCCUGGGGGCGAGGAAUUUCGCCUUUUGGUGCAAUUAUCCCUCCUGCCCUCAAUUCAUUUUUCUCCAUGUUCUUCGCUAUAAAACUUUUCAAGUAUUGACAGCCAACUCAACCUUCUACAUAUGGAGAUCAGAAAAAUAAGAGACCGUCGAAGCAGGAAGUUGGCCGAAGUGGUGAGGCCUGGGAGUGGUGGAAAUACGCCUGGAAACUUCAAAUUCCCCCAAAAAUAAAAAUCUUUCUCUGGCAUUUCUGUUCAGAUAUAUUGCCCACGAACGAGAAUCUUUAUCGUCGUAAAAUAUCUUUUUCUCCACAGUGCAUGAGAUGUAGAGUUGGGGUUGAAUCAGCAUUACAUGUUCUCCAAUCUUUCCAAUCUUGUCGAGCUGUGGGCGAUAUUUGGAUAUGCCCGCCAUUUGAUCAACUAAAAGUGCAUUCAAUCCAAUCUUAUUUGCAAUUAUUUGAGCUUCUAGUAACCAACCUCGACUAGGAUUCGCUAAACUUGGCCACUACGAUUAUGUGGAAGUGUUAGGACCAACAAAACAAGGAAAUGGACGGGGAGAACAGUCUACAAGCGGUCACAGUUUUGGGUUAGUGUAGAGACUACCUCAAGGAGCAUUCAGAACAUCAACUGUGUUCGUCUGUCACACAACCUCAACGACUCCCUAUGAAGUGGAAGCCACCGGACUAUGGAGUGAUCAAAAUUAAUGUGGAUGCAAGCUUUCCGCAAGGUGAGACAUAUUAUGCUACUUCACUUGUCGCUCACAAUUCUAGGGGCGAAUGCGUGUUUUGAAUGGUUCACAAGUUCGUCGGAUGGCCUACGGUGGUAGAUGGAGAAGCCCAUGCUAUUCUCAGGGCAUUAAUCACAACACAAGAAAAGGAGUGGCCGAACAUUAUUGUGGAAGGGGACAAUUUACAGGUGAUAACAGCGCUUUGGGACAAGAAUCAUUCGGUUCUUCCCGUAUGGGCCAUUCAUUGAACAAAGUCUGUCUUUAUCUAGAGUCUUUGUAUCUUGUACGUUUGAUUUUAUUCGACGAUCUGGUAAUAAAUUGAUUCAUAUGUUUGUGUCGAGCUAUGGUCAUUCUUGUAGCGAGGGAGCAACCCUACCUUCGGACUUGGCGGAUAUUGCCCAAUAAUAUUGAUCGAUUAUUCUCUAAAAAACUCAACCUUCUACUUCUAAUUUCUUCAAUUCUCAUUCACUACACCUAAAUCCAAUCAAAUUCCCUUAAAUUUCUACAAUCAUUGAAAAGAAAAGAAAGAAAAUAAAACUCACAAUCUGAAAAUUUAGAAGUGGUGAAGAAGAUCAAGAACAAUUAGAGUUAUUUAUGUUUUUUUUUCAUUUUUUUCUUACCGUUGAAAACCAACAGUCAUAUUUGCAAAUCAUUCAAAUUUUAAUUUUUAUUUAUAAAAAAAAAGUCGGAAAUCAGAAGUUUAAUCAAAAUUAUAAGCUUAACAUUUAAUUAAAUUAUAUAUAUUGCCGAUGGAAACUAUUUUAUCAUAACUAUCUCGAUGCAAAGUAUAUCUCCCGUUGCGCAAUGGAGCUUCGAUCCACAGUGUCUCGUUCAUACGUAAGAGCUCCACAAAUUCGUUCAUGGCUGCAACAGCUGUCUCGAUAGUGACGGAUUUAUCCAGCUCGUGUGUCGCACUUGUUGACCAAUGUUGUGAUAGUGAAUUGCAUGUUUCUUGAAUAUAUAUGCUUUUACUCGUGCAACUAAAUAAACUGGAUCAUAAGGAGUUGCUUAUUCAAUAAAAUUCCUGAUAAUUACGAAACGAAGAGAGUACGAAUUCAAGCUAAAUGCAUUUCAGACCAUUGAACAGUAAGUUCUAAAUAAAUAUAUAAAUGAAUAUUAGUAACUGUUUUAACGGUAUAAAAAUGAAAAAAAACAAAACAAAAAGUAAGAUUUAAUGAAAAAAAAUAAAAAUAAAAUUCGAGAAGAUAAAAAAUCCGAAUUUAAUCACGAUAAUCAAGCGCCGCCUUGAUCUUUUUAACGGUGGAGCUGAUUAGGGUAUGCACGGUGGCGACGGACUCCAUAUUCAGUUGCGGUGCCAAUUGGUUGUGACAAAUUAAUAUCUGGAAAGCAACUGUGAGAAGCGAGCCACCGCUACUGGUGUUAGAACUGGUCGAAGCUCCGUUGGUGCCUCUUCUAGCACGGCCAUUGGUAGAGAUCACAAAACCCGACGGCAGAAUCGAUAUUUUUGUUGCGUCGUCCCCAUUCACCGCAGAGAGGAGCGCUUUUAAAUCCAUCGGGGCGUAGAUUAUUGCUGCCCCUAGUGAGUCGAUGCUACUCUCUUGCAGCACCACCAUCUUGUUUUCUUUGGGUACAAAAGGCUGCAGAUUUAAAAUAAAUAAAAAAUUAGUUCAAUGAUAUUAAAUUAAAGUUAAAAAGAUAAUAACAAAUUGUUAAGUAAACUUUAUUGUGCUAAUUGUGUGUUUGAUAAAUUGCGUCGUGUCUACACUGAAAAUGCACAAUAGUUCCAGUUUUGGUAUUGCAAAUGCAGUGCGACGACAAUUUAUGAUGAAUUCUGCACCGUAUUUGAUCUAAUAGUGCACACGUAAAUAUUUAUUUCAAUUCCGUUUUAGUGCAAAUGUAGGUGGAUAUCAAUUUAUGAUAAAUUAACAAUUAAUCAAACUACGCUGUUCGAAAUCAAUUCACGAGUAAACGAACUAUAACACCCCAGCAUUUAUCAAGGCACUAAUUAAUUUUAUUUUCAUACUAUCGAUCACAUUGACUGAGAAGCUUAUGGUACAUUUAUCGGCCUUCAAAUAAUAAAUAAAUAAAUUAAAUAAAUCGGUAACUAACCUGGAUAAUGGAAAUACGAUUUCCGGGACGUGUCCCGGUUGAGAUAUGUGCAACAGGAAUUACAGGAUUCCCAUUGGAUAAGACAUCCCACUGCAAAUAAGAUAUAAAUACAUUUUAGUUUUUCUAUCUCAUUUCCAAUUAUUUAAUGGCUGUGAAUGAGUUCCAAGGUCCUGCUAGUUCCUGCAUGAUCUGUGUUCUUGUGAGAUGUCCGUACUUGUUUUCCCAGAGGACAGUCACCACAUGACUCAGGUGUGUCAGUCUUCAGUUGUGGUACCCCUUUCACGCAACCUGUAUUAACGAGACGGAUUAGAUCAUGAAAAUUUAAAUGACCUAGUUUUCGAUGCCAGAGAUCAGUGAGAUCAGAAGAAGUGUGAUGACAUUGAUCCGAUUUGUCAAUCUGAUCAAUUUUGUAGCAAUUGUCUGACGACCUGUAUCCGGUUAGAACACAAUUUUUGUUUUCAUCAAAUCCCUCACACUUACGCUUUGUGAACAAUACAGAGUCGUAUAGAUCACACAACUGACUUACACUCAGAAGAUUUGAUUUCAAACCUUCCACAUAUAGAACAUUGUUCAAGUUUGGCAAUCCUCCAACAUUCAAGUCUCCUUUUCCCUUUACAUAAGCCUUAUUUCCAUCUCCAAAAGUAACCUGUCCACUAGACAUGUUAUGCAGAUUUGAUAAGAAAUUCCUUUCACCUGUCAUGUGUUUGGAGCAUCCACUGUCAAAAUACCAAGAGUUAGUAGCACAUGCAUUUAAAGAUAAAAUAGCUGACCAGCAGUUAGUACUAUCAUUUGUCAUCCUUUGUUUAUAAGAGUUGUUACUUUGAGAGUAAGUAACCCACGCAGCGGAUUUGGAUGUCUGAUAUGCUAACUGUUUAUUUAUCAAUUUCCAUCUUUUAAAGCAUUUAGGCCUGACAUGCCCUAAUUUGUGACAGAAGUGACAGAUAGGAAUAUACUUAGUAGGAAAGGUUUGGUUGUUCACACAAGAAGAUGUGGAAUUGACAAAUCAGAUUUUCUGUUUUGACCCUGUGUUAGCAUUAGAUUGUCCAUCACUAUACCCUAAUCCAACUCUUUUGGAAUUGGAAGGAUGAGCAUUUAUGAUUUCAUCUAAUCUAUUUGAGGGAAGAAAUGCAGUGCGAUUUAACUUACUGACAGAAGCCUCAAACAUUGUGCUAACAGGCGGUGAAACAUCUUGGUAAUCAUCAGCAUGCACUUUUGGAAAAAGAUUUUUCCUCAUUCUUUUUGCUCUUUCACCAUCGUAGUCCUGCCAAUAUUUCAACAAAUCUUUGAGAUUGUCGAUGUCUCUUUGUGCAAAGUCCUGUUCCACUUCAAAGACUUCAAUCUCCAUCUCAAGUUCAUCAAUCCUGUCAUUCAGUUUUGUGAUAACUCCUUUGUUUUCUUCCUCUUGUUCUAUGAUUCUUUCUUUCAGGAGUUUAUUUUCAUUACUAACUUCAUGACAUUGCUUCAGGAGGUCAUCCAAUUGUUUUUGAAAUUGUUGGAUGGACUCUUCACCUUCAUCUUCUGAUUCGUCACUCCCUGUGGACAGAAAGGGCAUAUUUAGAUUUUCGUAAUUUUCAUUUUCCUGUGUGACAUACCUGAGAUGUGGCGGUUCUGUGCACGUGAUGUCCUCAAGUGUGGCAUCUGUGAUUCUGCAAGUUCCACAUAAAUCAUUGUUUGUAUCAUCGUCACUAGCUUCACUUUCAUCAUCAGACUCUGAGGUGUCAUCACUCCAAGUUGUGGCAAGUGAUUUUCCUUGUUUUUUCAGAGUGUUAGCACAUUCUGCUUGGAUAUGACCAUAACCAUGACAUUCUCUACAUCGAAUUCCCUUCUUGACUUCUGGCUUAUCUGUAGAGAUCCUGGGUUUUCUCUCAGAGAUUGUAGGAUGUCCAUUUCUCUUGAUGAAUCUCCCGAAAUUUUUUGCUAUUAAGGACAUGGAUUUUGUGAGCUUGACUUCAAGUGCUGACAUAGGAACAGUAGGCACAGAUGUUGUGGUGUCCGAUACAGUUUGCAGAGCGAUUUUCCUUUCCUUGUCCAUUCUGCUGAUGUUCAACUUGUUUUCAAAAGUUUGUAGAUUUCCAAUCAGAUCCUCAAGUCGCAAUGAGUCCACAUCACUUGCUUCCUCUAUGGCAGUGAUCUUGUACGCGAAUCUGUCUGGCAUAGAUCUGAGCACUUUUCGUACAAGUUUAACUUCAAGAUAAGUUUCACCGAGGCCAUGAGCUUCGUUUGAUAUGUCACAUAAUUUGGAGUUAAAUUCGCUCACGGUCUCAUUUUCUUCCAUGCGAAGAUCUUCAUACCGGGUGGCAAGCAUUUGAAGUUUGGAUAGUCUGACUGAAGCAGUUCCCUCGUACGCUGUUUGGAGUUUCUCCCAUGCUUCUUUAGCACACUCACACGCAGAGAUUAUCUUGAAUUGAUUGAUAUCAAUUCCAUUGAAUAUAGCAUUCAAGGCCUUGGAAUUCAUGUUUGCUGCAAUUUGUUCGGCUUUGCUCCAGUCUUUCUCAUGCUUCUCAGUUUCAAUCCCUUUCUCAUCUGUGGCAACGGGUCGCUUCCAUCCAAUUAACACCGUUCGCCAUGCAUCUUCGUCCAUUGAUUUUAUGAACAUCUUCAUCUUAGUCUUCCAAUAGGAGUAGUUGGUUCCCGUGAGUAGUGGUGGGCGAGUCGUGGAACCUCCUUCCAUAUGAGAACUCAUAGUACCUACGAAUAAUAAAUGGCAAAUAAAUCAAAUUCCCAAAAUCACACACUAUGUAUAUCUAGUGAGAGGCUCUGAUACCAAUUGUUGAUUUAUAUGCCUAUAGAAAUCAGUUGACCUAAGUUGUAACAGUUAAGUUGUGGAAACAGUAUUUAGUUACAACUGUAAAUCUUGUGUUGGCACAGUUAUACUCUACUUAAAGUAAAUAAACAGAACACAAGAAUUAAUGUGGUUCAGACACAAUUGUGCCCUACAUCCACGUGGACCUGCAAACACGAUUUCACUAGUUCAGAUUUACAGUGUACAUUAAUAGGACUUAUUAAAAACACUAAAGACUCCCUCUUUAUGUAAUAUGCCGUUCUUGUACACAACUCGAACUCCGUGUUUCUUCCAACAGCAGCUCCACACCGCGUGCCUAGAACUCCUUUCUGGCCUGAACUCCCUUCAGUGACGCGGUUGAUCUCCCAAGAGAUCUAUACAGCCAAUCUGUAUAUGUUGACACAUCCAACGAUGGCACAGUUCUGUUCAGCAGAACGUUUCAGCGAUUCUUCAAAGCAACGGAGUGAUUUUUCUCCCAACAAAAAGUGUCACGGUCUUUGUGAGGUGAGGAGCCUUAUAUAGGCGUGAGAUCGGCCUCAAAAGACCUGUCUUCCAAAGGAAUCGAAUAACUAGGAAACAAAAUCCUAGUCAAUAUCUAGUUCUAAUCUAGAUAGCUAUAAAAGAUUCCUAACAAGAGUAAAGUACAAGGAAAUAAAUCUAAGUCCUAAAGUAUUACAAAGGUAGGACUCUAAAUUUCCAAAAUAAACAUGGGAACAAAUCUUUAGCCAAUCUUUACUUCCCAAGUAAGGCGGAUUUCUUCCUUCGUGGAAAUCUGGCGCCAACAAAUAAGUCCCAAAUAAGCAAUCUCGUAGUGAUUGCAUGUUUCUUGAAUAUAUGCUUUUACUCGUGCAAUUAAAUAAACUCGGACAUAAGGUGUUGCUAUACUUGCUAAAUACGGAAAAUGACGAAACUUUUCAUUUGCAAAAAUAAAGAUCAUGAUUGUUUAGUAUUUAAUAUAUCGAUCAAUCUCACCUCUUCUUUCAGACGUGCAUUUUCGAUUCUCAAUCUCUGUAGAUUUUGGCGUUUCUCUUCUUCACAAACGCCUGAGCUAUUGCAAGAGGGACAAAAGGCGUUUUUCAGAGCCUCGUGCAUCGAAAGGUUAUGGUUGUCUUGGACUCAAUAUAUAGCUUGACCUGAACGAGAGGUAACAAGCAAAAAAAGAAUUCUAUGACGAUAUUCGAAAUAAUUUCAGACACGAGAUACCCUACUGAAUGUGGACGGAAUCUGAGGGUCAACAGAAUCCUGCUGAAUAGAAAAUAUAUACAUGAUAGAAUAUAAUUUAUGUCUUUAUUUGACAUAUCAAAUGCAGCAGGGCCGGGCCUGACCUUUUUAAUGCCCGGGCCGAAAAAGAUAAAUUGUGCCCUCGAUUUUAUUUUUCUAUAAAUCCUUUUAUAAAAUAAUGAUAAAUUAUAAAAAAAGAAAUUUAAAUAUCAACAAAAUGCUGUUUAAAAAUAUUCAACAAUAGAAAAAACCCACAUAUUAAAAAGAAAUUGUCAUAACAUUUCAAUUUUAACACAACACAAUGAGAUAAAAAAAUGUUUGAACUCCCAUCCCAGCAAAAAAAUGUUUUUUCUCCCAAUCUUCCAUCAUCAGCUUUCAAAGAAAUUAUCACCUCAUGUUAUAGCUAAACACCUGCAUAUCAAACAAAAUAAGUGAAAUAAUUCAUUGAAAAUGUUUUCGAGUUGCACUUUUAGAGGCAAAGUCAUCAAUGAUAUCGUCGUACUCAAUAUUUUCCAACAUAUCUUUUUCAAUAGUUAAAAGUGCUAACCCAUUCAACCUUUCUUGAGACAUUGUGGUCCGUAAAUAAUUUUUUAACAAUUUUAAUUUUGAAAAGCUUCUCUCUGCUGAUGCCACAGUGACGGGUAUUGUCAACAAAAUUCUAUAAGCAAUCAUCGCAUUUGGAAACAUAUCAAUUGUUUUUACAAACUCUAAAAUUUGAAAAGAUGUCCAUGGCUUAUUUGCAUCACAUGCUUCAUUCGGUAACAUCACUUGCAACACCUCUAGUUCAGAGCAUAAAUAUUUUGCAUCAAUAUCAGAACUCUCGCCAUGUCUUAAAGCAUUUUCAAGAUUCACACAAGAACUCAUCAACUCAUUACCAUCCAAUGAAAUCAACUUUGCAACAUCAAAUAAAAAACCAAAUAUUGAUUCAAAACACUGCAUUUGUUCAAACCUGCUUCUCAAUUGACCAAUAGCAAUAUCCACUACUAGAAGAAAAUAAUCAAUUCUAAAAGAUUCUUCCGCAGAUUGAUUUUCCCUUUCGGUAUUAGAAAUCUCAUCAAAAUGUCUCUUUCUAGCAAUUCUACGUUUCUCGAAAAAAAUUGGUUCAAUUUCCAUUUGAGAUGCUAUUUUUUUAGCGUCAAUCAUAGCAGAAGAAAAUCCAUUUUCUCUAUACAUUUCAAAAAAAGAAACAAGCCCAGUUAAUUGUUUUAUAGCAAUAUCAAGACGCAUAUCCUCGGAUUGUAACUUUUUGCUAACUAAAUUAAUUUUAUGCAAUAUAUCAUGCCAAAUAACCAAGCUCAAAAUAAACUCAAAACUUGAAAGUUCACCGGAGGCCAAAGUGUAAGCAUCCCUACUUAAUUUCGCAUCUUCACUAAUUUCUGCUAAUUUAAAUAAAACUUCUCUUAUUUGGGAGACUUGGGACAAUAUUGCCUUAACAGAUACAAUAUGACUUUCCCAUCUUGUCAUGGACAAUGAUUUCAAAGUUAAUUUAUCAAUAUAAUCAAGCAAAACAUUCCAUCUAUUUGUUGAAUUAGCAAACACAUUAUAUAUACAUUGACAUGCUCCAAAAAAUGAUUUUGCUCGAGUACAAGAAUUUGCCAUAUCACAAAUAGGGGUGUAAACGAGCCGAGCCGACUCGUGAGCUUGAAGAGCCGGCUCGUAAAAAGCUCGAACUCGGACUCGAGAUUUUCGAGCUCGAGCUCGAGCCGGUUUUCAGUUGUUCAUGAGCUCGCGAGCCGGAUUUAUUAUUAUUUUUUUAUUAUUAUUUUUUAUUUUUUAUAUGUUAUUUUUAUUUAAAUAAUGUAAAAUAUUAUAAAAAUAAAUACAAAUAUUAAAAAUAUAUAUAAUUACAAUUUAGUUUUUAUUUUUUAUUUUUUUAAUUAAUUUUUAAUAAUAAAAUAAUAAUUAAAAAAAUAUUUAAAAAAAUAAAAAAAAAAUAAAGACAAUGGGCUCGAGCUCGAGCUCGACAAAAUUGACACGAGCUCGAGCUCGAGCCAAAAAAAGAGGAGCUCGCGAGCUCGAGCUCGAGCUCGAGCUCAACAAAAUAAACUCGAGCUCGAGCUCGAGCCAGCCAAAAGAGGCGAGCUCGGCUCGAGCUCGGCUCGUUUACACUCCUUAUCACAAAUAACUAAAUUAAGACAAUGAGAACCACAUGGCAUGUAAAAUGCUCUAGGAUUAAUAUCAAGCAAUCUUCUUUACACACCUUGAUUUUUACCUUUCAUAUUAGAUCCAUUAUCGUACCCUUGCCCCCUCACAUUAUCAAUAUCAAGUCCUAAAGAUUGUAAGACAACUUGUAAUUCAUUAAAAAGUCCUAAUCCCGUUGUAUCGUCAACAUUUAAAAAUUCUUGAAAGUACUCUUCUAUUUUAAUUGGAGAAGAUGAGACAACUACACAUCUCAAUAUCAGAGUCAUUUGUUCUUUAUGACUUGCAUCUGGUGUACAAUCAAGAAUCACUGAAAAAUACUUUGCUUCUUUGAUCUUUCUAAUUAUUGCAGUUUUUACCUUAGAAGAUAAGAUAGAUAUCAGCUCAUCUUGAAUUUUAUGACUGAGAUAGUGAUAAUGUAUCUUUUUAUUACGAAUUAGGCGAAAAUGCUCUUGCAUUAUUGGAUCAAAAUCCGCAAUCAUUUCAAGCAUGCCAAAAAAAUUACCAUUACUAUCUUCAUAAUUUUUUUCAUGUGUACCACGAAAUGCCAAAUUGUGUAGCAAGACAUUUAACAACGGCAAUUAUUCUCAACAUUACAUGUUUCCAAUGUUUUGUGUCUUUUCUAAUCUGUUCUUGCAAAUCUUUAUCAAUUGUCUUAUUUUUAUUUAAUCGCAUUUCUAAUUCAACACAAGCUCUCAAAUUAGUAAGGUGUUCAACACUAUGUUCAUGUUGUUUCAACUUAUCACCCAAAUGUUUCCAAUCGUUAACCCCCUCGCUUGCUAAAUUACUUCUAGUGUGCAUUACUUUGAACAACUUGCAACAAAAACAAAAUACUUUAUCUAACUCCUUUGAGUAAACCAACCAUUUUCUAUCCCGAGUUUCACCGUUUGGUAGCAUCUGCACAUAAUAUGUAUAUGAAAAAUGUCUAGAUUCUUUAUCCAAAGGAAACUUGAGAUCGUAUUCUUUUUUGGGACCCUUUUCAACAAGUAAAUCUUUCAUUUUUGUAUCCAAACCAUCCCAAACUCUUGGGUCAAAAAUGUCUAACACAUAGCUUGUUUUCAAAUGGUCAUUUUCAUUCCCAUCAUUCUCAUCAAUAUGUUUAUUUUCUUCAUUUUCAUUCACAUGAUUCUCAUUUUCUACUAAUUCCGCAUUCACAACAUUCUCAUUUUCAACAAAUUCAGCAUUCACAACAUUUUCAUUUUCUACAAAUUCAACAUUUAUGGCAUCUUCAUUAUUUAAUAAUUCUUCAUUUGCAUCAAAAUUAUUUUGUUGACCACAAACUAAAUUUGCAGGACCAAAAUAUCUGUUCAAAGAAUACUCUAAACUUUUGGCAAUCUUUUCUUGUUUUUUUUUUCUUUGCUUUUUUCGAGCUCCAGAUAAUUGUUUCAUGCUUAUAGAAGUAAAUUAAACAGUACAACCCAAUCAAAAGAAGCAUACAUAAAAAAGAAGCACACAGAAAGAAAGAUGAAAAAAAAGACACCACCAAAAAAAUAUUAAUAAAAAAAUAAAAGAACAAUAAAACCUGAUGUACGCAGCCUUCUUGUAUUUAACCAGUAAAUUGUGAUAGAGUCAACUUCUUACACUUUCAAUUGUUGAAUAUGUUAAUAUGCAAAAUACAACAAAUAAUCAAAAAUACAUAAAUGAUAUUAAGAAUAAAAGUAAAUAUAAAUUAAGUAGUGUAUUUUAUUAAUAAAAACAGUGAGGGUAUUGGUUACCUUUCCCCAUUGAUGAAAUCACAAUUUACGCAAGCUUUAGAAUUGAGCACUUUGAACACACAGAAUAAUCUCCAUGGGUUUGAAAACAAAUAAUAUAAAAUCAAUAUUACAGUCACCCAAUUUCAAAGAUUUCGAUUUUGAGAAAGAUGUGGAAAACUCGAGAAUGGCUUGGAACGGGAGAAAAUCAGAGAAGAUGGAGAAAUGUUUAGUUAAAACGACUAAAAAUAAGUGAGUAAAAAUUGAAAUUGAGUUCAUUUAAAUUGACAGAUGGGUGCAAAAAUAUCGGUAAUUUAAAAGAUGCACGUUGGAAUUGAACAAAAUUAAAGAGAUUUAUGGAGAUAUUUAUGGAUUUAGUUGGAGAGAUUUAUGGGCAGAAGAUUAAGAGUUAUACUGUAUGUUUGGGGUUGCAACCGUUUAAUGUGGUUGAGAAGUUUAGGGAAAAAAUAUAAAUAAAUAUAAAUAUUUAUACGUAUAUAUAAAUAUAUAUAUAUAUAUAUAUAUAUAUAUAUAUAUAUAUAUAUAUAUAUAUAUAUAUAUAUAUAUAUAUAUAUAGGAAAACUACAUAAAAAUUUGGGCCCCCUAGCACUAAUGGGCCCUGGGCGGUUGCCCAGUUUGCACCGGCCUAGGGCCGGCCCUGAAAUGCAGAUUCUAAUGAUUAUGAAUGUAUAGCAGUAAUUCAAAAGUUUCCUUUUAUUGCAUUAGCUUAUAUGGAUUGUUAAUGAAUUUAGUAAUUGAUGGUUUGAACUUUGAAUAACAUGUGGUAUGAAAUUAGAAAUUAGGUAUAUAAUUCCCUUAUGGUUUUGACAUUUUGCAGAUGACCUUCCUUGUGGUUUUGAAAUUUCGCACACGGCCCCCUUAUGGUAUGAAAUUAGCACAUAACCCCCUUGAAUAGAAAACUGGAAAAGACUAAAUUACCCCUAUCAAGUCAAAAAUUCUUGUUUUAAUUUAAAAAUAAUUAUUCUAUAAAAUGAAAAGCUUAAUGUAUUUUUUUUGUAAAAUGAGAAAUAUAAUAUAUUAUUGUGUUUUUUAUUUAAUUUUACAACACAAAAGGUAUAUGAUACUAGUUAUUGUAUGAUUGACAAUUUAUUCGAUUUUAAAAUUCAAAACCACAAAGGGGGUCAUAUGCUUAAUUUCAUACCAUAAGAGGGUCAUGUGUAAAAUGUCCAAACCACAAGAGGGUUAAGUGCUAUUUACCCUUAAAUAAAUAAAUAAAACGACAUAAUAUCCAAUAAAUUAUCUAGCAAUAGUUUAAUAUGUCAUCUUGUGACUUGUGACUUGUGGCUAUUUGAAACUAUGACUCUUUGGAUGAUAUAUAGCAAAUGAAAUACUUUGAUUCUUCAACGAGUAUAUAAAAUAAGGGGAAAAUGAGGGAUAACCUCAUCGUUACGUAAAAUAAUAAAAUGUGGGCCCAAUUUAUAAUUGACCAUUUGUAAACAAACACAUAUAAUAUUUUAUGAAUUUUGUGACCCCCUAAUCUUAGGUUAAUACCCAUUAUACCAUUUCUUUCCAUAUUGUUUUCCUUUAUUUUCUCCUAUUUCUCUCUCUUUUUCGUUCUGUUUCCUUCUCUUUGUGCCCUUUUUUCCUCUAUUGUACGUUCUAUGCAUCUCCUUGAUGCUUGAAAGGCUCAAACGGUUCAAAGAAUGCUAAAAUCAUAUCCCAAAUCACUCACUUCUCAAUGCUCCGUAUUAUAAAUUUCCUAAGGUGAGCUCUACAACCGAACAUAGCAUGAUUUAGCAUAAAUUAAUUCCAAAAUUAAAAUACAAAACGUCCAACAAAAGCAAUGCACAAAGUGUGAUUUCUAGUAAUAAUUCAUUUCUAAUUAAGUUCCUUUAAAUCGAAAGCUAGCCAAACAUCUGGUCCUCGUCACAAAAAAAGAAGCAAUCUCAUCAUCAAACAUUGGUCAUCUCUCAUCAUCACAACUCACCGACGCAUUCGACUCAAGUAAUAUUUUUUUUUAUUUAAUUUUUUUUAUAUAAAACAACUGAAGAAAUAAAAACAUCUAAAAUAAAAUAAAACCUAAGGCAUGCAAAUUAAACUCAAAUAAAGUACAAGUAAGUGUUUUACCACCCCCAAACUUCAAAUUUUCGUUGCCCUCGAUGAAAUUAAGACGAAGUUCAAGGAUAGAAACCACCUAAUUAAUCGCAGUCAACGUGAUCAGGGUGCUCCUCUCCAUCUCUCGCAUGUUCCUCAUCGUUGAAAGGGGGCACGGGCUCAAGAAUUGGUGCCGGUAAAGGUCCCGGCUCCACACAAUCGGUCGUCCCACAUCUCAUGUAUCGUACGGUGGCUUGUAGCAUUUUGCCCGACCACCUUUAGAGCGCCUCCACUGUGUUGACCUUGUGCUUGAUAGUCGCUAAUUUGUUCCUCGUGAUUGCCAUCUCUCACUCUAUCUUUCUCCAGAAUCAUCGAUCGGUGUUGGAGCUCGAGGCUUCGUUGUCGUUGCUUACUUGUGGUUGAGAAGCGGCUUCUGCCAAAGCUUGUGGCUCGUUGUGGAUGGCUUCCUUGAAUUGUGAGGCGGCAAACUCGUCGAUUGGAUUUCAGAGGCUUAGCACGAUGUCGUUCAAUUAUUUGGGGACUUUCUCUUUGGUGCACAAUCCUGUGAUGAUGCUAGGGAAGAAAAAUUCCCUUGGAUUUGUCGUGCAUGGUCCGCCAUAGUUGAUCGUACAUAAUGGACCCUAUAUCGAUCAUUUUUCCCGUGAUAAUGUAGUAGGCGAGAGCACAUCGUUGGUGGUUGAACCGACUAAAAAAGAUAGUCGGAAUCACGUUGGCGCAAAUUAAUGACAACCAUGAUUUUCCCUCGUAGUUGACACUCUUCCAACUUAGCUCGUAUAUCUUUUUGUCCAAAUAUUCGAUCCACUUAGGGUGCCCACCACAUAACACCACACCAAUUUGUUUCUUGGUAACUUCAUCUCGCAUGGCAUCCCAAUUUUGACCAAGGGUGCGGAGACCAUAAUAGUGGUUAAUGUCGUUCGUCCUCCGAUUGAUGUAAAUUUUACGUACCACACUUGAGGCGUGGUUGGGAGGUUUGAGUAUCAACGUGUUGGUAUAGAAUUCGCGGACGAUCGAUAUGUUGUAAAAAGGUUCGGGCUCAAACAACUUUUGCCACCCUCGGUUGAAGAUUUCUUGAUUUAGGUUGGCGAAGUGUGAUAGAGUGACUGUUAGUGCUCGUUCCGUGAUGAUCGUUUUCUUCGUUUGUUUUUCGAAGAGGGCGGCGGUUCCUUCGACAGUAAAGGCGUCUUUGUCUGGUUGCGGAACACUCGUCUGCUUGGUGGAUCCUUUCUUUUCUUUCUCUUUCCCCUUUGGUGGAUCCCUUCUUUUCUUUCUCAAGUCUUCUUCGUUUGUUUUUCGAAGAGGGCGGCGGUUCCUUCGACAGUAAAGGCGUCUUUGUCGGGUUCGGGAACACUCGUCUGCUUGGUGGAUCCCUUCUUUUCUUUCUCUUUCCCCUUUGAAGAAGAUGCCUUGCUCGUGCGGCCUCUCUUGUUGGACGACAUGGUUGGACGGAUUUGACUAACUUUGGUGAAAAAUUGAUGAUAAUCGAACCCCCAAACUUGGUUCAAGCAAACUAUCGAACAUCUUGUGGGCGUGACUUGAAGAAUUAGGUUGUGGAGAGUUUUGUCGAUUCGUGAGCCUAGCCUACCAAUACCAACAUGAAUGAUCAAAUUUACAUGUUUGAGUGUGUGGGUUUUGAAAUUUGUACUUACAAUUUCCAAGAAUUGAGAGAGAGAAAAUAGGGCUUGAGAGAGGAUUUAUAGGGGUUGUGAAUGUUAGGAAAAUAUGAGUUUCUGCCCUUUUUUAAUAUGCCCGUUUUUCUCUUCGGACGACUGUCCCAGAUUUUGUGCUUCGUUUGUGACGGCCAUUCCAAAAUGCGUAGGUUGAAAUUCAACUUUGAGCAUUCUAACGACCAUCUCAAACUGCGUGAGUUGAGAUUAGGGCAUCAGGCUUUUGGACGGACAUCUGGAUUUCUACUUGUAUUUUCGGACGGCCGUCUGGACCUCCUGACCAUAAUUUCGACCCUGAAAAUUAAAAAUCAAAUAAAGUAAUUAAAAUGCAUGCCUAGGAAAAUAGAAACAAAAAUGAAAACUUAAAUAAAAAUACAAAAAGCAAUAAAGCUCGGGUUGCCUCCAAAAAGUUGUAAAGAGAACAUCAUUUUAAGGUUGUAAGACGUCGGUGUUGUAGCAUGGUACAUUAGUCACAUCAUAACAUUCACGUUCAUGCAUGAGAUUGGGCAUUAACUCAUAUAGUUUUGCAUUACAGGUGAGUUUAAUCCAGGUUAACCUCUUGCUCGAGAGGCAGGUUGUUGGAGCUUUAGCAAGAUUCCGAUGAUCAAUGUGUCUGGAUGACGACAUUGUUUUGGAUUGUGUCUGUUGUCGCAUGGUCAUUUUUUCAGUUGUUCUUGUGGUUUGUAGUUCUUGUACAGUUGUGGAGUAAUCAGUUAUGUUGGUAAAGAUAUGUACAUAUGUUUGACUUUGAAGUAUUAUCCUUACUAGGGGACACUUAUAUUAGUGGAUGUGUAUAUAACUGGUGUUUUGGUAAAGCAGGUUGCUCUCUUCAUGUAUUUAUAAAUAGGAUCUUAUCUUUAGUACGAGUCUACAAACACUUGUCUUGUCAAUUCUAUAAAAAAAAUGAUAGAGCAAAAUUGCUCUUUUCUAUUUAAUAAGUCAUUUAUGCGGAAGUAAAUUGGGGGUGUUUCAGGAAUGAAAAGAGCCGUGAGUUACAUUACUAUUCCAAAUAUUUAUGUCUUUCUCCAUUUUGUUUUCUUUCUUCCAACAAUAACUUCCUGUGUUGGCCCUAAAAAUAUUAUAUUGUCAUAGAUUAUUUUGCAAGCUUCUUUUAUUGAAUCUUCCAAGGUUCAAUAAUAAAAUCGAAUUUUAUUAGAUUAUUUAAUCAUAUCUUAACAACUAAACGAACCAUAUGAUUAUUCUAUAUUGCAAUCUUACAUUUUUCAUAGUGCAAUUCCUAGUGCCCCGUAUCUUAACAAGUUAAAGCAUUCAUAUUUACUAAAUUUUCUCUUUUUUUUUUUUUUUCUUUUUUGUUUUUUUCUUUUAUCUUCAGCCAAAUUUGUUAAAUUCCUACAUCUGUCAUAAAACACAUAUGCUUAGUCACAUUAGAAAGUAUGGAGGCCUUUCUAGGUGAUACUUUUCUCCAUGAAACCAUCCAAGAUGACACAAAAUAUCCGAGCAAGAUUAGUUAACAUAAUUAGGGAUUAAUCUGAAAACACACAAUAAAAGUUUACCACAAACUGUAGAGAAAGAAGAUAAAUUACGUUGAUAUUGAUUUCAUUGAACCUCUUUACAGAGAUAUAUAUACAAGAAAUUAUCAUAAUUGACUCUAAGGUAAAUCUUCAUACUAAGGAAAGUUAAUAAUACAAAAUCAAUUAAUGGAACUAUCAAAUAUACGGUUUCCUAAAUGAGUGGAUAUUGUUGAUUUCACAACACUCCCCCUCAAGUUGGAGAGUGAAUAUCGAGAACUCCCAACUUGACUAAGAUUGCGACAAAGUCAUCCUUCCCCAACGGCUUUGUGAACACGUCGGCCAAUUGGUUUCUUGAAGCGACGUAAGUAGUGGUAAUUGAUCCAUCUUGAAUUUUAUCUCUAAUAAAAUGGUAAUCCCUCUCAAUGUGUCGUGUUCUCUCAUGGAAGACCGGGUUUGCAGCUAUGUGUAAAGCUGCUUGAUUAUCACAAUAAAGUGUAGCAGCUUCAGUUUGUGUAGUUUCCAAGUCACUCAGGAGGUCUUUAAGCCAAGAAAUCUCACAACAUGCUCCUGUCAUUGAUCGAUAUUCCGCUUCAGCUGAAGAUAAAGAUACUGUCUUUUGCCGCUUGCUUCUCCAUGAAAUCAACGAUUUUCCAAGGAAAACACAAUAUCCCGUUGUUGAUCUUUGGGUUGUUGGGCAACCUGCCCAAUCGGAAUCGCAGUAGGCACGCAACUUUAAAUCACUUUGUGCUGGAAAACAUAGGCCUUGGCCUGGUGCUGACUUAAGGUACCGCAAUACUCGUUGUGCAGCAUCCAUGUGAGGUUUACGCGGCUCAUGCAUAAAUCGACUUAGUACAUGAACAGCAUAGGUGACAUCUGGUCUUGUGAUAGUAAGAUAAAUCAAGCGGCCUACCAAUCUUCGAUAUCGAGAUGGUUCAUUAAGAAGCUCUCCAGAAUCGGAAAGUUUGAGAUUUUGCUCCAUAGGAAAAGUAACGGGUUUUACUCCUAAUGCACCGCCAUCUUGAAGAAUAUCAAGACAAUACUUUCUUUGAGAAAUAUAUAACCCCUUAUUGGAUCGAGAUACUUCAAUUCCCAAAAAAAACUUCAAGUCUCCAAGAUCCUUAAUUUUGAACUUAGAGUGAAGAAAAUGUUUGAUGGACUGAAUUGCAUUAUCAUCAUUUCCCGUAAUCAAGAUAUCAUCCACAUAAAUUAGUAAGGCUGUAAAAGAUUUUCCCGUUUUACGCGUGAAUAGAGAAUAGUCCGCUUUGGAUUGAACAAAACCAGCAGUUAUGAUAGCCUCGGUAAAUUUGGCAAACCAUUGCCGAGAUGCUUGCUUAAGACCGUACAAAGACUUGUUAAGCCGACACACCAACUUCUCCCCCUGUCGGUGAAAACCAGGAGGAAGGGACAUAUAGAUUUCUUCAUGUAGAUCGCCAUGAAGAAAUGCAUUAUGAACGUCAAGUUGAUGUAAAGACCAAGAACGGGCUGAAUCAAUGGCUAGGAGACAACGAACUGUGAUCAUUUUAGCCGUCAGAGAAAAAGUAUCGUGGUAAUCGACACCCUCAGUUUGAGUGUAGCCUUUAGCAACUAGCCGAGCUUUGUAUCGCUCAAUAGAACCAUCAGAACGACGCUUAAUCUUAUAGACCCAUUUGCACCCUAUAGCAUCUUUGCCUAAAGGUAGAGUUGUAAGGGUCCAUGUAUUAUUGGUCUCCAAAGCAUCAAGUUCGACUUUCAUAGCCUGCUCCCAGUGAGGAUCUUUGGCUGCAUCUGAAAAGUUGGAAGGUUCGACAUCUCUACUAAUAUUGGCAAUGAAGGAAAGAUGAGAGGGUGAAAAUCUUUUAUAAGAAACAAAAUUACAAAGCGGGUACCUUGUUCCUUUGCUACCACCAGGCGACGAAGAUGACACAUGAUUGGUGAUGAAGUCCUUGAGAAGAACAGAAGGGAUUUUGUGACGUUGGGAUCGACGAAUAGGUUGAACUGGCGGACUAGAUCUUGGGCUUGAUGGCUGGAGUGAUACAUAGGAAGAAAGAUUAGAAGAAUCUAGAGUUUCCCCAGACGCUGGAAUUUCAAAAUGAUCAGACGGAACGCGUAACACGAGAUUGGUGGAAUCUAGACCAUUGGACUCUUUUAUUGAUGGAGUUUGAAAAGGAAAAGUGGUUUCGUGGAAAACGACAUCACGGGACGUAAAAAUUUUGUGAUUAAGAAGGUCAUACAACUUAUAAGCUUUUUGUCCGUGAGGGUACCCCAAAAACACGCACUUUCGUGCACGAAGAUCAAAUUUGGUGGAAUGUUGAACUAAGGUGGCAAAAGAGAGACAUCCAAAAACACGAAUAUGGUUAUAGGAUGUUUUUUUUUGAGUAAAGAGCUUCGAAAGGUGUUCUAUGGGAUAAUUUUUUUGUAGGAAAUAUGUUUAUGAGGUAAGUUGCUGUAAGAAUGCAUUCUCCCCAAAAUUUAAGAGGCAGAUGAGCUUGAAACGUAAAAGCUCGAGCUAUAUCAAGGAUGUGGCGAUGCUUACGUUCAACGACACCAUUUUGUUGGGGUGUGUAAACGCAAGUAUGUUGAUGAAUAAUUCCUUGAUCAGAAAAAAAAUGUUUCAUGGAAGCAAACUCCCCCCCCCCCAUUAUCAACUCGAAUUUGUUUUAUUGGUGUGUGGAAUUGAGUUGUAAUGAAGGCAAAGAAGGAUUUAAGACGACUUUGUGUCUCAUGCUUGUGACGCAUUAAGAAAACCCAAGUAUAUCGACUGAAAUCAUCCACUAUAGUCAAAAAAUAAUUUGCACCGGAAAGGGAAGAUAUUUUAUAUGGACCCCAAAUAUCAAUGUGGAUUAGAUCAAAAGGUUUGACAGUAGAUAUAGAACUAACUCCAAAAGGAAGACGAGUUUGCUUAGCCAGAGGGCAAACAUCACAUAUAUUUUCUAAACGACGAUAAAAAUUCGGUAAAAUUUUAGACAAGGUUUGCAAACGAGGAAAAGAUAAAUGUCCUAAAUGCUGAUGCCAAAUAUCGGCAGAAACUGAGGUAGAAAGGCAAACUGGUUGUUUGACGGGAGGGUGUGUUUGUGGUUUAGCAGAUACUAACGCCACAAGGUGAUACAAUCCAUCUUGCUGCUUACCCAAACCAAUCGUUGUCCUCGUAACCUGGUCCUGCAAAAUACACCAAGAAGGAAAAAAGGUUAUCGAACAAUUGAGACUUUGUGUAAGUUUGCUCACAGAUAAAAGAUUAACAUUGAAAUUUGGUACACAUAAAACAUCUUUUAAUUGAAUAUUGGAAUUCAAGGAAAAAUUGCAAAUAGAAGUCGUAGCGGCCUUCUCUCCACUAGGCAACGAAACAGGCGGUAAUGAUGGAUUAUUGGUGUGGACUUUCAAUGAUCGCUUAGAACAUGUAAUGUGAUCAGUCGCACCACUGUCAAUAAUCCAUCGGAGGUGAGUUGUCAAAGAUUCCAACAAACCUGUGGAAAGCUCGGUUGAAUUGGUCUGAGGAGGUUGCGAUUCACUUCCCUUUUCAGACAUAAACGAGAGAAUUUGUUGAUAUUGUGCUUCUGACUGAUUGGGCAUAGUAGUCUGUAAUUCCUUAACGGAAAACCCCGUUUUUACCGAAUUUGCAGAAGGAGUGUAUCCUUUUCUAUGGUGACCACCAUUAGACGAUUUCUGGAGUCGGUGUCCUUCUGCAUAGCCGUGCAAUUUAUAACACGUCUCAUUUGUAUGAAAGUCUUUAUCACAGUGGCUGCAAAAUGAAGUGGUUUUCGCCCCGAGUUAGUGUUCUUUGUCCACGUUCAACUGCCAUGGCUGCCACUUCACUUAUCCCACUUGUAUUUCCAAGUUCUCUUUGUUUUUCUUCUUGGGAUAUUAGGGAAUAAGCCUUUCGAUGAGUCGGCAGCGACUGCAUCAAAAGAAUCUGUCCACGCACAGCACUAUAGGAUUUAUUUAAUCCCAUGAGAAAUUGCAUUAAAGCAUUUCUCUCCUCACGUUCUGAUUGUGGCUUUAUUUUUCCACAAGUACAGUGACAAGGUUCAUUAUAGGAUGUUAAUUCAUCCCAAAGACCCUUUAGCUUGGUGUAAUAGGCUGAAACAGACAUUUGGUUUUGUUGCAAAUACGCCAUUUCAUGUUGAAGUUGAAAGAUUCUUGGUGCGUUACUUUGAGAAAAUCGUUCUUCAAGAUCCUGCCAUAUCUCAUGUGAUGUAGUUGAGUAUAUCACACUAUCGGCAAUAUCGGGUUCAAAAGAAUUUAGAAUCCAUGAAAGGAUCAUGUCAUUGCAUCGCUUCCAUGAGGAGUACUCUUCUGGUGACUUUAUUUGACAAGGAACUUGAACGGAUUCGUCGAUGAAACCCAACUUGUUCUUUGCGCUGAGAGAAAUUUUCAUCGAGCGGCUCCAUGUUCCGUAAUUAUCACCAUUGAGAGGUUUGGAUACGAGGAUCAUUCCGGGGUGAUCGGAAUGAUGAAUAAAGAAAAGAUAGGAUGGAUCAUUUUUGUUAAUGCACUUACUUUUAUUUGAAUCAUCCUCCAUGGUGAAGAAAUCAAAGAACAAGAAUUAUAAAAAGAAACGGAAGUAAAAGGCAAGGAUUUUAUCCUGCUCUGGUACCAUGUAGAGAAAGAAGAUAUAUUACGUUGAUAUUGAUUUCACCGAACCUCUUUACAGAGAUAUAUAUACAAGAAAUUAUCAUAAUUGACUCUAAGGUAAAUCUUCAUACUAAAGAAAGUAAAUAAUACAAAAUCAAUUAAUGGAACUAUCAAAUAUACGGUUUCCUAAAUGAGUGGAUAUUGUUGAUUUCACAACACAAACAGCUGUACCAAUUCAAUUUACUCAAUUGAGAAUGGUAAACAAAUACUUUUAUGGAUAUUUUUGGUUGAUCGAGGCGAUAGAGAGAAUGCGAAUUGAGGAUGGUUCGGAUUGAAGAAAUGUAAUAAUUUGAGGAAAAGAAAAUACGAAUGACUAAGUCAGACUGAGAGUCGGUGCCACAUACCUGCAGUGUCUUAGGGCCCCUAACUUCAAAGACCCCAAGAAGUUUUUUGUCAUUUAUAUAAAGUUUAACAAUUAGAAAUAUCAUUAAUGAUUUUUAGAAAACUAGCAAGGUGCACGUGUCGUAAUAUUAUUAUAUGGUGAAAAUAAUUUUUCUGUGAAAACUAAUACAACUCUUAUAACUAUCUGGUGGGACAACAAUGUACAACAAAGAUGCAUCAUCCAAUUGCAAUGUUCCUCACGGCACACCUAGUCCUUCUGCAACAGGUUCUGUUUAUUAUGGAUUACCCGCUCCUUAACCAAUUCCAUUUUUUUGCCUUAUUGAACGAUGAAACAUAUAUCAAAAAAAUAAACAAAAAACUCAGAAGCUUGGUGCAUUAACAUAAUUUCCAGCUAGCAAUGAGCAUGAAUGUAAAUUAUGUUCCAAACAUACUCUACACAAAUUUAGUUGGUCUAUAUGCUUCACAGUAGUGUAAAGAGAAGGUUAGCUCUCCACAUGAACGCAAGUCUAGAGUAGCUCUAUAAUGGUCUUGAUCGUUUAAGAGUUAGAGAAUUUGGUUAAAUUCGAAACAUUGAAGAAGAGAGGUUCUCAUAAACAAAAAAAAGGCUUGCAUAUUUUAAUAACAUACCUCAGUGUAUUUUGAUUUGACAUAUUAUGUACCAGGCCAUCAUCCUGUCAAAGUAAUGACAUAAUAAUUUCACAAAGUGAAACUAUGUCUAAUUAUAAAGAAUAAAUAAUUCAUGGAAGAACUUUAGAUAUUGUCCAUAAGUUUGCAUACAAUGAUAUAUUUGAUAUGUUACAGAGAUUGAAAGAUAUAUCUCAAGUGAACUUGUAUCUCAAUGGUAGUAAAAUGUGCCUUCUAUCUUCUAGAGCACUCAGUUGAUUGUCUAUUUGAAUGCAUUCUAAAAGAGCGUAUCAAGAGCAUAAUCUUGACUUUUAUACAGUAAAACCUGCUACAAUUCUAAAUAAAAUAAUGAAAUAUAUUAAUGAAACUAAAACAGUUUGUCUUCAACCAUUGGUAUGUCAUGAAAUAUCAAAAAAAAAACAUAUAAAGUAUACUGGCAUAAUUCUCUCUAGUAGCCCCUUGAAAUGCAUGUACAACAAUUUCUUCACUUAGCCUCCUUAAACUAACUAUUUAGUAAAACCCUUCGAGAAUACAAGAUUGAGCUGAAAUUUCUGCCUAUGCAUUUUGGGUGGCUUCAUUUUGUCCUUCAUCUAUCAAGUUCAUCAUCAUGUGACUACACCAUGGAUCGGAAAAUUCAUUUGUUGUUGACUUCACCUGUACGGUUGCACCUCCUCUGCCUACUAUGUCUAAGACAUAUGAUGUACAUCCAACAUUCUUAUCUUGUAGUUUUGACGGAUCACAUCAACUUGCUAUAAAGGGGAAAAAAAACCAAAUAAACUGUUGAAUGACCACCUCAACCAAAAACUUAAGUUAUUAUUAUUUAAUACUUAUAUCUUCAAUUCGCCCCCUAAAGUUCAAGCAAAUUACAUUUGAAGCCUUGCACUUGAAAUAUUUGAAAUGGAUGGCGGUGGGAUUCGAACUCAUGACCUUUCAUUUGGUCUGAUUCUGAUAUCAUGUAGAAUGACUACCUCAACCAAAAUAUUAAGCUAUUAGUGAAGUGUAUCAUUUGUUACUAAUAUCUCCAAUAAUAACAGUGAUAAAGCAUAUAAAGUAUACUGGCAUAAUUCUCUCUAGUAGCCCAUUGAAUGGUUCGUAGAUUUUCUAUAAUAAUAUCUCCCUGAAACUCACCUGAAUAGUAACGGGAACCAAAUCGAAGAUUUGUGUUAAAGGAAUUUAAUAUCUAAUAACAUUAAAUUUUUUUAUGAGAGCACGACAACGAAUACAAGUGUUUUACGUAAGGUGGGAGGCAUUGUCUGCAGGAAGGAGAAGGAGACUGAUGAUUCAAUCAGGGCCUAAAACUUAAGUCAUGAUUUUUAAUUUAUAGUAAAAUAAAACUUAUUAAAUUGAAAAGGAAACUAUCUAUAGCCACUGGACCCUAACAUUUAGAGGGAAAAAAUAUGAAUUGAAAAAUAUAAGAAGUUCAUGAACAAAUAAUAUCACUAAUAUUAUUUUGACUUGAGCUUACAAUACUUUAUUUUCUCCCAUAAAUAGAGAUGAUUGGAUUUUAUGAUUACACUAUGGCAACUAAGUUAAGAUCAAGAUUGGCAUUCUGAUUGCUCUAUCAUAACAUUUUUCAUUUUGAGUUAUUUCCGCUGACAUUUAUAUGUUGCUGAUUUGAUUUGCGGUGCCAAAAAGAAAAUUGGUAUAAUUUCCUUGUUAAAUAAAUUUGUUGGUCUUUGAAAAUAGUAUUUGUUGUUGUUUGUUACGAUUUGGCACUUAAUUUGUGUGUGUGUGUGUGUGUUUUUUCCUUUGUUUUUCGUAUAUUCGAUUAAGUUUGUACGUAGUCUUUUACUGUUUUUAGCAGAUUUUUAUAAUGGUUGAACCAUUGCAAUUAAAAUGCCAUUAAGGUCACGCAAAUGUAGAUUUGUUGUCUCACUUAAGAUUUUAUUUCGUUUUUAAUGUGUUGUUCUCCGUAGGAUCAAAUAGGGUUGAGUUCGAGACGAAAUUUUGUGAUUUUAUGAAAUUUGCGAUUCAGGAUUCAAAAAUACAGACCAAAAAAAAAAAAAGACUCCAAUUAAAAUUCUCAAAGAUGUCAGCUUCAUCAAGCCCUAUCAUCUCGGAAAGAUUUCAGUUUGGUGUUAUCCAUUCAACAAAUACAACAAAUACAUAAAAAGAAGUUAUUUAAGUUUUGUAAAUCUUUUGGAUAUUUGAUCUACCUUCCUAAAAUGAUAGGUAAGUCAGAAAGUUCAGACUCUGCAAACAUUUUGAAGCAAGUCAAAUUGUUUUCAACAUACGACAUUACUUCUAUAUGGAUGAUCAACUUACAUGUUUUGCUUGUGGUUAUUUGGAUUAUCAUUUGUAAGUUGGUUAUUUGUUUUCUUUUCAUCUCGAGUUUCCUUCUUUUCGACAGCAAAAGUUGCUGCAAUAAGUUUCACAUUUCCACGAUAUAUGUAGUUGUUCGAUAUAAAUUUUGUAUUCACUUAUAGUUCAAUUUUUUAAAUUAUGAAGACAUGCACCUUCAAUUGAGGGGAACAUAAAAUUAUUGAUGGUCAAUGUUUUUCUUAUUUAUUAGGUUCUCUAACAAUAUGAUCAAGUGCACGUGCGUUGCACGUGUCGUGUUAAUUAUUUUAUGUUUGCACGUCUCAAUUUUAAUUUUUCUAUGCAUUGAAAUAUUGGAAUAAUAUAAUCUAAUUUUAUUUAUUAUACAACUAUAAAAUCGCUUUAGUACUUGAGGAUUUACCAGUAUUUAAAUAAUGCUAUAGAAUGCUUGUUAUUGACUUACACCAUUAUGUAAUUUUGAAAUAUAUAAAUUCUAAAAUACUUGGGAAUAAAAUGAAUGAAUAUUAUUAUGAAUUUCUUACCUUGAAAAUAUUGAAAGUUUAUGAAAUUCAUGAUUAUUCAAUUAUUGUCAUAAUUUGGAUCUAAGCGCUACGAUAUAACUGUGCAACAUCGAUAACAUCAAAACUUGAAUUAGGAGUUAUGUCAUUUGGUUGGUGUCUGCAAAAGGUUUUAGUAACAGAUUCAACGCUUCUUUUCUGGCUCAUAUUGUUUUUGGGGUGUUUGAAGUAUGAGAUUUUGUUUUUGUUUCUUUUAAAAUAAGAUGAUUUAAACUUUAAUUUGAAAAACAUACAUGAACGUGUUUUUUCUAUAUAAUGACAUUUUUGUAAUUAAUUAGAAGUUAUUUUGGUAAUUUUCCAUCGUAUUUAUAAAUCCAUAAAACUUUAGUAAUAAGUACUUAAUACAAAUUUAAGUAGGUGGUGUUUGCAAAAACUUUUAAAAAGUGAUUCCGGAGCAUUUUUAUUCAAAAUCACUUUUCAAGUAUUUUACAAUAUUAAAUUUUGAUUCUACUUCUCUUGCUUUAUACUGAAAUGUGAAAAGCAUCUUUGAAGGAACUUCUCUUAAAAUAUAUUGAUUAUAGUUGAUUUUUCAUGGAGUUUGCAAACAUUCACACCUUUUAAAAAUAAACAUUUAACACUAACUCACAAUUUCAUUUUUUCUCUUUUUUUUUAAACCUCUUGCAAACACCACCUUACAAUUACUGAGUUCUGUUUCUUUAAGCUUAUAUGCAAACACUACCUAAGUCUUCCGAGUGUUUUGUAUUUUCUCUAAAAAUAUAAUGGGAUGUAUAUUGCAUGGCAUAUAAAAAGUAUAAGUUGUGACUUGUCAUUUUUCGUUUCAAACCAAAAUACUGACUAUUGGAAUGAAUAUGAAUACAUAUUAAAUUCAUAAUCGAACACUAACCUAAUAUAUAUAUAUAUAUAUUAUUGUAAACGUUUUAUAUUAAUUACUCCCUCCGUCCGUCACUUAUUAUAUGGCGUUUAUGAUAGUUACACAUAUAUUAAGAUUUUUUUUUAAGAAAUACGCAUAUAUUAAGAUAGUCAAUAAAUAUAGUCAAUAAAUAUACAUAGAUUAUACCGUAACAAAACUAACAUAGUAAAUACGAAAAUACUCAUGUUAUUAAUUAUUUUUUAAUUAACUAAGAAUAAUAUGGGGCAAAAUUGAUAAAAAUGCAAUUAAUGUCUUAUUGGAACUCUAAAAUAACAAAUAAUUUGGGGAAAAAAACACCCUUAAAAGACAUAUCAUAAGGGACAGAUGGAGUAAUUAAUAACAUUACUAAUAAGGGGAGCUAGAUGAUACAUCUGUUUAUUUAUACGAGAUGGAUUUCAACUGUAGAUCUGAUUAAAAAUUCAUCUACUAAGCACACAUACACAUAGGUCUGUUGUGUGUGAUUAUGUAUGAAUCUACAGUUCAAAUCCACCCAAUAUAAAUAACUAUGUAUUAUAUUUAAUUAUCCUAAUAAUAAUAACAUUGUUAUAAAUAAAAAUUAGUAAAAAUAAUGCUAACAUCUGGCAAUUAAUAAGGGAAAAUAAUGAUUUACUAAUUAAUAUUAAUAUUUGGUUAUUUAAUUAGUAUAUGAAUGGGCCAAUGAAAGUUCCAAUAUAAUUGUUCCAUUUACAAAAUAAAAAACAACAAUAACUAAGAUAAUUAAAAACUCGUUACAAACUAAAUUUCUCUUUAGCUACUCGCAUUGUUGUUGUAAAACGAACCCGCAUCGUAGAAUUAUGAACUCGACUUUUGACUCACUUUUUGUAGCCGAUAACAGAUAUUUAACAGACACAUACAGUAGAGUUUGAUAAUUUUAAUCGUUCGAUGUAUAAAUGGAUAUAUCGGUGAUUUUCAGUUUACUCAAACGUCGAUUGGUAUGCUGAUGUCGGUCAAUCGACUUUUUUAAUAAUAAAAAUGUAUUAUAAAUAUUUAAUUGUAAUUCUUAUUUUCUUGUUAAAAUAAUAUAUCAACGAAGUCAAACCUCAAAAAGUGAAAAUACAAAUUUAUGAACAUCUGUGUAUUAUUUCUAUAUUAUAAUUAUUAUUUUAUUUCCUUUAUUAUAUAUUUACUUAUUGUAGAAUUUAGUUAAAAAAACUCUAAAUUUUAAAUACAAUGUUUAUUCGAUAGUACCAACCAACCGACCCAUUAUUUAUCUGAUAAAGUCAUAUGUCAAUAAUUAUCCAACCCAUAAUGAUCAGGUCGGUAAUGAUUUUCAAUAUUCAGCAAAAUUGGCAGGUCAUCUAGUAGGUAAUUGACCGAUAUUUGCUCGAUCCGACCCCAUGUCUGACCGGACUUAUUUCUGUAUUUGUACUGAUAAAAUUAAAUAAUUUUCUUACAUGUUCUUUUGUAUUAAAAUACUCAUUAAUUGGAGAUCAAAAGUGAGCAAUUUGUUUGUCGAAUAGAUUCAUGUUUGCACUUAGGUAAGAUGAGUUAUAUAUAUGGGUUUUAAAUUAGACUAACAUUUUUAUUUUAGAAGUGAAAUAGCUGUUGGGUGCUAAAUACCUAACACGCAAGUGCACGUAUCGCAAACAAGUAGUAAAAGUGGAUUCGUGAGAGUCGGAUGUCGAUUCCACAGGGAAUACUCAAAUUAUCUAAUCCUAAGUACCAAUUUCUAACAACUAUGAUUUUUAUCCAGCCUACGCAAGUUUGUCAAAUUAAAUCAACUAAAACAAUUAAACUAAUUAUGAAAGCAAAUAAACACUAGAAAAUAUCAAUAAAAACGGACCUAGGAUUUUAUCUCCCCCCUAUGCAAGAAUUGCUCACCCAAAACCCCUCAAUUAUGAAAUACAUGAUUCAUGAUUAUUAACCCGAGACACUAAUUUACUCAUAACCCGCUGUCGCGUGUAUUAUGAGUCUAUUAUUCAUAAACGAUUCACUAUAUGUCUAUGCAAACCAAUUAUAAAUAAAGCAUUAACUAACAAGUCUCGUAAAUGGCUACCUAAGGUGAUAUCUGUAUGUCUACGACACCACAUGCAAUUGACACACUCAUCCGGUGAAAACUACUCGAAGGCUCUUCUACCUACCGUCUAAUUAUCAAAAUAGCUCUGUCGAGUCAAUCCCAAUAAUCACAGAUAAAGCACAUAAAUUGAUCAGGUUCAUGCACUAACAAUCAUAACAAGUAGAAGAAAUAAUCAUAAAAUCAUAAUUGCAUAAUCUCAAGAAAACGGGUUCACCAUCCCCACAUAGGGUUCCGACAAAAUCCUAGAUUAAAAACUUAGCUACUCGUAAUUCUUAUGAUAAGCAAAAUAGAAUAAAUAAAACAAAUAAGAAAAACUAUGCUUGAGUCUUCGUUGAUAUUCGUUCUUCGCGUUUUGGGGUGUAAAAUUUCGUGCUUAUAGUGUAGAGACUUGUUGCUUUUAUAGGCUUUUCUUGAUAAGGAAGUAGUGGAAACGUAAUAGGAAUCAAUUUUCGCCACUUUCCCCCAUCAGGGUUUGUUCUUCGAUUUUCGCCAUGUUGGAGUCCGAAUUUUGGAAUGUUUUGUAAAUAAGAAUUGUAGCCCUUGAAAUUAUCUUUCCAAUGCCGUAAACAUCACCUAAUUCGGGGUUCGUAUGAGAGAGAUAUGCUCGAAAUAGUGGACACUGUCAAAGCUGUGGCGAGAUUCCUUCUUCCAAUUUGAUUUGUUUCCUUAUUUGCAACUUUUUUCUUUCUUUUUGAUCUUUUUUCCUUCAUGAACACCUAAUUCUCGUUUUUCACCUAUAAAACACAAAAUCAAUCAAUUAAAGCACAAAUAUAAUUAAAUCUAAACAAAAGAUCCACGUAAAGUUAACGUAUUGAGUGUAUUAUCUACACUCAACACACCCCCAAACUUGAACUUUUGCUUGUCCUCAAGCAAAAUCUAAUCGUAAGCAAAUGACUCAACUACUGCAUCUCAUCACAUAGAUCAAUGACCAACUUCAUGUUUUCAGAACUUGUAAUUAUAAUGAAAAUUCGUAGGCAUUCGCAAGCUCAAAAUUCAAAAGCACUUAGUCACUUUCCAUCAUCAAAAACCACAAAUCAUGCAAUUGCUUCAAGCAUCCAAUAUUUGUAAAUUAAAGAUAGAAAAAAUUUAUGCUUACAUGCAUAUGUUUGACUCCAAAUACUCACCAAAUUAUUCUACUCUACUAAUAUCGAACAUUAAGCUAUUGGGGUCAUUGGGGCUUUUUGGCUUUCAAUUGUUAGGCUCUUUGGUCCGAGCUAGGUAAUAUGGGUAUGUGUGGCUACUUUUUCUGAAUUGAGGUGAUUACGCCAAAAUUUGAAAUAUAAGCGUUUGAAACAAUGAAGUCACCUCUAAGGACUUUAAUAAACUCGAUUCUUAGGAGUUCAAAAGUCUCCACUUUUGCUCUUAAGACAAUGGAUCGAGCUUUCAAAACAAUUCAACAACUAGUCCUUACUUCUCCCAUCAAGUCUCUUCUUCUUCUUUUUUUUUUUUUUUUUUUUUUUUUUUUUUUUUUUUAUUAUAUAUAUAGACACAUAUAUAUUUUUCUUCUUCUUUUUCUCUUCUCUAUUUUUUUUUUCUCUCUCUCUUUUUUUUUUUUUUUUUUUUCGAAAGCAAUAAAUAAACUAAAACAACUAAAAUAAAAAAAAAAAUCCUAAGCCAUGCAAACUAAAAAAUUAAAGCACAUAAAAACAAGCAAUUUUUCACCCCCAAACUUAAAAUUUACAUUGCCCUCAAUGUAAUUAACACGAAGUUCAAGGAUAGAAUACACCUGAAUAAGUCGUCUUGGCCGUCUCCGGUUUUCUCUCCACCCUCGCUUUUAUUAUGCUUCAGUUGAGGUUCGCACGGCCGUAUGAGAUUUUGAACUGUUUUCCGCACGGCCCUGCGAAACUUGAAUUCUGGGCAGUAGCCUAUUGUUUCUCGGACGACCCUGCGAGAAUUCAGUGUAAAUUCCGCACGGCCGCGCCCCUUCUCAAUUUUGGGCAGUAGCCUCUCCGAUUUUCCACACGGCCGUGCUGGAUUCAAGCUUUUUUUGGUGCGGCCGUGUGAAGUGCAAAAUUGCACUUUGACCCCUGAAAAUAAAAAAAAUUGCUUAUUUAAUUAGCUUGCAUGCUUAUAAAAUAAAUAAAUAAAAUAAAACAAGAAUCAUAAAUAAUAAUAAAAAAAAAAAAAAAAAAAAACGAAAAUCUCGGGUUGCCUCCCGAGAAGCGCUAAGUUUAUAGUCUUCAGCCAGACUUUGUUCCUUCUCUUCAAUUCCUUAGCUUUUGAACCCAUCUCCUAACUUCCUUUUGGAGAAAGUCUUGAAUAAAUGGGUUGAUCCGAUUCUUCUUUCGACUGGUUCGCUUAGGAAUGCCCUUUAAUUUAUUCUUUUUGAUGUCAUGAGGCGUGCCAACAUCGUCUUUUAUCACGGUGUUUUGAGUAGGUGUUGUAACCAACUCAACCUUUUUCUUUUGUUCUCCUACAUGCUCAUUAGUAUCCACAAAAAAAUUUAAAUCAUGUAAUUUAACAGGAAAAAGUUUAGAAUCACUUACCUCAUCAAGAAGAUAACAUCCAUUAGCCGUAAUAGGCUUUUCAUCCACCCGGUACACCUUGAAGAUCACUGUUUCUUCCCCCACACUCAUUCUUAGCUCUCUCUUUCCUACAUCAAUAAUUGACCUACCGGUUGCUAAGAAGGGGCGUCCUAAGAUAAGGGGAAUAUUUUCAUCUUCCUCUAUGUCUAGUACUAGAAAAUCGGCCGGGAGUAUAAACUUAUCUACCUUGACCAACACAUCCUCCACUAUACCUAAAGGGUGAGUAAAAGAUCUAUCGGCUAGCUGCAAGGUCACGGAAGUAGGCUUAAUUUCUCCUAAAUUCAGUUUCUCAUAAAUUGAUAAAGGCAUUAAAUUUACGCUCGCCCCUUGAUCACACAACGCCCGCCCAAAAUACCUAGUACCUAUUGUGCAUGGAAUGGUACAACUGCCCGGAUCUCUAAGCUUCGGUGGAAUUUUAUUUGCAAGGAUAGCACUACUUUGCUCAUUGAGGUCUAUGAUUGCUGCACACUCCGGAAUCCUAAUCUUUUUCGAUACAAGUUCCUUUAUAAACUUAACCCAAUUCGGCAUAUGCUUAAGUGCCUCAACAAAAGGAAUAUUAACAUGCAAUUUUUUAAGAUAAUCCAAAAAUGACUGAAAUUGCAUAUCAAGCUUAGAGUUUUGAAAACGUUGAGGGAAAGGUACCUUGGCAGUAGGUUCACUUACUGUGAUCUUUGUGUUGCUUGGCCCGACCUCGGUUUUUUCCUUGGGCUCCUCUACAAUAGGCGGUGGUGCAACGGACUUUUUAGGAACUUCCUCUAAUUGCCUCCCAUUUCGCAAACUCACUGCAUUGCACUGCUCGAUGUUGCUCUUUCGAGGAUCUUCCGUAUUCGACGGCAGUGCUCCCAACGGCCUCGCGUUUAGUUGGGUUGCAAGUUGCCCCAUUUGUGUCUCAAGGUUCCGAAUGGAUGCUUGAGUCGCCGUCAUGAAUUGUGCUAAGAUGUCAGCGAGGUCAACUCCUUGCGGUGGAGCUUGAGGUGGUGCUUGCCUUUGUCCUUGCUGAUUUCCUCCCCAUCCAAAGUUGGGGUGAUCUUUCCAUCCCGGAUUAUAGGUGUUGGAGUACGGGUUCCUCUGUUGUCGAUUAGUGUCAUGCACAUAAUUUAGAGACUCCGUUUCUUCUACCCACUGGUUGGGAACUUGGACUGCAUGGACUUGUUGAGUUUGCAAUGCUGCUACUUGCUUCGAUAGUUCUCCAAUUGGGCCGUGAUUGUAGUGACUCCGUCUAGAUCCAAAAUUCCUCCCGUCUUGACUGCUCCGCUAUUCGACCAGUCCGAUGCCCGCAUGUAUUUGUUUCGAGCGAUUCGCUCCAAGAGUUCGUAUGCUUCGUCAUAGGUCAAACUCAUGAACAUACAUCCAGCUGCAGAGUCGAGCACUGUCCUCGAGUUGUCUUGCAGUCCAUCGUAAAAUAUUUGCAGUUGGCGCCACUCUUGUAGUCCGUGAUUCGGGCACCUCCUUACUAACUGUUUGAACCGCUCCCACGUCUCGAAUAAUGCUUCACCGGCUUCUUGUAUGAAGUUUUGAAUUUCUCGCCGGAUUCGCUCAGUUUUUGUUGGGGAGUUGUAUGUGUUCAUGAAAAGUUGAGCUAGCUGGGCCCACGACGAGAUGGAGUGCAGUGCACGAGUUUGCAACCAUUCUCGGGCUGCUCCUUGUAGGGAGUGCUUGAACAGGCGGAGUUGCAGUGCUUCGGGUGCUACUCCGUUCAUCUUGUGCGAGUCACACGUUUCGAGGAAGUUGACCAAGUGGAGGUGUGGAUCUUCAUGAGCCAAUCCGCUGAAUAGACCAUUGUUUUGGAGCAUCGUGAGAAGUCCCGCUCGAAUCUCGAAAUUGUUGGCUUCAAUGGGGGGCUGCUGGAUACUUGAUUGAAACCCAUUAAGCGUUGGAAUGGUGUACUCCUGCAGUGCUCGUUGACGAGGUGGUGGAUUAAUUAGCUGGCGUUGUUCUUGCUCAACGACGACUUCCCCUGCCGCAUUCGGUAGGCGCCCUUGGUCACCUCCCCCACGAUUAUUUUCUUCUUCCAUUGUUGCGGGAGUGUUUUGAGCUAACCGUUGAUUUCUCAUGGCUUGCCUAAACGUUCGCUCAAUUUCGGGGUCGAGAGGUAGCAAGCUCGUGUCGUUUCCUCUUCGCAUAAAAAGUACCUAGAACAAAAUAAUAAAAUAAUUAAAUAAAAUAAAAAAAAUUUGGCUGAAGUAAGAAAAACUUGUUGGGUGCUAAAUACCAACACGCAAGUGCACGUAUAGCAAACAAGUAGUAAAGUGGACUCGCGAGAGUCGGAUGUCGAUCCCACAGGGAAUACUCAAAUUAUUUAAUCCUAAGUACCAAAUCCUAACAAUUAUGAUUUUUAUCCAGCCUACGCAGGGUUGUCAAAUUAAUUAACUAAAUAAAUUAAACUAAUUAAGAAAGCAAUUAAACACGAGAAAAUAUCAAUAUAAAACGGAUCUAGGAUUUUAUCUUCCCCCUAUGCAAGAAUUGCUCACCCAAAACCCCUCAAUUAUGAAAUAUAUGAUUCAUGAUUAUUAACCCGAGACACUAAUUUACUCAUAACCCGCUGUCGCGUGUAUUAUGAGUCUAUUAUUCAUAAACGGUUCACUAUAUGUCUAUGCAAACAACUUACGAAUAAAGAAUUAACUAACAAGUCUCGUAAACGGCUACCUAAGGUGAUAUCUGUAUGUCUACGACACCACAUGCAAUUGACACACUCAUCCGGUGAAAACUACUCGAAGGCUCUUAUACUUACCGUCUAAUUAUCAAAAUAGCUCUGUCGAGUCAAUCCCAAUAAUCACAGAUAAAGCACAUAAAUUGAUCAAGUUCAUGCACUAACAAUCAUAACAAGUAUAAGAAAUAAUCAUAAAAUCAUAAUUGCAUAAUCUCGAGAAAACGGGUUCACAAUCCCCACAUAGGGUUCCAACAAAAUUCUAGAUUAAAAACUUAGCUACUCAUAACGAAAAAUAUGAUAAAAGUAAUAAAAGUCAUAGAUUAAGAAAAGAUAGGUGAAAGAAGAAUUAUGAUGAAGAGUUGUCAAUUCUCCGUCUUCGAUUCUUCGUUCUCUCGCUCCUCUCGCUCCAAGGUUGUGUCAAAAGUCUCCUUUGAUUCGUGCUUGGUUUGGGCUUAAAUAGAUGUCCCAACUUGGUAGAUGAUUCUAGGUUUCCUUGUGUGUUUAAAAGUCCAAAAUUGCUUCCAGCGUGAUUUGGCACAGCCGCGCGAAAAUCAGUGCAAUUCUCGCACGGCCGCGCGAGAAUCGCCGAACCUUCUGCCCAAAUUCAGCAUUUGGCACGGCCGUGCCAAAAAUAGGCUGAUUUUGGCACGGCCGUGCGGGCCUGUUUUCAGCCAAUUUCAGCAUAUUUUUGAUUAUUUCACUUUUGGCCCAUAUUUUCUCCAAAUUUGCAGUUUUGACCCCAAACUUUUCCAAUUCUUCAAUUUAUACGUAAAAUACAAUAAAUCAACUUUUUAAGCACCAAUUAUCGUUAAAUCACACCAAAAGCUCAAAUAAAAAGAUUCGAUAAAGUGUAAAAAUAUACACUUAACACACCCCCAAACUUGAUCUUUUGUUUGUCCUCAAGCAAAAACUAACAACUUUCACAGCAACACUCUCAACAAAUGCCUCUCAUCACAUAGAUUAAUGGUCAAUUUCAUGUUUUCAGAACUUGCAAUUAUCAUGAAAAUUCUCAAAAAUUUACAAGCUCGUCAUUGCUAAAAACCACAAACCAUGCUAUCGCUUCAAGUAUCCCAUAUUUGUACAUUAAAAUUUGAGAAAAUUUAUACUUACAUAUUAAUAUUCAACUCCAAAUACUCACCAAAUAUCUUUACUCGGCUAGUAUCAAAUAAUUGAGCUAUUCGGAUCAUUGGGACUUUUUGGCUUUCAAAUGUUGGGCUUUUUGGUUCGAGGUAGGAGAUAUGGGUAGAGGUGGCUAUACUUCUUGAAUUGGGGUGAUUACGCCAAAUUUUGAAAGAUAGGCGUUUGAAACAAUGAAUUCACCUCUAAGGACUUUAAUACACUCGAUUCUUAAGAGUUCAAAAGUCUCCACUUUUGCUCUUAAGACAAUGGAUCGAGCUUUCAAAAUAAUUCAACAACUAGUCCUUACUUCCCCUUCUAGUCUCUUCUUCUUCUUUUUCUUUCUCUUCUUUUUUUUUUCUUCUUUUUUUUUUAUUUUUUUUUAUUUUUUUAUUUUUUUAUUUUUUUUUUUGGUAGAUGAAGAAGAAGGACCUUAUAAAAUUUUCCAACCGAACUCCUCCAAAGGGUAAUUCUUCAAGAAUGUCCAUUUAUUCUACCUUAUACACAUUGGCUAAAAGAAAGAACACCGUUUCUCCAAGGCUCAAUCGAGGUUCGAAUGAUAAAAAUUUAAAGGUAGGCUUGAAAGGCUCAAACGGUUCAAAGAUGGCCCAAAUCACUUCCCAAAUUGCUCAACAAUUUAAUAUUUCACUUUGUAAAUUCAUAAGGCAGGUUCUAAAACCGAAUAGCAUAUGAUAUAACAUAAAUUAAAUCAAAUUUUAAAAACACAAAACUUUCAACCAAAGCAACGCAUAAUUCGAGAUUCCUAACAAUGACUCCUUCUUACGACACUUUGAAUCAAAAGCUCACCAAAAUUCGAUCAAAAUCAAGAUAAAGCAAGCAAUUUCAUCAUUAAACAUCAACCAUCUUUCAUCAUCAUGAUUCAUCGAAACAUUUAUCUCAAACUUUUUUUUUUUUUUUUUUUUAAAAAAACAAUAAAUAAACGAAAAAAAAAAUCCUAAGGCAUGCAAACUAAAAAAUUAAAGCACAUAAAAACAAGUAAUUUUCCACCCCAAACUUAAAAUUUACAUUGUCCUCAAUGCAAUUAGAACAAAGUUCAAGGAUAGAAUACACCUGAGUAGUCGGAAGGUCCUUCUCCGGGAUGCACUCUUUGCUGUUCGUUUAAUCCACAUUUAACGUCUAAUCCCUUAGUGUUUGACUUUCGACCUAAAAAUUAAAACAAGAUUAAAUUAUUAGUUUGCGCAUGCUAUAAUCCUAAGAAAAAUAAAAAUAAAUAAAAAUACGAAAAUCGAUAAAUGCUUGGGUUGCCUCCCGAGAAGCGCUAAGUUUUAAGUCUUCAGCCAGACUUUGCUUCUUAAAACUGUUAUGUCCAAUCCAAAGCCUUGUAGAUUGCGCAUCCAUCCAUGAGCUCUAUCACUUCAAUUGCAACCAAGGCAUGGAUAGCAUUGCAAUAUAUCAGGAUCCACCUUAGCUUGUAGUCUUUCUUGGUUGUAAUCAAUCGGGACGAAGCUAAGAUGGGAUCUUCAUCACCCGCUCCCUCAAAUCGGUACACAAAAACCUCACGUCCGCGUAUAACCUCCACUUCAAACACAUUCGUCUUCUCAUCAACCUCUAUUGAUGCCUUCAAAUCUACAUUUAGAUCAACGACAGGGUCCACAACUAGAAUAUCUUCAAUCAUUACAUCCAUCUCCUUCUUCUCUUGUUUUGAGACAUCUUCGUGGUUUAGCUCGAUUGCCUUCUCAGAUUCAUCAUGCUCAAGUGUCUUCGUAAUUUCUAUUUCUCUCAUAUCGACACUAUUUUCUGGACAUGGAAGAUUUUUCUCACCGCAGGCUUCACCCGAAUUUUCUUUGAUAUAACCAUUGCCGAUUUCGUUUGGAAUAUUUUCAAGAGAUUUAAAUUUUAAUUUGAGCGUCAUCUCUUCCAGUUGCAUCUCCAUGUGUCGAAAUGAUGCUUGAGUGGACUUCAUGAAUUCGGCAAUGAUGGAUACCAAAUCAAGUUGUUCAUCAGUGGUCUGCUGCUGCAUUGGAUAAUAAUUUUGAAAAUCAUCAAUUUGUGGCUCUCUAUGUUGAAACUCGUUCAAAUCUUGGUCUUGAAAGCUUUGCUCGUAUGUGUUGGUGUAAGUGUUCCAAUAACCUUCGUUGGUAAUUUCGACGAAAUUUGUCGCCUUUGGUGAUCCCCAACAUUGAUCGAAAAAAUGAUUUCCACCACAUGCUGAACAAAACGGAGGCAUAUCAUAGGUGUUUAGGAGGUAUUCGUCAGAUGGAAGCCAUUCAUAUCCCGUUUGAGGUGCCCGAAGAUUGUAACCAGACAUGUAACAAAAACAAAAAAAAAAAUAAAAAUUAAAGUUAAAAAUAAAAAUAAAAAUUAAAUGGCUGAAGUAAAAAAAAUUGCUCAAAUUUGAUAUUAGAAUAAAUAGAUAAUUUAGCCGUAUUCCCCGGCAACGGCGCCAAAAAACUUGUUGGGUGCUAAAUACCAACACGCAAGUGCACGUAUCGCAAACAAGUAGUAAAGUGGACUCGCGAGAGUCGGAUGUCGAUCCCACAGGGAAUACUCAAAUUAUUUAAUCCUAAGUACCAAAUCCUAACAAUAAUGAUUUUUAUCCAGCCUACGCAAGGUUGUCAAAUUAAUUAACUAAAUAAAUUAAACUAAUUAAGAAAGCAAUUAAACACGAGAAAAUAUCAAUAUAAAACGGAUCUAGGAUUUUAUCUUCCCCCUAUGCAAGAAUUGCUCACCCAAAACCCCUCAAUUAUGAAAUAUAUGAUUCAUGAUUAGUAACCCGAGACACUAAUUUACUCAUAACCCGCUGUCGCGUGUAUUAUGAGUCUAUUAUUCAUAAACGGUUCACUAUAUGUCUAUGCAAACAACUUACGAAUAAAGCAUUAACUAACAAGUCUCGUAAACGGCUACCUAAGGUGAUAUAUGCAUGUCUACGACACCACAUGCAAUUGACACACUCAUCCGGUGAAAACUACUCGAAGGCUCUUAUACUUACCGUCUAAUUAUCAAAAUAGCUUUGUCGAGUCAAUCCCAAUAAUCACAGAUAAAGCACAUAAAUUGAUCAAGUUCAUGCACUAACAAUCAUAACAAGUAUAAGAAAUAAUCAUAAAAUCGUAAUUGCAUAAUCUCGAGAAAACGGGUUCACAAUCCCCACAUAGGGUUCCAACAAAAUCCUAGAUUAAAAACUUAGCUACUCAUAACGAAAAACAUGAUAAAAGUAAUAAAAGUCAUAGAUUAAGAAAAGAUAGGUGAAAGAAGAAUUAUGAUGAAGAGUUGUCAAUUCUCCGUCUUCGAUUCUUCGUUCUCUCGCUCCUCUCGCUCCAAGGUUGUGUCAAAAGUCUCCUUUGAUUCGUGCUUGGUUUGGGCUUAAAUAGAUAUCGCAAACAAGUAGUAAAGUGGACUCGCGAGAGUCGGAUGUCGAUCCCACAUGGAAUACUCAAAUUAUUUAAUCCUAAGUACCAAAUCCUAACAAUUAUGAUUUUUAUCCAGCCUACGCAAGGUUGUCAAAUUAAUUAACUAAAUAAAUUAAACUAAUUAAGAAAGCAAUUAAACACGAGAAAAUAUCAAUAUAAAACGGAUCUAGGAUUUUAUCUUCCCCCUAUGCAAGAAUUGCUCACCCAAAACCCCUCAAUUAUGAAAUAUAUGAUUCAUGAUUAGUAACCCGAGACACUAAUUUACUCAUAACCCGCUGUCGCGUGUAUUAUGAGUCUAUUAUUCAUAAACGGUUCACUAUAUGUCUAUGCAAACAACUUACGAAUAAAGCAUUAACUAACAAGUCUCGUAAACGGCUACCUAAGGUGAUAUAUGUAUGUCUACGACACCACAUGCAAUUGACACACUCAUCCGGUGAAAACUACUCGAAGGCUCUUAUACUUACCGUCUAAUUAUCAAAAUAGCUCUGUCGAGUCAAUCCCAAUAAUCACAGAUAAAGCACAUAAAUUGAUCAAGUUCAUGCACUAACAAUCAUAACAAGUAUAAGAAAUAAUCAUAAAAUCAUAAUUGCAUAAUCUCGAGAAAACGGGUUCACAAUCCCCACAUAGGGUUCCAACAAAAUCCUAGAUUAAAAACUUAGCUACUCAUAACGAAAAACAUGAUAAAAGUAAUAAAAGUCAUAGAUUAAGAAAAGAUAGGUGAAAGAAGAAUUAUGAUGAAGAGUUUUCAAUUCUCCGUCUUCGAUUUUUCGUUCUCUCGCUCCUCUCGCUCCAAGGUUGUGUCAAAAGUCUCCUUUGAUUCGUGCUUGGUUUGGGCUUAAAUAGAUGUCCCAACUUGGUAGAUGAUUCUAGGUUUCCUUGUGUGUUUAAAGGUCCAAAAUUGCCUCCAGCGUGAUUUGGCACGGCCGCGCGAAAAUCAGUGCAAUUCUCGCACGGCCGCGCGAGAAUCGCCGAACCUUCUGCCCAAAUUCAGCAUUUGGCACGGCCGUGCCAAAAAUAGGCUGAUUUUGGCACGGCCGUGCGGGCCUGUUUUCAGCCAAUUUCAGCAUAUUUUUGAUUAUUUCACUUUUGGCCCAUAUUUUCUCGAAAUUUGCAGUUUUGACCCCAAACUUUUCCAAUUCUUCAAUUUAUACCUAAAAUACAAUAAAUCAACUUUUUAAGCACCAAUUAUCGUUAAAUCACACCAAAAGCUCAAAUAAAAAGAUUCGAUAAAGUGUAAAAAUAUACACUUAACAAUAGCACACACUUAUUUUAUGUAUGUACAUUGAUUAUUCAGCCUUAGGACAUUUUAAGAAUACUAAGAUUAUUUAUCAUUGAAGUUUUACUCAUUUUCAUCUGUUAUGAUUGUUUCUAUUUGAUUUUGAAGUGUGAUUGUUAAACAUGUGUGGAUCUAUACAUGUAUAUAUAAAUAUGUGUAAAACAUGUAUGGCAUGAAUAAUAUGAUAUAUACAUGUAUACAUGAAUAAUAUGAUAUAACUCGUUAAAGUUCAACAAACAUAGCAUAGAACAAAUAUAGUAUUAAUAGUUUGAUUUUGUUCAAACUAAACACUUACAGUUACUAACUUAUGGAAUUGUAGCAGACAUGCAAUCUAAUUUUUAAUUAAAUAAAAUAACUUUCAUAAAUUAUAUAAAAUAUAUAAGAAUUCAUUAAACUUUAAAAUAAUAAUAAAUAAAAUUAAACUAAAAAAUAUAGACUUUCUAAAUCAUAUCAAUGUAAGAACAUUUAAUAAAUAAUAAGAUGAUUUUGUGAAGACCUUUUUUCAGAAAGAUAGUAACAUCAUGGUCAAGUGUAUUUGCUUAAGAGAUACUUUGAUAUUAGUAAAUAAAAUUAUAUUUACCUUUGCAAUUAGUAUUCUUAAUCUUCUACUUUAAUAAAGUUCCUGCAAAACUCCAAACAAUUAGAAAUUACAUAUAUCCAUGCUUAAUAAAAAAAAAUUACAUCAAAACAGCAAAUAAAUUCCCAUCAAUAUAUCCAAGAGGAUUCGAUUAGAUAAAUGCGAUUAUAUAGUUGCACGGUAAACAUAGGCCUUAAGACCCUGUUCUUUCGAAUCCUAUAGCGAGGUUUUGGGGCUGUUAACAAACUCCUCAAAUAAACACUUUGAUAUUUAUGGACAAAAGCAAGAAGAAUAGCAGGAGUUUUGGAUUGAUGGUCUUCCAACGCAGCUAUUAUUGAAUAUUAAUUAUUAAAUAUUACUCCAUUAAUUAGCAUUACGUACAAUGUAACACACACAUUGAUGUUCAAUGAAUUAAAAAUGAUAAAAUUAAGAAUUAAUUAAUAUUACUUUGUUGUCCCUCUAAUCAUACCUAUUAAAAGGAUAUUUUUGUCCAAACAAAAAAGGGAAGAAACCACUAACUACAUUCAUCCUUUUAUAAGUAGUAUAUAUAUAUAAUAUAUAUAGAUGAAAUCAAAAUAUAAUUUUAAUUUGAAAUAUAAUUAGUCAACUUUUGAAAUUUCAUUCUACAAAAGUCGAUAUUUCAUCUUUGUUCUUCUAAUAUACAUAUAAAAUAGGUUCGUCGUUUAUUGUAUACUAGUACUACACCCGUGGAAUGCAUGGGAUAGCAUUUUCAAAAGUGAAAAAGAAAAAUAUUUAAAUACGUCAUGAAUAAAAAUAGUAAUAAAACAAGAAAAUUUAUUAGUAAAAUUAAAUUGACAAAGGGUUAUAUGAACUUAAAUCGUCAUAAUAUGAAUUCAUCGUUAAAGAAAUGAAGUAUAUUGAACAAAACAAAAAUUAAUAAAUGUGUCAUACAUGUAUUCUUCAACUCCAGCAAUUGAUCACACCAUUAUUUAGUUCUUUAACAAAACCAAUUAAAAAUACGUAUAUAAAUACUCAAAAAUACGUUUCAUUUAAAUACAUUUUGUAGUAACAUAAAACUACUUAUAUACGAACAUCCGUAAACCAAUGUUUAUAGUUGUAUAACUGUAGUCGUAAUCAUAAGAUACAACAAUUAUAAACUACCAUUGUCGUGAUCGUACUAAAAACGUUUUCAGUAAUCGUAAGAAAAAUUAUACUAUUAUGUCCUUCCAUUUGUAAGAGUUUACAAAUUCGAGCACUGAUGCUUCGCCUCUGGAGUCGCUUAUCGAAGUCGAAAUUUGAAAACUUAUUGCCUCUUACUCCUUUCUUUUGGCAAAUGCAUCCGGAAUAAAAUCAAGAUUGACAUCUGGGGAAGCCCUGAUAAAGUUUUAAACGGUUGAGUUAGGCUUUUAAGUUUAUCGGGAUUCUAAGUCAUAAUAAGAUUUACUGUACGACUUGAAUCAUACUAAAUAGAAACAAAAAUAUUCUAAUGCAGUUACUUGCUCAACCUUAAAGAAUACUGAAAUAACAAAUUAUACGAUCAAAUUACUAACUGCAUAUUAUAGCUUUUCAAAUGUCAAACAUUUGAAUAAACAUGAAUUAAAAUCAAGCCCAUUUUUGUGAACAUCUUAAUUGAUUCCCAAAAUUUGGUUCUAAUGUAUAUCAUACAACCAAAAAUACUUAUAUAACUUUGAACUGUGCACUGGGAUUCGAAGUUGUAAUUAGCUUUAUUGAAAAUAUGGAAAUAAAAUUUCAAAAGUAUCUAAAAAAAGAGAUACCAAAACUAUAAGGGACUUUAAGAUAUAGGUCCCUAGUGACAAAACUUAUUAGAACUAAAUGACAAGUCUAACUAAACAUUUGCUUCACAUCCUUUAUAAAUUUCAUUCCAAAAAUGCCCCACGUACAAAAAAUAAAAUAUGCACCAAGUAAUAUUUAAACUGCAUUUAUAAUUUUUUUCAUUCGGCAUUUAACAUUUUUAUUUUCGUAUCUAGCAUUUUUGUUAUUAUUUUUUUUUCGUAGAACAAUUUUUUUUUCUUUUUGCAUUUUCGUAUUUUUUCCUUUUUUCUACAUAAUAUUGAAAGUUGUGAUUUUUUUUAUUUUUUUUUCAGUCGUAGUCUUCUAUAUAAACCCGUAGGAAACCGUAGUAGUCCGUAGUCAUGUAUAGACACUCGUAGGAACUGUAGUAAUCCAUAGUCACGUAUUCUUAAAACCAUAAUUCCUCCUUUGAACCCUAGCCGUCAGACACCAUAGACACCCAUACAUACUCAUAGACAUCUAUAGACAUUAAAUCGAAAAAUCUUAGAUCUGCCCCACCAAACUGUAGAUCUCCUCCACCAAAACUUAGAUCUGUGACGCCAACAUCACCACGCCGCUAAAGAUGCCACGAAACCCCGGCCCACCCACGCUGCCAUUACCCCCCACAACGUCGAGCACCACCAACACCAUCCCCCAGCCCCUGAGCGCCGCCCUCCGCCGCCGCCCUCAUGACCAACGUAACGCCGCUCACCGCCGUCGUCGCCGCCACCAUCACCAUCCCUCCCCCCAUGCCACCGCCUCCAACACCAUGCCGAUUCUAUCAUCACAGCCACCAUCCCCUCUCAAAUCAUGGGAUGGAGUGUGGCGAGAGAGAUAUCUUGAGAUUGAGAGAAAUAAAUCGAGAGAGCGAGACAGAAAGAACGAGAGGGAGAGAAGAAGAAUAAAGAGGAAAAAUAGAUCUGAGAAGAAACAUGAAUAUGUGGGUUAUAAGAUUUAGGGUGUAAGGGCAAGAUAGGGAUUAAAAAAUAAUUAAGGAUGUGGGUCAUAUAUUAUUUCAAUCUAAGGAUUUAAUUAAAAAAUUGGAUUUAGACUUGUCAUUUAGUUCAAAUUAGGUUUCGUAUGAGGGACUCCUAGCAUAUUACCCCAAACUAUAAUCAUUUUGUUCUCUCACUCACAUUUAAACUAAUGUAUUCUCUUCAAAACAAUUAAUAGUAUAUAAUCAUAUUACUUACCCUCUUACAUAAACUUCAAACAACAGAAAGAAAAUGCGUAAUCAAAAUGACUUUAGUUUUCCAAAACAAAUAAAAGAGAUAUUAAAAUAAAAUCCAUCAGUCAAUGUGGAACAAAUUCAGAAUAGACAUGUAAUUUCUAAUUUCUUAAUUUGCAAUCAAGAUGUAGUGCAUCGAAAAAAUUGAGUUGGUUAUUGGCAUUUGUAUGUAAAUCACGGAUAACCAACAUACCCGUGUUUGCAAAGUAUGCACGUCUGUAUAAACCAACAUUUCUCCCAAAUCUGAUAUAAUUGACUUGAACUAUCGGGCCACCGUAACCUCUUUCAUCACCAUAGAAAUUGCAAGCUUAAAAACAUAAUUUCAAUCCAUCAACCAAACAAUUUUAAUAUUAUAACACAACUAAAGAUAGAUUAAAAUGCAGAAAAUAGUACUUACAUUUUUAGGCAGCAGAGUAUCAGUAGUAUCAGCCCGUGCCUUUUUUGAUCAUGCCACAUCACCUAUCUACAUCAUAUGCUUUUCCACAGCCUUUCAACACGUUGUUAUAGCCCUUUUUUUGUUAAAUCAGCAAUAAAUAAAAUUGAAUAUUGUAACUGAAAGUCUUUAUUACUAAUAUUCUACUCCCAACCAACUCAAGUACAUAAGACAUGUCGCUUCAAAUAAGUCAAAAAAAUAUGUUAUCGAUAGAACAACACCAGAUGUUACUUCUUUGAUAUAUAAGAUUUACUCGUAUAGCCACAUUUUUUAUUACUUACCAAUUGUACAGGGUACAAAUUUUUUUUUUUCUCUAAAAAAAAGACCCCGUCUAUAAAGCCAUCGAGCAAUAACUCUUAUAAACUUUAAACAAUAACUCAAACUAAAUAUGAUCAAAAUUGAAAAAAAGUGAAUCGUUAUUACAAAUAAGGAAUUACGUAAGUUGACAAUACCAUCAAAGAGAUUCCCAUUAGACUAAGUCACAGACAUAAGAUUGGCAAGUUUCUCAAAAGUAAAUUUGCAAACCAAUAAAAAGAGAGGGGUUCACUUACAUUAUACAACUCCAUAUCUUGAAAGGAUGAUAGGGACUCAUGGAAAGGGGGGAAAAGAUUUAUCAUUGAGCGUUAUGGUAAUUACAGAAAUUCGGCAAACAUAGGGAAUCACAGACGCCCCUUGAGCUUCACUUUUAUUUUACACUCCCUUAUCAGUAGGUGAAAUUUAAAAAAAGAUAAUUAAAAUUGAAUAUUUUGUAACCCGUAAAACGUAAUUUGCCUACUGGAUUCUGAAAAUAAAAGUAUCAAAAUAUUGCCCAUCUACAAAGCAAAAUUAUGACAUCUAAAGAUUGUGAAACAUUAGCCAUGUACAUAAUCCAUGAUCAAUCAAUUUGUACAUGCUCUUGGUCCACGCCCGCAGCCCUUGAGCGAAUCCCGAUUCCCGUUUUUGGAGAAGACCUUAUUUGCUGAGAUGGAGACUAAAAUAGGGUUCAACAUACUUUGAUCAAGAAAUAAAAUUCCAUCAAAAAUAUGUAAAUGGUAGCAAUCACAAUCGUAAAAAAACUAUUUGAAGAUUAAAACUAACAAACUAGAGCACUAUGAAGAAUCAAUAUCUGAAAUUGUUUUGGCAUAAAUUGGAACACAAUAUGCAGGGCAAAUAAACUGAAUUUGAAGUAAAUAACUGAUAAUACCAUAGGUUAUUUAGAGGGAUGCAUCUUUAAUAUAUGUAAGAUUGAAAACUUAACAAGCACAAGUUUUCGAAAUGAAAAGAGAAAAUUCUUUGGGAAGUUUAACAAAUAUAUCUUUAGCUUUUUCAUGCAAGCAUUGGAUUAUUAUCAUGUUUUCCACCAACAUUUCAAGCUCCUUCGUGAACACAUCCAUUGCAUUUUCGGGUAAACAAAUGGAAACAACUAUUCCAUUAUCACCCUUGUUAUUUUUGUAGGGCAUGUAAACACUCAAUAGCUCAGGAACGAAACCAAUGUUUUCUUUGGCCACGCCUCCAUAAACGGCCUUUCCCCAACCGAAAUCCACAUCCUCGAAGCCCAAAUGCCUUGCAUUAGAUACAACAUAACCCCCAACAAACGAAAAACGGGACAGACGUUCGAUUAUCAUUGGAUCCGCCAUUGCCUCGAGUUUCGCCUUCCUCAAGAGCUCCAAUGCAUAGUGAUACGGGUUUUUCGAUAAGCAUUCACUCGUGGUUCUGGCUUUGGGGUCAAUGCAAUAGUUGUCGUAGUCCCCGACGGCAGAACAAUCCAUGUGGGGCCCACCCUGAGCUUAUGCUGCACAAGCAAUGGCUUUGGGCCCCACUUUCUAAGGGGCCCCUAAAUUAAAAUAUAUAUAUAUAUAUAUAUAUAUAUAUAUAUAUAUAUAUAUAUAUAUAUAUAUAUAUAUAUAUAUAUAUAUAUCCUCCUAUAGAUCAAAAAUAGUGAUAUGUCCAUAUCAUAAUUUUUCCUUUGUGAAAACCCCCUUGAAUAUAUUUAUUUCCAUUCUUACCCUCUAGUAGUUAUGACGUUUUGUUUUUAAUAAUUAUCCAGUAUUUUCAAAAUCUCUAUUAAUGAGACACCCAAUCCCACUAAUUAGGCUUAAUUAUAUACUUUCCCUAAUAAAACUGCUCUUAAUUACCAAUAAGCCCAUGGUUCAACCCAAAAUCUUUUUUACAAAAUUAUGGAUAAGGUCCAGAGAUUGUAAAUUACUAAAAGACCUCUCAAAUUUAAUAUACUCCGGUCUAAUUUCAUAUAUUUAACCCCAAUUUCAUAAAUUAUUGAAUUUUGACCCUACUCAAUUUUGACACUAACUUAACUGACGCCGACAUUGAUGUCAAUCAGACAAUCGUUGACCGGUGGUCAACACUAGUUGGUCUCCGUGUUGACUUUUCUUCAUGGGGUUUUUUUUUUCCGCCGCCCCUUACCACCGAUCAACGCCGGUCUUGUUGUUUUUUUUUCAUCAACUUUUUUUUUUCAAAACCUUUCUUUUUACCCGAUAAAACAAUAAUAUUAUUGUGGUUGACAGUAAUAUAACUUAUUGUUUAACACAAGAAUAAUAUUGCUAUAUUAUCUAGCACAUUAAUAUUUAAUAACUAUGUUAUAUAAUAAAUUAUUGUGUAAUACAGUAAUAUUAUAAUAUAAUGUUGAGCGGUCAACAAAUUCAAACAGAAUAAAAGACCAAAAAAAUUAUUAUUGUUAUGGUUGGCAGUAAUAUUGACUAUAAUAUUAAUGUCAAGCAUAGUAAUAUUAGAGAGUUUGAAAGUAAUAUUACUGUCAACCACAGUAAUAUUAUUAUGUUAAUCGGCCAACAAAACAAAUAAAAUUAAAAAAUCCAAAAAAGGGUAAUAUUAAUGUGGUUGACAAUAAUAUUAUUGCGUUGGCGGUAAUUUUAAAGGAUUAGGGGUAAUUUCGUCAUAAAUAUUAAAAUUAUCUUUGUUUAGAGCAACCCCAAUGGAGUUAUAAAAUGGGGUAUCAACACUCUUAAACACCAUUCAUACACAAAAAAUAGAAAAUUUUAAAUUCAAUGGAGUUGUCAAAUGAGGGUUUUAUUUUGAUAAUUCACCUUUUGGGAUGUAAACUACAUCGUGCAAACAUAAUUAUAAAAUGUGAGUUAUGAAGUUAACCACCUCAAUGUCCAUAUAGAAAAUGGCAUGUGACAAUUAGAUAUACAAAUCAAUUUAAUUAUUUUUGAUUAACAACCAUAUGAUACCUAUGGUUGGAGCAAAUACAUUUAAAUAAAUAAAAUAUAAAAUAUUGAAUAAAUAUUUGCUAACUCAUUUUGGUAUUUUUUUCAGGGGUUAUUUUACAUACUCCUACCCAAUGUUAUUAGAACCGGACCGGACAUAAAACCGGAUGGACAUAUGGGUCACAGUUGGACCGGUUCAACCGGGUUCGACCCUGGUUUUUUAAUUUAAUUUAAUAUAUAUAUAUAUAUAUAUAUACAUACAAACAAACAUUUACCUCAUUAAACAACAUAUCAAAUACUCUAAUUUAAUCAAGAAACCAUCCGUAACAAUAAUGUAGUCAAAACCAUCCUCAUCACAUUUUUAAAAUAUAAAAUAUAAAAAUCAGUUAAUUUACUUUAAAAAAUAACAAAGUCACAGACAUUCAAGUAUGUUUAUCAAACACAAAUUUUAAAUAUAAUAUAAUAUCACCUCUUAAUAAUAACUGUAUUACUUUCAAUUUCAUGAAAACAAUUGUGGAACUUGAUUUUAUUUUGAAUUUGGUAUUAAUUUUAUGUUGGUAAACAUCCAACUUGCACGAGUAUUGAAAUAAAAAUCAUAAUUCCUUACAAACAAAAGUCAAAAACAAGAGAAAUCAUACACCUUUAACCUUUACGUCAAUCAAUCCUUUGAUUUUGUGAAUGGCAAAUUGCAGUGGCGGCGUAAUCAAUCAAUUCCAGUGUCUGGUUUUGUUUGCAGCCAAUGAAACGACUACGUUUAGAGGAAAAGAAACAAAAAAAAAAGAAAAAAAACGCGUUUUGGAGCAAAACUGGGGUCAGUGUCCGGUUCGCCGGGUCCCGGGUUUUCCCCAGUUCGACCGGGUUCCUGUCAUUUGAACCCGGUUUUUGAUUUCUCCGGUUUUGAUAGUCAAACCGGACCGGUUUUAAGGUGGGUCGCGUCGAAUCGGUCAGACCGGCCGGUCCGGUCCGGUUUUGACAACAUUGCUCCUACCCACCAAAUAAACUAGGGAUAAACUCAAGCUCAAAUCAUCAUUUUAUUACAUACCCCGCUGAGAAGCGAAAGUACUAUAUUACCCUUAUAUGCAAUUUUCGGCCAAACUGCAUUCAACAUUUCUGGUCCUGCAUUUAUCAUUUUCGCUGAUUUAUUUAUUUAUUAUUAUUAUUAUUAUUAUUAUUAAUUUUUUUAAUAAACCUGUUUGUUAUAUGGGAUUAUUUUGUAGACCCCCCUUAUUCCCAAAUUAUAUAGAACUAACUACCAAGUGGAUUACACUCUAAGGAAACCCCCCCUAAUUUCGAAAAUAUUUUGACAUACCCCCCUGGGCCCAUCUGAAGUACCUAUAAUACCCUUUUAAAAUUAGUUUUAAACCCUAGACACUCACAUUUCGGUCUCUCUUCUUCUCCCAGAUUCAAAAUCCCGCCUCCACAAACCUCCCACCGGCGAAAUUGCUUCCCGGAGCCAUAACUCUCUCUCCGGUGGUCGGAAUUCAAUGGUUUAACUAUCGUUGGAAUCCUCUCGUCGAGGUCUUUCUUUUGGUGGUGAUUUCAUUCAGUUUGGAGAGCAGAUCUGAUUCUGCAAUUUUUUUUCAUUCGACGACGGUGGUCUUGCCGGAGGUGUUCUUUGUGUUCCACCAGUCGAAAUUCGACGGGCUACCCACCGUUGGAUUCCUCUCGUCGAGAUCUAUGUUUUGAUGGUAAUUUUGUUUAUUUUUAUGUUUACAGAUUUAUUUCUAUAAUUUUUUGCAUUUGUGGGUGCGCGAAACUGUGGGUGGUUAGUAGCGGCGCCUAGGGUUUUGGUAGGAGGCGAGGGGGGUGAGGAUUCACUGUAUGUUUGAUUUAAAAUUUGUAGCAUUUCCCAGCAAUAACCUCUCUCUCUCUAUCUCUCGAUCUUUUAGUAUUUGUUGAUUUUUGGAGUGUUUUGAUGUUUCAUCAAAUUUUGUUGAUUUACAACUAAGUAAUUUUUUUUUCUUUUGAUUUUGCAAUUGCAGCUUAUGAAAGCCAUUGAUCCUCUCCUUGAAGGUGUCACAAAUUUGGUCGAAGUCACUUGUGAAGCAGUGUUUGAAAAACUGUAUACAUUACUAUACAUUACUAUCCAUAUAUAGUAACAUGUAGUUAUAUAUGCAUAUAUUUGUGUAUUUUCAAUUUUUUAUCUUUUUUGGUUCUGAGGUGAUUUAUAAUAAAAAUAUUGACAUUUGUAAAUUUUUUCUGGGGUUUAUGAAUUUCUUUUGUAUAAGCCAGUAUUCGUGUGUGUAUACAAUUGAUCGACUAAAAAUAUGGGGAAAAAAACGAACAUAACUACGAAUUACUAUAGGUACCAUAGUUACAUGUAGUUAUUUUCAGUACUGCGGACGUAUUGUUUUGAAAAUUAAAAAAAUUAAAAAAAAUUAAAAAAUUAAAAAAAAAUAUAUUUUUUUUAAUUUAAAAAAAAGUUAAAAAAUAAAAAAAAAUAAAUAUAUAUAAAUUUAACAAACAGGUUUACUAUUAUUUAUAAAAAAAAAUAAUAAUAAUAAAUAAAUCAGCGAAAAUGAGAAAUAAGUACCAGAAAUGCUGAAUGCAGUUUGGCCGAAAAUUGCAUAUAAGGGUAGUAUAGUACUUUCCCUUCUUCAGGGGGGUAUAUCAAAGGAUGAUUUGGGUUUGGGUUUAUUUCUAAUUUAUUUGGUGGCUAGGGGGUAUGUAAAAUAACCCCUUGUUAUAUAUAUAUAUAUAUAUAUAUAUAUAUAUAUAUAUAUAUAUAUAUAUAUAUAUAUAUAUAUAUAUAUAUAUAUAUAUAUAUAUAUAUAUAUAUAUAUAUAUAUAUAUAUAUAUAUAUAUAUAUAUAUAUAUAUAUAUAUAUAUAUAUAUAUAUAUAUAUAUAUAUAUAUAUAUAUAUAUAUAUAUAUAUAUAUAUAUAUAUAUAUAUAUAUAUAUAUAUAUAUAUAUAUAUAUAUAUAUAUAUAUAUAUAUAUAUAUAUAUAUAUAUAUAUAUAUAUAUAUAUAAAUUUAAUUUUUUUAAUUUUUUAAUUUUUUAAAAUAAACAGGUUUGACUGAAAAUUGCGUAUAAGGGCAGUCUAGUCUGUUUUUCUCGCAGCCGGAUUACGACGUUGACUUUAUUUAUUUAUUUAUUUUUGUUUUUUUCGCGGCCGGAUUCUGGCAUUGACUUUUUCUAGUGGGUAUUUUUUUACGCCCACCGCUAAACGUUGACCGUAAUUGUGCUGUCAGUAACGGUAAUUAUACUGUCACUGACAAUAAAUUAACGUAAUUAUAUUGUCACUGAUGUGGUUGACAGUAAUAUUAUUGUAUUUACAGUUAUUUUACUAUCAACGACAGUAAUAUAAUUACAUUGACUUGUCAACAAAUCAAACAAAUUUAUCAAAAUAUAACAAAAAGAAAAACGGCAGUACAAUUACAUAAAUGUAUUGUCAACGGCAGUACAAUUACGUUAAUGUAUUGUCGGUGACAGUAUAGUUACGUUAAUUUACUAUCAGUGACAGUAUAAUUACCUUUAAUGACAGAACAAUUACGGUCAACGUUAAGUGGCUGGCGUAAAAAAAAAAAAUUUGAAAAGUCAACUCCGGAAUCCGGCGGCAAAAAAAUAUUUAAAAAAAAAAGUUUUCGAAAAAAGAGAAGUCAAUAGUACAUAAUAAUAAUGACUUUUGUUGUGUUAAUAUUACUGUGUUAAACUGUAGUAUAAUUAAUGAUAUUACUGUGUUUAACAGUAAUAUAGUUAAUAUUAUUUUCAACCACAACAAUCUUGUUGUUUAAACGGGGGGCAAAAGGAUGUUAAAGAAAUUAAAAAAAAAAUCGAAAAAGUCAACGUCGGAGACCAGCGUUGAUCGGACGGUCAACGCUGGAAACUGGUUGCGAAAAAAUCAGGAAGAAAAAAAAAAUAAUUCGAAAAAUUUGAAGCUGAAAACUGGAGGAAAAAUUAGGAAGGAAAAAAAAAUCAACGCCGGAGACCAGCGGUUAACGGCGGUGGCGGACGAAAUUGUCCAUAAAAAUGUGUUUUGGGUCAAAAUUAAAUAACCUGUGAAAUUUGUGGUCAAAUUAAGGUUAGAUUAAAUUAAAUGAUGAAAUUGGAGCAUAUUAAAGUACGAGGGGCUAUUCUAGUCUUUUACAAACCUCUGGAACAUGUGUGUAUUUUUUUGUAAAUAAGUUUAUUGUCUGAACAUCUUUAUGAAUAAAUGCACAUUGAUGGACUUAUUUAUAAAGUGCCUUUAAAAAAAAAAUCCGGCAGUGGGUUGUCGGAGCUCCGGUUAGCUGACUGGUCGUUAGUUAACUUCAACAUUAGUUGACAUUUCAUAUUUUUUGUGUUUUGUCUUUUUUUUCUAAUUUUUUUUCUCUAACGGCGGAUCGUCGGAGCUUCGAUUGGCUGACUCAGCAUUAGUUAAUUUUAACAUUAAUUGACAUUUGACAUUUCAUUUUUAUUUUCUUUUAUCAUUUUUUCUUUCUCUUAAUUUACUUGGAUGAUAAGCAUAUUAUUCUGAGCCCGUUCUUUUGGUGGAAUCAAACCACCCCUUUAUCUAUAGUAACUAUGGUUGGGAUGCCGGCCCCCCGUAUCCCGACUUAUCCAACCCAAGCAGUCCAUUAACCUUUCCUUUCGUAAAAAUGAAAUCUCUUUUUAUGCAAGACCAUGAGACGAAUGAGACUCUAAAACAAAAAUGACCACUUUACGACAUCACAAAUAUCAAUCAACGAGCAUUCAAACAAAAUCCAAUUAUACGCAUAUAUACACGGCAAUCACACACAAUAUCAUAUACAUAACCACUUAAGUAUAGCACAUAAUUCACAUAAUUAUUAUAGCAUCAUAUUAUAUAUUUAUAUAUCAUAAAUUACACACACAACAGCACACACACACGGCACACACAUAUACACACAACAUGCAGCCCCAAAACACACUUUAAUUAGCAUUAAAUUAUCAAACCAUGCCCUUAAAGCACCAACAUUUUUAUCUUUUCAUUAAUGGGAUUUCUCCCACUUUUAUUCAUUUAAUGAAUUAAAAAUUCUUACAGCCCCUUAACAUAGUUCAACUGGAGAUUUUUAACCAUAAAUUCACAUUCUCACAAUUAAUACUCAAGGCAUAAUGAUUAAAACACGAAAGUUCCAUUUAUGAUACAUGCACAGCCAAUAUUUCGAAAUAAUAGCAAAUGGCAUCUAAAUGUUCUCAAAUUAAAUUAUAGGCUGCCUAACUGACUAAGUGAACAGAUGCAAAAAGAAUUUUGCAGUUUCCUCAGAAAUUGGAUUUAUAAAAAAUAAAAUACUCGGCAAGUAGUGUUGAAGCCAAAAAUGAUUUUUCCAACAAAUAUUAAUCCCAAACUAUGGCCAAAUAGAAAAUAACAAAAUUCCACUUACUCCUACUGAGAUUUUAAAGGUGAAAACAUUUUUCAUGCUGAAAUUUCAAGAAAUUGCAGAUUAGUCCUAAAAAUUCAUAUACUAUCUACACAUGCAACCCCAAAAAUCUUGAAAACUCAUUUUCUUUUUCCAAAAUUCCCAAAAAUUCAAAAUAUUAAACCUUUAAACAAAAAAUGCUUAGAUUCACAGAUUAUAACAUGGAUUAGACAUGCAAGAACACAAAUACCAAGAUUAGCACAAGAUUUCAGAUUUUACACAAAAAGCCCUAAUUUUUCGAAAAGUGAGGAAAUCUUUUAAGUAGUUUUGAAAAUCCUUUUUCCUUACUAUGAUACCCUUUAAUUGGAGCAAGAUAUUCGAGAUUUCUUACCUAUCAAAGCGUGUUGGCCGAAGAAAGAAAAACCUUCAAAAGAAAAGAGGGUUUUUAGAGGAAGAAAAGGAGGAUGAAGAGAAAUGAAGAAAACGAAGAUACAAUGUUACCUCCUUCAAGAAGUGGCUCCAAGAUUGAACCAAGCUAGUUGAAUGGAGAAGGGAAGAGCUUUGAUAUCAAGUUGGGAGGAGUUGAGAUCUCCCGUAAGAGGGCAAGUGUUUUUGAUGGUGUUCUUGGCAUAUUCAAGGGUGAAACUUAUAUAGGGGAUUUGCAUUUUGAUUUCUAUAUUUUUUUUCUUGAAGAAAUUUGAGCUGGUGGCCGAUGGAGGAGGUGGUGCUUCGGUGGUGAUGGUGGAGAGAGGACAAGUGGGAGUGUAGGUGUAAAAAAAAAGAAGAAGGUAGAGUGUCUCUUCACAUUACUAAUCCACAUUGAGUGUUGGAUUAGUGUAAAUCAUCACACUUUGACAUGUGGACAAGCAUGCAUCUCUUUUCUAAUUUUAUUUCUUAAUUAAUAAAAUAUUAAUCUCUCUCAUACACACAAAACCGAACACACACAUAUACACAUAUACAUGUACCUAUAUUACCUAUAGUCUAGAGUAGGUUAUAGCAUAGGCAUAUAUGUAUGCAUACAUGUACGUAUAUAUGCAUGUUUUAUGUAUGUAAUUAUGAUUAAAUCAUGAAAUCACAUAAUUAAAUUAAUUAUACACAUAAGUCACAUAAUUUAAUCUAGCACACAAUUAUCAAUAAUUAAUCCAUUUAAGCACAUAAUUAUCGAAAUAAAGUUGGCACAUAAUUAUUCAACAAAUUCCUAGCACAUAAGGCAUAUAAUCAAAUCGGCAUAUAAGGAUUAUUAGUCUAAGCAAAUAAGGCACUUAAAGCAAUUAAGUUGAUAAGGUAAAUAAAUUCCUAAUAAUUCCUACGUGAGAAUUUUCGGUUAUGGAAUUUUGGUUAGGGAUUAGGGUUUCGAAAAUGUGGGGUGUUACAAUCUUCCCCCCUUAAAAUAAUUUUGUCCCCAGAAUUGUUACCUGACCCGAAUAAUUCCAGAAAGUGUUUACGCAUUUCCUCUUGGCGUUCCCACGUGGCUUCUUCUAAAGUAUGAUUAUGCCACGAGACUUUAACUAAGCGAAUGUUUCGGUUACGUAGGAUUUUGGUUUUGUAUUCGAGGAUUUGGGAGGAUUUUUCUUCGUAGGUUAACUAACUCAACAUUAGUUAACUUUAACAUUAGUUGACAUUAGACAUUUUUUUCCCUUUAUCUCCUUUUUUUUAAUUCGGUUUCGGUGGUGGGUCGUUGGGGCUCUCAUAACGAUUUUAACUACUACGAUUUUAUUUUUAUUAUUAUUAUUAUUAUUAUUAUUAUUAUUAUUAUUAUUAUUAUUAUUAUUAUUAUUAUUAUUAUUAUUAUUAUUAUUAUUAUUAUUAUUAUUAUUAUUAUUAUUAUUAUUAUUAUUAUUAUUAUUAUUAUUAUUAUUAUUAUUAUUAUUUAAAAAAAACUAAUUUCAUUUAUUUCUUUUUUAUUUUUUUCUAGUAGUGGCCUGGAUGGUGGGAGCUCUAGUUAGCUGACUCAAUAUUAGUUAACUUCAAUUAGUUGACAACUUGACAUUCAUUUUUUUUUCUUUUAUAUCAUUUAUUUUAUUUUAAUUUAUUUUUUCCGGCGGUGGGUCAUUGGAGCUAUAGUUAGCUGACCCAGCAUUAGUUAACUUCAAUUAGUUGAAAUUCAUUUUUUUUUUCUCUUUUUAUUUUUUUUCCUUUUUUAAUUUUCUUUGUAGCACCCCCCUCGGGUCGGGCGAUAAAUCGAACCGGUUUAUCGGAAAACUUUAGAUAGCGGAAGCAAAAAGGGAUCUCUUUGUAAUUUUAAAACUUUCGAGUAGGACCAAAAUGUAAUUUCUAAAAAUAUCUUUUUGGGUCAUUUGAAAACCUUGGAAAACCUUAAGAAUUUCGAAAACUCCUUAGGGUUAUUUUGGUCGUUUAAAUUUCUCGUUUUAGAAAUAACUUUAAAAAGGCAUAUAAUCAAAUCGGCAUAUAAGGAUUAAUAGUCCAAGCAAAUAAGGCACUUAGAGAAAUUAAUUUAAUAAGGUAAAUAAAUUCCUAAAAAUUCCUACAUGAGAAUUUCCGGGUUAUGGAAUUUUGGUUUUUAUGGUUUUUUUUAAAAUUGUUUUUAAUUCCUUCAAUUAGAGCCAAUGACCUGAUGACACGUGGCAGUCUUUGGCUAUAAAUAGCUGGAAAAUUGAAUUAGCUGUAGCUAAGUUGAGGUUUAUAAUGAUGAAUGGCUAGGCUAUAGCAGGUUUCUUUGUAUGUUUGGCACGAACAAAAAUUAUUAAUUUAAAAAAUGUAGCAAUGGAACUCAUAUAAUUGUUCAUGAUUUGACAAAUAAAUGCCUAAUGAAAUUUUUCUUUUCCCUCAAAAAGUAAAGAAACCCAUUUCUGGAAACUCCAAUACAACUUCCAUAUUUUUCAGUCACUUUCCAAAUCUAGGUUUUGGCCUUCUUCCCUCUUUCCCCUCUUUCAUUCUUCAGAGCCGCCUCCACAGCUUAGCCAACCUUCUGUUAUUGGUGCUGUUCAGGGUAUGAUUACUGGUCUUGCUUGCAUUACUCCUGGUGCAGGUACCGUGCUACCACCCCUCUAUUUCUAUUUCUAUUUCAUUUCAUUAUUUAUUAAUUAAUUAAUCAAAAUUACAUUUACAGUAGGUGUGUAAUCUUAUUGCACAAACAUAAAGAGUUGAAUUUUUUUUUGUGUAACUCUUAUUUUCUUUAUGCUUUUUCCACAUUUUUUGAUCUCUUUGUUUCUUCAGCUUUUUUUUUGAAGAAAAUAUUUUUUUAUUUUCUUCUAAUUUUUUCACAAAAUAAAUAUUGGGUAGUCAUUUAUUGUAUUGGGCAUAAGACAUUUUAUGAUUAUUCACCAAAUUUAUUUGAUAUUGUUUACAAAAUUUCUUAACAGGUUAUUAAUAAAAAUGUCGAUGUGAGAAGGAAGAGAAAGUUGGUUUUGCCUACAGCAAAUAAGUUGAUCUGUAAGUAAUGCUCAAAAAUUAAAUACACUAUAUUAGAUGAUCAGAUUCCAUGUGUAGAAAUACACUAGUUGUAUUCAUUAUUGCAAUAUGGAGCUAGAUAUAUGUGUAUAAUAUGUAUCAUGUGUUGUCAUUACUUUUUGAGAGAGAGAGAGAGAGAGAGAGAGAGAGAGAGAGAGAUAACAGAGGACAAAAGAGAUCAUGUUUGUGUAUUUUUAUGUGUUUGUGUGUGAGUGUUUGUCACAAAAGUGUGUUUGUGUGUGUGUGUGUGUAUGUCAAAAGUAUGUAUAUGUCAAAAUGUGUGUGUGUGUGUCAAAAGUAUGUAUAUGUCAAAAUGUGUGUGUGUGUCAAAAGUUUGUGAGUGUGUGUAUGUGUGUGAAAAAUGUGUUUGAGUGUGAAAAAUGUGUGUUUGGAACCAAGUGGAUCAUGGUUGGAUCCAAACAUUAGUCUACAUAAGUUGAGUAGAAAUUAUUUUGAUUUUUGUUGCCAUCUUUGUUUGUUUACAUAGUUUUUAUUUAUUUAUUUUAAUUUCUUUUUCUUUAAAGUGAUAUAUCUGCUUUUCUUGCCUUUGUUUUUCAGUUCGCAUAUCUUCUUAACUUUUGGACUAUCCGUGCCGCCGAGCCGCCGCCGCCAUUUGUACCGAAAAUCUACGCCGCCGCCGACACUCUUUCUCCAAAUCUUGUACGCUCUGCUCGUCAUCGCCGGCAUCACUCUAGGUAUUAACUAUUACAUUUCAAUUAUCUUUGUUUGCACACAUUUUUUUUAUUUACUUUCUCUUUCUUUAAAGUGAUAUAUCUGCUUUUUACUCCCCUUUAUUUUUCUUUACAUAUUUCUUUGCAUUAUAUAUCUCAAUAUGAAUUAAUUAUUUUUAGGAAAGUUGUAAACUGAGAAUGGGCAUAUAACAUGCCGUCUAAUGUUCGUAUGCAUCUGAUAUAUGUUCUUGCACCAGUAAUUGGUCGGUAAUUUUUCUCAAUAUCACUUGUUUUUUCCCCUGCCAAAGAAUGUUCUAAAUUCACAUUUUACAAACUCCAUAUUUUCUGCAAGCUUUUAUUGCCUUGAGAGAAUUAAAAUUGAGGAAAGUCUUGUGUGCCUUGAGUAAUUCAUAGGUAAUACAAAUGAAUAGGCAUUUGAGAAAUUCCACACUUACUUAAAACUAUAAUUUGGUGCCUUAGUGUUGUUGGGGGUAAAUUUAUUUAACUAACGAGUUUCAUUCGAACGAGUGAGUGAGAAGCCUAUUGAUAACUUUGGCUGGAAUGUUGUCAAUCCCUUGAAUUUGAUCUCUAUGCAAUGUUAGGAAUAACCUAAAAGAGUUAAUCCUCGUAGUCAUAAUUUUGCUUUUAGAGUAAUUGUUUUUAAUACGAUAUUUAGAUUCAAGUCCAAUUAUUUUCCUUCAAGUAAUUUUUUUUUCAUUUGCAACACCGGGACUAUAAAACAUUACCAGACAUGGCAGGCGUGGCAGUGGUAGAUCCUAACUUAGCUCAAGUUGAUGAACCGUUUAUUGGAGGUAUGUUUUUCAUGAGUUUAUUGCAUUUACUAAAUGCAAUAUACUCAUUUUCAUAAUCUAUUUUUUCUUUUCCUUUUUUUUUUUCCUAAAUAAAUUGGGAACAACAAACAAAUUUUCUUUCUUUUGUAGGGUCUAAUGUUACCAAAAAAAUCGUAGACCUUAUAGAUAAGUUAGAUAAGGAUAGUGUUGCGAUAAUGAAAGAAGACACUGAUCUUGGGAAAGAAUUAAGUGAUGUUGUAUCUUCUAUUAGUACGAAUUUAAGUGUCUGCAUCGCCAUAUCAAUGGCUGCAACUAAUCUAGCUAAGGGGCACAAAGAGUCUUCACAUUUUUAUUAGGGUAAAUAGCAUUAAACCACCUGAACUUUUUAGGUUUUUGCACAUCACCACCUGAACAAAAUUUUUUUGCAGGAGUUCAUCUGUACUUAAUUAAUUGUGCCACAUUGCCCUUUUUUACCUGUUUGCAGGUCAAAAUGACCUGUUCUCACCGCACGUGCGUUUCACAUGACAAAUACAAGGCUAUUGAUGUCUUUUCACUUCCUAAAAUACUCAGCUCUAAUUCCUGUUGAAAUUCACACACUCUCACACAUUUCAUUCCAUCCACUCUUUAUCGUUUUCUAGGGAAAAUGAAAUCAAAGUAAUUCCAAAUUACAAAAGUCACAAGUGUGUUUGGUUCAGAAGAAAAUGAAUCAAAGUAAUUCCAAUUUCUUUAGUUCGAUUUGGUAUUCAGACGAAAAUUAGAAGAUAAAUUAUUGUUGGAUAAUUUUUUAUAAAAUAAUAAAACCAAAAAAAAAAAGCACUUUCAGACCCAACCCCCUACCAAAACCCACCCAUACCCACCCAAAACUAAAACUGAAACGGCGUCGUAUCUAGGGGAUGGACUUGCCGUUAAAUUCAAGUCCUGAAGGGGCAGAAUUGGGUGAAGCAGUGUGGGGAUGGUGAUUAGAGAAACGAUAGGCUUAUUACCUUCGUGUUUGAUUUUCUCCGGUGCGACGGUGGUUGGGUUGGUGGUUGUUGUUGUAGCAGCCACAUGCUAAUUCUUUUUCGGUUCCUCCUUUGGAGUGAGGCAGCGCCAGCUGGGGGCGGCGAUUGGGGACUACCACCGGCGGUGGUUGGGGUGACGGUUUUUACAGCCGCCGCCGCCGCCGCCGCAUGCUAAUCUCUUUUGUUGGUUCCUCCUGUGGAGUGAGGCGGCAUCGGCAGAGGUGGCGAUGGGUAACUAGCACAACCAAAAAAAGAAUAAGAAGAGAGGAAGUACAGGGGAAUAUAAUAAUGGAGGGAAGGGGAGAAUGAUAGACAAAUUAGAGAAAUGAGAAAAAUGAAUGAUAAAUAAUGGGAAUAACGGUGAAAUUGAGGGAGAAUAGAAGCAAUUGGGGUUUUUUUUAAUGGAAAAGCCAAUAAUACCCUUGGAUUUCGCAUGUGCAAAGCGCGUUUGUCAAGAACCGGUCAUUAUGACCUGAAAACCACCGGCAAAAAAUGGCAAAGCGGCACAAUUAAUUGAGUACAGGUGAACUCGUGCAAAAAAAUAUUGUUCAGGUGGUGAACCGCAAAAACUUAAAAAAUUUAGGUGGUUUAAUGCUAUUUACCCUUUUUAUUAUGCCUACUUGGCUCUGAUUUCUCUAGCCAUCAUUUUAAGUUUCUUAUAUUCGGCCGCUUAUAAGCGAGUUGAUCGUGAGGAAAUGGAGAAAAGAGGGAGAAAUAUUAAUCGUAGGAAGCUGUUAUUGCAAGAUAUGGCAAAGAUUAUUAGGUUGCAGUUACAACCACUAGGCACUACGGAACCACUGUAUUGGAAUUGCUUGGAAAGAGUAAAUCAUGUCAUUAGUACUCUAGACAAAAAUGAGCAUAGGAAAUUGAAUGGGUGGUGGUAUUUGCCAUCUUGCAUGCCUCAAAUCAUUUUCAUCAUCUCUACUGCUGGUCUUGUGUGCUUGGCAUUGUCGUCAACAAAAGGUAACUUUAAAUUACAACUUGUGCUUUAAAUUACAACUUGCGUUUAAAAUUACAAUUUGUGCUAACGAAUUGAAUUUUCAUUUUUCUGUGAUACAGCCCCGAACGAAAGUACUUUGGCUCCGGCUCCAGCUCUUGCUCCGGCUCCGAGUGGAUGAACAUGAUGUGGUGUCAAGAUAUUACUAGGGUAAAUUUUUUGGUGAUUUUACAGAUGUAGCUUCAAAUUUUAAUAUUCUAAACAUACUAUGUUUGAUGUUAUUUCUUACUACCACUUCUCAUAUUUCAGCAAUAUAUUUUCGAUCAUCAUCUGAAAGUACAAGGAUAUCUUAAAACAAAAUUGGACUUUUGAAUGUCACCGUUUAAUUUAACUUUGAGCUAUCUUUGACUUCGGUUAUUUCUUUCAACUGCAGCUGUUGGUGUAUCAUCUAUGAGGGUACAAUGUUGAUCAGCCUCGAAAUCUUGCAAAAAAUGUGACAACUCAACGAUGAAUGAAACAGAGCUGCUCGUGUAAUCCUUUUUGGCUGUUCUUCUAUCGGAUUUUUAUUUUAUUUUUUCCAUCUUUUUUUUUUCGAGGAAAUGAGUUUAGGAGUGUGACAAAUGGCUGUCUUUCUACUGAAUUUUGCCUGCACAAACAGAUAAACUAAUCUCGGUAGACAGAUUAGAUGACUAACUGUUGUGAAGUAACAUUGUCUGAAACUAUAAUAGGCUAUAUAUUUGUUGUUAAAUAUAUAAGUACAUAUUUAGUUUAAAAGUAUUUUAUAUAUUAAAAAAAAUGUUGUACAAAAAGUCAAUUGGUUGGUUAUUAUUGACCAGUCGAUCUUUCAAGAGUUUAGUAAUUACGAAUUAAAAUAAUAAUUCCAACUUCAAAUGGUCAAUGAAUACUCGACUAUCGACUAUAAUUUUUUGCUCCACCAUAGACAGACAAUUGUGUAAAACAUACUAUGGAAAUCUAUAUAUAAUAAUAUAUACAAGUUUUGAAGUAUAUCAAAAAACCUGUUAUAUAACAUAUAUAAGGUUUUUAUUGUAAUAAAAAAACAACAAAAUUUGAAUUCCUUAAUCACAAGGUUUUCGUCUUUUUAUCUCCAAAUUUUCAGUUCCUAAUAUAAGUUCACAUUAUGCCAUGAUCAAGAUUUUGUGUAGGCUGUUAACAGCAAACACAAUGAAGGGGCUGAUGGAAACUAAAGCAUGCGUCAUUUUUUCUUUUUUGUUUUUUAUUUAACUUUUGAAUAAACUUGUAGGAACUUUUAACACAAUAUAUAUAUAUAUAUAUAUAUAUAUAUAUAUAUAUAUAUAUAUAUAUAUAUAUAUAUAUAUAUAUAUAUAUAUAUAUAUAUAUAUAUAUAUAUAUAUGACCAAGUUUUGAAGUUACAAAUAUCCCUUUAGGUGCUACAAAUACAAUUUUGAUUUAGGGCAAAUUACGAACAUCCCCUGAGGUAAGGUCAAAUUACGAAAACCCCCAUCAUGUUUGGGUAAUUACAAUCACCCAUGUUUUUAAAUAUUUUCAAUAAUUUCUUUUUGUAAUUCGGUUAUUUAUCGAACCAAAUUGUAUUUUUUGGUUCGGUAAACGAUAUGAAAUGUUGGCGUACCGAAUUUUCGUUACGGUUUUACCGAAUUAACAUUCAUAAACUUACCUUUGAAGAGGUUUUUUCGUAAGAUAACAUAUAGUUGAUGAGUGGUUAGAAUUACCAAAACAAGAGGGGUUUUUCGUAACUUACUUAAUCAUACCUCAGGUGUAACCGUAAUUUGCCCUUUGAUUUAUCAAUAAAAUCCCUUUAAAAUAAUAAAAAUACGUUAUAGAAUAUACCCUAUUAGCUCACAAGAUUUACAAUAUAUAAAUACGUAUACUAAUAAACAUAAGAGAGUAAUAAUGCUUUUGAGAGAAGUGCAAAUUUAUAGUAGCCGAAACACCGAGUAACGGACCUAUCACCGGUUCAUUUACUGUUACACGAAGUAAAUAAAAUACACCGAGUAAAUAAUUACCAUUCAUUAAUCCACAAAAAUACACACACCUAUUGGUGUGUAGGUAAACAGUAAAGAUUGCAAUCAUUUUCUUAACAAAAUUUCCUGAGAAUACAUAAUAUAAAUGCUCGGUUAUUCCUUACCAUUCGAUAAAUAACCAGGAAACUCAUAAGUAUAUAAUACUAACCAAAAACAAUAUAUAUAAGGGGGGAAAAUAUAAUACAUUAUAAUAUGUAUUCAACAAGAAAAACAAAACGUAUCUGUUAGAAUCUAGAGGUCUUAAGAUAUAAGUCCCGGUGACAAAUCUUAUUAGACUAAAUGACAAAUCUAACUAAAUUUGCUUCACCUCCUUUAUCAAAAUACAUUCCGAAAACGCCCCUCCACUCCUAAACUCAAAAUUACAGGAGAUUGUAAAUAUACUAUGAUGAACUAUGGUAUUAUUUAACAUUUUUAAGUUUGCAUCUAAUUUUUUUUUUACGUGGAACACCUUUUUUUUUUUUUUUUCUUUUUUUCAUUUUACGUAUUUUUUCAUUAUAUAAUCUAUUGUUUUCCCUUCUUUUCUAUAUAAAUUGAAAAUUAUGAUUUUUUUAAUUUUUUCGGUCGUAGACAUCUACAGAAACUCGUACCAACCGUAGUAAUCCGUAGUCACCCACACACAUCUUGAAACCCUAACUCCUCCUUUGGACACUGGCCGCCAGACAUCCAUAGACACUCACAGACAUCUAUAGACAUCCAAAUCGAAAAAUAUUAAAUUUUCCCAUCCAAACCCUAGAUCCGCUCCACCCAGGGCCGGCUCAACCCCUAGGCAAAAUAGGUAGUUGCCUAGGGCCCCACGUUAAGUGGGGGCCCACCUAUACACUUUUUUUUUCCUUUUGUUUUUAACACUAAUACGUAUUAUAUAUUAGAUAAAAAAAUAUGUAUACAGUAGACAUUAAUUUUUUUUAUAUUAUAAAUUUUAUAUCUAUUGUAGGCCUCUCAAUUAAUUAAGGGUUAAUAGCAUUUCGCCACCUAGACUUUGCCUGUUUUUGCACUUUACCACCUUAACUAAAAAAAGUUGCAAGCGCCCACCCAAACUCAGUUUUUUGACGCACAUAACCACAUAAGGGGAAUAUUCCGGCGAAUAUUCUCAUUUUUCAACGCACGCGCGAUGCACAUGCGAAAGUUCAAGGGUUUUUCGUCUUUUCACCUGAAAAUAUCAUAAGGGGUGAAAUUGAAAGUACCAGGGACUCAAUUGAACUUAAUUUGAAACUUUCACAAAUUUGAAAUUAAUUGAAGCUUUGUGGCUUCAUCUCCCAUGGGAUAAAAACACCCACCGCUGCAGGCCUGUUUCAAAAUGGAGCGAAAAAAUCUCCAAUAAAGAGAUGAAUAAGAACAACGACAUCAAUUUGUUGAAAUUCGCCAUGGAUUAGAGAGACGAAGAACCCAACUCCGGAAGUGAUUGAAUCAGAUUUCGGAUUCUCGCUGGAUAGCAUGUGGUAUCGGAUGUACCACUGUUCUUCCUCGUCGCCGAGGUGCCCAUUCACGACGGGCGAACCGAUUUUGACGAUUUCCCACGAAUUGUUGGGGGCCCAAAUCGAAGACUAAAACCCUAGAGAGAGACGAAUUAGAAGGAAUUGGUGGAAUUGAAGUGGGGUGUGGAUACUUGAAUUGGGAAUACUCUAGUAAUUCUCAUUUGUUGUCUCUUUGUUGGCGCUUUUGCUCAUCAACAACAAGGCGUUUGAGGAAUUGUCCAACGGUAGCCCCCCGGCCCAGCCGGAAUUCUCCAACGGCAGCGCCCAUUUUGUUUACCGGGCCCAGAAGGUGGGUGUUUUGAUCCCAUGGAAGAUGAAGCCAUAGAGCUUCAAUUACUUUCGAAUUUGUGAAAGUUUCAAUUAAGUUCAAUUGAGUCCCUCGUACUUUCAAUUUCAUCCCUUAUAAUAUUUUCAAGUAAAAAGACGAAAAAGCCCUUGUACUUUUGCAUGUGCAUCGCACUUGCGUUGAAAAAUGAGAAUAUUCGCCGGAAUAUUCCCCUUAGGUGGUUAUGUGCGUCAAAAAAUUGAGUUUGGGUGGGCGCUUGCAACUUUUUUUAGUUAAGGUGGUAAAGUGCAAAAACGGGCAAAGUCCAGGUGGCGAAAUGCUAUUAACCCAUUAAUUAAUAUAAUAGACGAUUAAUAAUACAUGUAUAUUUAAUUGUGUGGGUCAUCGGUUACUUUAACUUAAAUAUCAUCCCUCAAUCAUUAUCACUUUUUUUCUCCACCUGACUUCAAUAGGUGAAAAUGUGCUAUAUUAUAACCUUCUCUUUAUUUUUUUGCCUUUUAUUGAUUUUUCUACUAUUUUUGUUUGGAUAGGCACAUUUGAUUUUUACUGCAAUUUUCACUUUUUCUUUGAUAAUUUAUAAAAAAAAAAUUAUACAUAAUAAAACAUAUGUAUAUAAUAUUAGGGCCCAAGUUUUGCUUCGCCCUGUGUCCAGUAUCCUAAGAUCGACCCUAAUGUGAUGGAAAAAUCCGAACUACUAAAACUAAACAUUUUUUUUGUUAGUGAAUUACUUAAUUAUACUAUAAACUCCCUAAAAUUUCUAUUUCUUACUAAAAUAUCACUCGUUUUUCUAAUAUUGAAUUAAAAUUUAUCAAUUUUGAUAUUUUUAUUUGUUCUAUUAUUUAAAACAAAUAUUGUUGAUGAAUUUGAAUUUGUUUAUGUAAAUAAUUUAAAAACAAUCGCAACCUUGUGAAUUUACUUGUGCGCUAAUACAAAAUUUUCUGAUCCUAGUAUAAGGAAUAAUUUCAUAUACUAUUUUAGUUUGGUAAAAUUUAUUUUUGUUUUGUAUUUUCAUUUUUGCAUUAAUUAAUGCAUUGCAUCAAUAAAAAAAUAAGAAACUAUAUUUUAAAUAUAGGGCCCCAAUAUUUUGGCUUCGCCUAGGAUCCCCAGCAUGCUAGAGCCGGCUUUGGCUCCACCACGAAAACCCUAACACCCUCUUUGAACCCUAGCCGCCAGCAAGCCAUAGACAACCAUAGACACCCACAAAAAUCCAUAGUCAUCCAAAAAUAAAACCCUAGAUCUACAACCACAGUCACCAUAUCAGCCAAAAUAAAAACCUAGAUUUGCAAAAAUGUCACCAUAGCUGCCACCACCUCCAUAUUCAUCGCCUCACGACCUUUCUCUAUCUCCAUAACCAACCCCCCUUCAUAAUUGUGACAACGACUGCCCCUAACCACCUCCAUAAAUAUCUCUACCAUACCCACGACCUCCAUGGCCGCUGCCAUAGCAACUCCCACAAUAUGCACCGCCUCUAUAGCUGUCGCCAUUCACCAUGACCGCCUCUAUAACAACCCCCACGUUACUCGCCGCCUCCAAGACCACCCCCACCGCCACCAUAUACGCCAUAGCCAUAUAAAUGGGAGCAAGAGAGAUCGAGAGGGAGAGAGAGAAAGACUAACAUAACUGUAGAGAACGUGAGAAAUGAACGAGAGAAAGAAAGAGAGAGAUAAUAAAAGAAAAGAAACAGAUCUGGAAUAGAGACACCUAAAUAGAGUUAAUAUUUAGGGUAUAAGGGCAAGUUAGAGAUUAAAAAAAUUAGGGAUGUGGGACAUAUUAUAUUUUAAAAUAGGGAUGUAUUUAAAAAAAAUAGGUUGGGGUAGCCAUUUAGUUCUAAUUAAAUUUGUUACGAGGGACCCAAGUAUAUUAACCCCUAAAAUCUAAUUGGAUUCUAAUAAAUAAAGGAUGAGUAAAUACUUGGGCAACAAGUCCUUAUGUGCCGUGAAACACAAAAGGGAAGUUCCCUUGUUUACUUUAAUUCUUUAAUUUGUCAUUAAUUUUUUUAUUAUAUAGGAAACUUAUGUUUUUAAUUAAAAAAAAAGUUAUUCUUGUUUUAAUGACUUGUCUUAUACGUAUAUUAGGUAACUUAGACUUAGUGGACUAUGGUUUUUCUUGUUGUACAUGGAAUCAAUAAAUAUAGAAGAGUAUAUAUAGAUAAGAGUAGCAAGGGUCGUUACUCAGCGGCUUUUUCGAGAGAAAGCUUCAAGAAAAUAUUUAUUAUCUCGUUUUUAUUUUUAUCCAACUUCAUGAUAAAUAUUAUUUUCAUAGAAAAUAUAUUGGCUUCAAGGCUUUGUGGAGAAGACACCAAGGUUCAAGGAUUAUUCACAAGUUUGCUUCUUCUAUACAAAAAGAUCGGUUCUUCGGGAUAGGUUCUUCGGGAGAGGGGCUUAAACAAGUUUGUUUAAUUUUAUUUUGAGGUAAAGAGAAGCUAUUUUUGCCGGUUCGAAACGAUUUUGUAAGCGAAGCCGAGCCAAACACGUGCAAAAGUGCAUUCUAGCGGGUUGUGGUAGUGUUUGGUAUUUCAAGCAUAACUCUCGCAUACAACCUCCGAUUGAACUGAUUCAAAUGUCUUCAGAAAGACAACUUCAAGGACUACAACUUUUGUCAAUACAUAUUUGUCAAAUUCGGGAUUAAAAAGAGGCCAAACAGUGUUUGAAGUUGAUGCAGACGCCAGACCGCGACCAAACACCACCGGAUCACGAUCUGGGGUCAAAUUCCAGUAAGCACACAAAGGACGCCCAAAUCGUGAUUCGAAACUCCUGGAUCACAGCCUGGGGAGGUGGUGUGUAGUUUUCGAGGCUUCCACGUCGCAAUCCAAGAAGUCCAGAUCGCUAUCUGGGCACAUAAAUCGAGACCACAUAUUUUUCUUUGUUUACUUACUAUAAAUUCAAGGUCUAUUUUUCUUUUUUUGAUCUCUCGACUUGUUCUUCGGUUUUCUCUUCGGUUCUCGCCAGUUCUUCGCAGGAAGUUUCGACGAGGGUUUCGACUCGAGUUUUUCAUAAACUUUUCAUUACGUUUAUUUUAUGAGUUCCCGUGUUCUACAUUUCAAUGCUAUGUUUUGUAAUGAACUGAGCAUUUUCUCAUUUUCUUUUACGGAAAUGAAACCUUGUAUAUAUUGAUUUUGAUUUCCAGAUAUGUGAUCUAUUUGUUGUUUUUUGAUUCUGUUUAUGUUUUCCUGUAUUAAAUGCUUUCAAUUGUUUGACCAACAAUUGAAUUGAUUGUAAAUGUGAAUGAACUCGAGAGAGGAUUUCUCGUUUGAAUUUAAGAAAACAUAGCUCGCUUGUGGAAACGGAGACGUGAUGCACCUCGGGCAGCCCUUAAGAACUGGACAUAAAUUCUCUCUUAAAAAUCAGGUUAUGAACGGAGACGUCGGACCUGUGCGUAGACUCUAACUACACUAGAGACGGGGGUUAGGGUAUUUUAGUGUCUGGGUUAGGGAAUAUAGAAUUAACAUUAGAUUCGGAUCUGUAGAUCUUUAUUGAUAGUAAAUUGGUGGAUUUUACCCUAUAAGCAUCACACGUCGGAAUUCAUCGCUUGUACUGGCGGACCGUUGCUUUUAUUAUUGUUGUUUUUUUUGUUUUUAGCUUCAUGCCCCAUCCUUACAAUUGUCUAGAUAAAGUUUAGGAUAGUAUAAUUACGGUACUUGAUAAAUUUAAGAAUUUAAUUCCGUGUGGAUUAAUAUCUGGAAUUCACAAUUCAACAAUACGCAAUACUGUACACUUGCGGUUAUUAAUACUUAGGUUUUACGCGUAUCACCCUUAUGUGCAAUUUUAGCCCAACUCCAUUCAGCAUUAUGACCAACUGCAUUUAGCAUUUUUGGACCUGCAUUUAUUAUUUUUAUAGAUUUUUUAUAAUAAAAAAAUAUAAAUGUUAUUUAUUAUUAUCUUUUAUAUAUACCUUCUUUUGUAUUUCUAUUUUUAUUUUUAAAAUAUUUUAAUUUUUUUAGUUUUUAUUUUUUUUCAAACUUUUGGGUGGGGUUAUUCGAACCUUACCCAAGUCCCAACACUUGUAGAUUAUUGUUACGGGUAAAAAAAAAUUGAAAAUUUGACAAAACCCCCUCAUUACACAAGUGUCAUUACAAUGGACCCAAUUUUAUUUUACAUUUUUAAGAUAAAUCUAAAACAACUUUUAUUAAUUAAAAACACUUAAUUAUCACCAUUAUACCCCCUAACAAACAAGGUAUCUUUAAUUUUGAUAUUAAAAGAUAUAUAAUAUAUAUUCCUUAUAUAUCUUAAAUAACACCUUAUAUACGUCUCUCUCUCUCUCUCUCUCUCUCUCUCUCUCUCUCUCUCUCUCUCUCCUUUAGUAAAUAUCUUAAUUAAAUCCAAAAUUAGUAACGUCAAAAAAAUGAAAUUAAUAAUACACAAUUAUCAUAAAUUAAUAAUAUUUAAACAGAAAAUGAAUGUAAUUUCGAAAUUAGUUGAUGCGGACCAAACCCAGUUAAGCUUGAAUUAUUAAUCUCGACUUUUCAAAUAUGCAUGAGCACCACAUUUUAAAUACACAAGACGUAAUUGAAAAGAAUAAAAAUAUAUAUCAUGGUUUAACAAAGCAUUAAAUUGAAUGCAAUAUUACCGGUGGAAACAGCUUACAAAAAAGUACCCACAAAAUUGCAUAAAAAGCCCAUUUGUAGCUAGAGUUAUCAACCCCAAAAAAUGUUAUGUUUUAAUGGAUUAUCAAAGCCCAACAACUCAAUCAGGAGUUAUCUCGAGAAAAUUGUAGAUGUAUGAACAUGUUUGUUUUGCUUGAACGUUAUGUUGUUGUUUAUCCGAGCAUGAAAGCGAAUUUGUAAUUAUACAGAGUGGUUUUCAUGUUUACAUAGUCGUUAUACAUAGUGGUUUUCAUGUUUAAAUAGCUGUUAUACAUAGUGGUAUUCAUGUUUACAUAGUUGUUAUACAUAGUGGUUUUCAUGUUUACAUAGUUGUUAUACAUAGUGGUUUUCAUGUUUACAUAGCUUUUAUACAGAGUGGUUUUCAUGUUUAUAUAAUUGUUUAUACAGAGUGGUUUUCAUGUUUAUAUUGUUGUUUAUACAGAGUAGUUUUCAUGUGUGGAUUAUACUAAUUUAACAAUGGAUUACACUAAUUUAACAAUGGAUUACACUAAUUUAACAGUGGAUUGCACUAAUUUAAUAGUGGAUUACAUUAAUAUUAAUGUGGAUUAUGCUUAUUUUAUAGUAAAUUUUACUUUAAUUUUAUAGUAAUUUUCGAUAAAUUCAGUGGUUUUCGAUGAGUAUGUAGUGGAUUUCAAUUUGUUUUUAAAUAUUAACCACUUAAAAAACUGAAGAAAGAAAAAAUAAUUUUUGUUUUAAAUUGUAAAAAAAAAAACCAUCAAAAAAUUAAAUAAGAAAUUGGGAAAGAAUUAACUAAAAUUACGUGAAAUAUGAGAUAUGGGGAAAUAAUAGGGGAUGGAGUGAGAUGGAGGAGAUAAUAGGGGGAUUUGCAUAUCUACCAAAAUUUAGAUGAAUUUUUCCACAAUAAUAUAAUAUAUUAAUUUUCAAUAAUAGUAAAUAGGGACAUUUUGGACAAUUAGAAUCAAUUGGAUUUAUAACAAAUAUCAAUUAAAAAAAAUGAAUUUAUUAAGAAGUCAAAAUUCAAUAAGGGGUGUUUGUGAAAGAGCCCAAAAAAAAAUGGAACAAACUUUUUUCAUUUUGAUUUUCAAAAUUCCAUUUUUGAAUUUUCCAAUUAUUUUUUACUGGAAUUUCAAUUCUAUAAAAAAUGUGCAAUUUUCAAUUUCCGAUCCGAUUAAAUUCUUGAAAUUAGUUUAAAAAAUUCUAUUUUUUGCUGAAAAAGACACAAGUAAAUAAUUUUAUUAUAUAUCUUAAUUAUUUGAAGUAGGACAAAUAAAGUAAAUAGUUAAUUAUAUUCUUAUUUUAGGGUUAAUGAGGCAUACCACUCAUUUGAAAAAAAAAAUUAGAACAAAACACCUCAUAUUAUUUUUUAUAGUUGGAAGUCUCUCAUUUUUUCACAACCUGAAAAUUCCUUCACUCUAUCUGUCCGAUGCAAUUUAUGUGUGUUUGUGUUUGGUACACGUAAAGUGGUCAAUGCAUUGCACUAAUCUUUUAUACCGCAUUAUAUUAAAAAAAUUGUAUAUGUUAUUUUAUUAGUAUUUGUUAUGGAUUUAUAUAUUCUGUCAAUCUGAGAAAAAGAAUUUCAAUAUCACAAAUUUUUACUUGCUUUCCUGGAUGCUUUCUUAAAUAAGAGGCUACAAUUUUCUUCAUAAGUUCUUUUUUGUUUUUAUUUUUUUCCCUUUUUCUUCUUCUCGGUUAGCUGUCUGCUACACUCUUUGUGUAGAACGUUUGUUAAGAUAAGUGUUUUUUUUUUGUUUCUCAUUGUAUGAUACACCUUUCGUUAGUCCAUCUAGAAUAGGUUUCGUUUUUUUUUUUUUUUUAGGGUUAACUUAUGUAUGUCUACGUUAAUCUAGCUAGUGUGGUAAUUCAUGCAUUUUAUUAGUUCAUGUAUUUUAUUAAGUUAAUAUUCAUGUAUGGUGUUGAAGAGUCAUGGAGAAAUUCAUGUAACUAGAUAAUCAAGGGUCAUUAUUAGUGGGUAUAAAUACCCCUUGCAUGUGGAAUGACAGAACCGUGAGUUGCAUAUUCUCUUCUAAAAGUUUUGUCUUCUUCCCAUUUUAUUUUUCCUUCUUACAACAAAGUGGUAUCAAGAGCCAUUGUUUUAUUCUUAUAAGAAAUGGUAAGUAAUGGGUUGUAUUCAUUUCAAUUUCCCGGUACGGUCUCACAAAGAAAAUUAUGAAAAUUGGUGUUCGAGAAAGUGGCUAAUGCCGACACCGCAAAGGAAGCUUGGGAGAUUUUGCAGACCUCUCUCCAAGGAGUUAACAAAGUAAAAAAGGUUCGGCUUCAAUCACUUCGAGGAAAUUAUGAAGCUUUGCGUAUGGCGGAAUCCGAAUCAGUUUCGGAUUAUUGUUCGAGGGUGUUGGCCAUUGUGAAUCAAUUAAAACGAUAUGGUGAAACACUCGAAGACGUCAAGGUGAUCGAGAAGAUCCUUCGUUCAUUAACUUCGAAGUUCGAUUAUGUGGUGUGCGCUUUUGAAGAAUCUAAAGACCUUAGCGAAAUGACGGUUGAUCAAUUAAUGGGUUCUCUUCAAGCCCAUGAAGAAAGAUUUUUGAAAAAGCAAGAGGAACCUCUAGAGCAAGCACUCAAAGCCAAAAUUUUCUUUGGAGAUGGUGCAAGGAAGAACUAUGAAAGAGGCCGAGGUCCAGGAAGAGGUAGAAGUCAUGGUCGUGGAAGUUUUGGAGGAAGAGAGGAAGAGGCAACUACGAAAGCCAGUCAAACGAAGAGAGUAACCAUCAAUCAACAAGAGGUCAUGAGAUGAGGAAGAGGAAGAUAUCAAAAAUUCAUAAAUGCAGAAAAGAGGCCCGACAAAUCUCACCUUAGGUGCUACAAUUGUCAAAAACUCGGGCACUAUGCGUGGGAAUGCCGCAAUGAGAAAAAUAAUAUUGAAGAAAAGGCGAAUCUAGUUGGUGAAAAUCAAGAAGUCGAAGAGCCAACUUUGUUACUCGCUCUCAAAGGUGGAGACAAGGACGAUAAAAAAAUGUGGUACUUGGAUAACGGAGCAAGCAAUCAUAUAUGUGUGGCGACAAGCUAAGGAUAAGGUUGUGGAGCUCGAUAAAGUGCGUGGGAAUGUUACUUUUGGAGACUCCUCUAAAAUUGAGAUUCACGGAAAAUGUACCAUUUUAAUUUUCUCGAAAAAUGGUGACCAUAAGCUAAUCUAUGAUGUUUAUUACGUGCCAAAAUUAAAGAACUAGUAUUUUGAGCUUGGGGAAACUUGUUGAAAAAUGCUAUGAAAUUCACAUGAAAAAUCGUUGUCUUUGGCUAAGAGAUUUCAAUUCCAAUUUAAUUGCCAAAGUUUUUAUGUCAAAGAAUCGGAUGUUUUUGCUAAAUCUCGAGACUGUUGAUGCAAAAUGCUUGACGGCCGAUGUCAAAGAUGAAGCUUGGAGUUGGCACAUGAGAUAUGGACAUUUGAAUUUUGAUUCACUUAAAGCCUUGAAAGAAAAGGUGAUGGUCCAAGGUCUACCGAGAAUAAAUUUUCCUAAUAAAUUAUGUGAAGCUUGUCUUUUGGGAAAACAUCUGAGGUAGAGUUUUCCAAAGCAAUCCAUGUCAAGAGAAAUCAAACCGCUGCAACUUGUUCAUGCCGAUGUCUGUGGCCCAAUCUCCCCACCUUCAUUUGGUAAAAAUAAGUGUUUUUUACUAUUUAUUGAUGAUUUUAGCAGAAAUACUUGGAUUUACUUUUUGAAGCAUAAAUCGGAAGUUUUUGGUGCAUUCAAAAAGUUCAAGACGCUUGUGGAAAAGGAAAGCGGCUACGAAAUCCAAUCCUUAAGAACCGAUAGGGGAGGCGAGUUCACGUCAAACGAAUUCAAUCUCUUUUGUGAAGAAAAUGGAAUUCGUCGUCCACUAACAGUUCCUAGAUCGCCGCAACAAAAUGGUGUAGUUGAGAGGAAAAAUCGGACGAUUCUCAAUAUGGCGAGGAGUAUGCUAAAACCAAAAAAGACGCCGAAUGAAUUUUGGGCAGAAGCUGUUGCAUGUGCAGGUUACUUGGCCAAUCGUUCUCCAACAAAAAAACGUCGAAAAUCAAGGGCAAAUAACACUUGGGAGUUGUCUAAUCUUCCCAACGACCAUGAAGUUAUUAGAGUCAAAUCGAUUUUUGAGGCGAAGAAAAAUGAUUUAUAUAGUGAAACGGAAGUUGUUAAUGAUUUGCUAUGUUUCUUUGUAGAUCAUGAGCCCUUGACUUUCCUUGAAGUCGUGGAGGAUGAAAAAUGGAGACAAGCCAUGCAAGAAGAAAUUAGUGCCAUUGAGAAAAAUAACACUUGGGAGUUGUCUAAUCUUCCCAACAACCAUGAAGUUAUUGGAGUCAAAUGGAUUUUUAAGGUGAAGAAAAAUGCAAACGGAGAGGUGGAAAGAUAUAAAGCAAGGCUCGUCGCAAAAAGCUACAAGCAAAAGUAUGGAGUUGAUUAUGAUGAAGUAUUUGCUCCAGUGGCCCGUAUGGAAACAAUCCGUUUGCUCAUUUCUUUUGCGGCUCAAAUGAGGUGGAAAAUUUAUCAACUUGAUGUGAAGUCGGCGUUCCUUAAUGGUUAUCUUGAGGAAGAGGUCUACGUAGAACAACCAAUGGGGUUUGAGAUUGCCGGGCAAGAAGAUAAAGUUUUGAAGCUAAAGAAGGCAUUAUAUGGCUUGGAGCAAGCACCGAGAGCGUGGAAUAGCCGUAUCGACAAAUACAUCGAAGAUAACGGUUUCACUCGUUGCCUUAAUAAGUAUGCUCUUUAUGUUAAAUCUUUUACAAAUGGUUAUGUUUUGCUCGUUUGUCUUUAUGUUGAUGACUUGAUUUUUACGGGCAACGAUUCGAGCUUAUUUGACGAAUUCAAAAAGGCUAUGUCUUUUGAAUUUGAGAUGACGGAUAUUGGUCUCAUGUCGUAUUACUUGGGAUUGGAAGUAAAGCAAAUAAAUGAAGGAAUUUUUGUCUCUCAAGAAAGGUACGCAAAUGAGGUGUUAAAGAAAUUUCAUAUGCUCGGUUGUAAUCCUGUGAACACCCCCGAUGGAAUGCGGAAUGAAGUUGUCAAAAUUUGACGACGGAGAGAAAGAAGAUCCUACUCUUUUCAAAAGCUUCGUGGGAAGCUUGAGAUAUCUAACAAACACAAGGCCCGACAUUCUCUUUGCGGUUGGAGUCGUAAGUCGAUAUAUGGAAUCUCCUACCUCAACGCACAUGAAAGUUGCCAAAAGGAUCCUUCGCUACUUAAAAGGUACUAUCGGAUUUGGAGUAUUCUAUUCUUCCGAUCCUGUAGUGAUUUCAAGCUUCAAGGUUUUUGUGAUAGUGAUUAUGCCGGAGAUAUUGAUGAUCGAAAGAGCACCACCGGAUAUGUGUUCUUUAUGGGAGAGUCGGCUAUUUCUUGGAGUUCGAAAAAACAACCCAUCGUUACUCUCUCAACUUGUGAGGCCGAGUAUGUGGCAGCAACAUCUUGUGCAUGUCACGCAAUUUGGCUUAAGAGGCUGCUUGAAGAACUUCAUUUGCCACAAAAGAAAGCUACGGAGAUUUUCGUCAAUAUUAAGUCGACAAUUGCACUUGCCAAAAACCCGGUGUUCCAUGAUCGAAGCAAGCAUAUUGAUACGAGGUAUCAUUUUAUGAGAGUGUAGAUUGCCAAGAAGAAAGUGAAGCUCAGCCUUGUCAACAUGAAAGAUCAAAUUGCGGAUAUUUUUACGAAGCCUCUAAAGUUUGAGGAUUUUAGAAGAUUGAGAGAAAGUCUUGGAGUCAUGAAGAAAUUUUCAAAUUAAGGGGGACUGUUGAUUAAUAAUUUGAAAUAAAUUAGUACAUUAAUCUAGCUAGUGUGGUAAUUCAUGCAUUUUAUUAGUUGAUGUAUUUUAUUAAUUUAACAUUCAUGUAUGGUAUUGAAGAGUCAUGGAGAAAUUCAUGUAACUAGAUAAUCAAGGGUCAUUAUUGGUGGGUAUAAAUACCCCUUGCAUGUGGAAUGACAGAACUGUGAGUUGCAUAUGCUCUUCUAAAAGUCUUGUCUUCUUCCCAUUUUAUUUUUCCUUCUUCCAACAGUCUGCUACACUAUUUGUGUAGAACGUUUGUUAUGAUAAGUGUUUUUUUUCGUUUCUCACUGUAAGAUAGGUUUCGUUUUUUUGUUUUUGUGUUUAGGGUUAACUUAUGUAUGUCUGACUAGUUAGAAGAAGGAAAAUCAAUCGAGAGACUCAUUAAUUAGGACGUAGCGGCGAGCCAAAGCGGACUGGAGUUGCUUCUCUUUUUUCUUUCCAUGAUAUUUUUUUUCUUCGUUUUAUUUUCCUAUCUUCAUUGUCUAAUACAAUGCCUAUGUAUUUCCAACUAUUGCUAAAGCCACCAGGAAGCCACUGCCUGCACCAGUCAAGUAUUUGUUUUUUCAACUCAUUUUCUUCAGCAUGUAAGAUGAAUGUUCUCAGAAAUAUCUCUUCUUCUGCCCGCAUGGGUGUAGCUCAACUGGUUCCGGAGGUGGUAAGUUGGUGCAAGGUCCUAGGAUCGAAUCCUGGCAGCCGCAGUGUGGGAAUUUCAACUCCAAAUGAGGGUUGGUUCCUUGUGGGCACCAGGUCCGGGUCCGCUACCUUAACGGGCCGUUGAGUUACCAUGAUUUACAUCCUCCAUUAAUCCUUGUCGGGCCAAGGGAUGGGGGCCCUGGGGGCGAGGGAUUCGCCUUUUUGGUGCAAGAAAUAUCUCUUCUUGAUAUUUCAUUUUUUUUAUUUAUUUAAAUAGCUAUUUUCUUCUCUUUUGGAAUUUCAAAAACCAAACCUUAAGUUUUGCUCCAAAGUUGUUGAUAAAAUAAUUAUAUACCUCAUGAUUGCAAUUAGUGGAAUGUCUCUUAUUUUCAUCAUACUAUAGUUUGUUUUUGUUCAUGUCAUAUAAUUUACCCCGUUAUUUUUUUUUUUUUUUACAUAAUGCUUUAUUUUUUAGGAGGUCUAUUGUUUUCUUCUCUUUUGAUUAUUUUUUUUCCACAUAAUGCGAUACAUACGUGUUGAAGAAACCACAAAAUAAGUGAGAUAUAUAUUAUUUUAUCAAAAGAAAAAUGAGAUUUUGUGCAUGUAAUAUUAAAAAAAAAAUGUGAUUUUUAUGUUUGUCAGGUUUUGAUCUUAUUAAGUGUAUUAAUGUCAUUACCUAUUUAUAAUAUAUUUUUUAUUUAGGUGGUAUUGAAGUGAGAACCAAUUGGUAUUUGAAAUAGCUAUCCCCUUAGUUAAAUUUGUAUUAUUGUUUCACAUAUAUUUUAUAUAUUGACACUCCGUAUAUAAAUUUAUUGUAGGAUGGAAAAAUAUAUGGUACAAUAAAAUAAUAAAGUAAUAUAUAGCCCUACCCGUGAAACACAGGGGUAUGGUUACUAGUUUCAUUUAAUAUUUAAAUAUUUUAAAUUUAUAUAUUUAUUUAAAGGGUUUUAAAAAAAUGAAGCCCAUCAAAAAAUUAAUAAAAUAACUAACUAGAUACGUGCAUUGAUUCUCACAACUGCAAGCUAAUUAAAAGUAGUUGAAAGACACGUGCAUUGAUUCUCGCAAAUGAUUUAAAUGAAUAAACUUUAUUCAAAAUAAAUUACCCAUAGAUAACAGCAAGACUUUUAGUCUACUAUGCUAACAAUCUCCCACUUAGACUAUCUCCCACUUAGACUCACGUUCAUUGAUUGAUUGGAAUGGAUGAUAAGCCUGAAAGCCACAUAACCAAUCAUAAUCUCGCAUUAGCGAAUCCAUAUGAGACUUUCUCAAUCGAAUUCUAUUAACUGUAUUUUUGUCUAAACGAUAGGAAAACAUUCCUCUAUGUACCCAGAACAACACCAACUCAUUCUUUUGAAUGCAAAUAACUUUUACACCAAGGAAGAAAUCCGCAGUCAGAAAGUUUUCUCCCGGUGCAUACUUGUUGAGGUCCCAAUCAAGAUGAACAACAUACUUUCUAACCCAAGACCACUUUGUAUAAUUCUCGAGAAUCCAGAUGUCCAUGGAUUGAUCUUUACGAUCCACAUAGCAAAAACACAAUUGGUUGUCUUUCACCGAAAGAUGUUGCAAAUGGCAGCCUCCUUUGUCAACGACGACAGGACAGGGUUUGGUCGAGAAAUCUUCAGUAACCAUGUUAAACACCAUGAUUUCACCAACCAUACUGAUGCACCAAUGAAGCGCAUCAUUCGCAAUAGCUGGACGGUCAUCAAUCCUUGUUUCAAAGUUCAACGACCUUUGCCGAAUAUCCGGUCGGUAAGAAAAAUACGGCUUCUUAGUACUUCUCCAUCUCUUUUCUCCAAAUAGGUAAAGAUGAUACUCAAACUGAUUGUUGUUAGAUUGUCUUACACUAAGAAUUCUACAUUCUUUUGCCUUAGGAUGGAAGAAAAACCCGCACAAAGUACCUCCCCCGGAAGGACCAUUGAUUAUUGUGACUCCUCUAUUUUUGGAAUUAGGAUUCAAAACAACAUGUUUAUUCCACCGGUUUUCCCUAUUAUAGAGAUCCAUACCCGUUUUUGACAGCAAGAUUAAUCCAUUGCAAGAACCAACAACAUAACCAAACUUUACCGACUCGAGGGCCCUCGACCGACACUCUUUUUCAGAAUUCCCAUCGAUAAUGGAAACCCUCAGAUGUUCGUGACAAUAAUAGCGAAUAAUUAGUGGUCUCGAUUCACCACCAAACGACGAAAUCAACAUCUUCCACAUCUUACAAAUCAUAUCUUCGCUCCUGUGAUUUUUAUAGAAUAACAGUUAGAGCUAAAACCACAACAAAAAAUUGAAAAAGAUGCAAAAAAAUGCAUGUCCUAAAAAAGAGGAUUAGGCCUAUGACAUUAAUUCUCGGUUUGUGCAAGAAAUAUAUAUACAUAGGGAAAUAUAUAUGUGAAAUAUAUAUCUAUAUUCAUACCUGAGCGACGACGAAGAUCGACAAAUUGAGAAUGAGCUUGGUGAGAAAUUGAAUGGUUUGAAAAGGAGUUUAAUUGUUUUAUAUAUAUACAUAGGGAACAAGGAGAAACCUAAUUUCACCUUAAUUAGGACUCAUAACUUAGAAUAAAAAGAACUAAACACAAAAAGAAAAGUGGGUGCCCGAAUUUUGGGGUUCGGUGGUAGUUAGGUGGGGGUAUCCAAACCUAAUUUGGAUUCCUUCUUUAUACUCGUUUUUUGUACUAAUAAUAAAUCUUUCAACUUUUUUUUUUCAAUUUUUUUUUUUAAUUUAAUUUUCGGAACAUGUUACUUGUGUAAGUUUGUAAUUUUAAUCUUUUGUACUUAAAUUUUAUGGGGUAAAUUUCACUUUCCCCCUAUACUUUGGCUCGAUAUCACUUUACCCCCUUCUACUCUCGAUUGCAUCGAAUUGCCCCCUUGUACUUAUAAAAUUGUCUCAAUGUGACCCUUGCCCUUAGUUUUCAAACAUUUGACCUUAACACCGUUUGAUCUAAGUCUAAAAAUUUCAAAAAAACCACCCCUCACAGUUUAAAAAAUUAUUAAAAAAAUUGGUUGUAGUCGUGGACUAUUUUUCUCGUUGUCUUGAAUUUUCUAUUAAUUUUUUUUAUUAUUUUAUUAUUUUUUAAUAAUUAUUUAAAUUGAGAGGGAUGGUUUUUUUGUAAUUUUCAGACUUAGAUCAAAUGGUGUUAAAGGUCAAAGGUCUGAAAACUAAUGGCGAGGACCACAUUGAGACAAUUUGACAAGUACAAGGGGUCUGAAAGAUGUUUCUUGUUAUGAAUUAUAGUACUGUUGGAUUUGUUCGACCCUACACCGGGUGGGUCUUCUGCUACCAUGAGUCUCUUUUUUGUAUUUUAUAAUAUAUUCCCCGCUAGGGUUUACCUUUAGGGGUUUUAGAAAAAUAAAAAAAUAGGACACGUGGCAGCAGAAGACCCACCCGGUGUUUAUCACCGGGUGUAGGGUCGAAGGAGCCGUACUGUUGUGCCCUAGAAUGGAAAAUAUAUAGGGAUAGGUCCACCCCUAAUAUUCUUUCUUUCAGAUAGCCCCUGGAGAGGUAAAAGUACUGUUGUGCCCUUAUUUGUAAUUUUCGCCCAACUGCAUUCAACAUUUCGCGAACUGUUUUUAGCAUAAUAGCCAUCUGCACUUAGCAUUUUUGAACCUGGAUUUAUCAUUUUUUCAGAUUUUUUUAUAAAAAAUUAUAAGUUUUAUAUUAUUAUUAUUUUUAACGAUUUAUUUAUUUAUUUAUUUAUUGUUUAUUUUUUAAUUUUUUUUAAUUUUUUUCAACUUUCCAGCAUAUUCAAAACCUGCCCAGAAGGUGUUUGACAAAAUCUCUGAACCAAUUCCGGAAAAAAAACAUGCAGCACCUGGCGAAGCUGCAUAUAAUUCUUUUUUCGCCAAGAAUAGAGUGCCCAAGAACGGAUUCCAGCUCCCCGACUUCCCCAACGAAGUGGAAGAAGACAUGAUAUUUCAGCCCGACGAUGAAAGUGAAAUCGAGGAAACAUUCUGCAUUUGUUUAUUGGGCUAUUUUGCUGGUAAAACACCACGAAAAAUGGCCAUGGAUUCAUAGACGAUUCUGUUAUUUUCGAAUUUCAUCUCAAUUGAAGGAUUCGAAAUGGGGUUUUAUUAGGGAUUGGAUUAACAGGUUCAUUGGGGAUAUGGAGAAUUAAGGAUUUUAGAAUAGAAAUAGGGGAGGAGAAUGACGUGUCGCUCCACAUCAUGUUUCGUCGACCAAGUAGGCACUGGGUGUUGUACAACUCAACAUUUAACGGCUACAUCACGUUUCGUCGACCAAGUAGGCACUGGGUGUUGUACAGCUCGACAUUUAACGGCCACAUAGACGUCACGUGAGCCACGCGUGCUAUUUUCGUCGAAGUUAGCUGCCGACGUUAACGGCAGAACAUAAAGUGAUCAAAAUUGGCAAGUUUGAGGACAUAUUUCGUGGAUUGAAAUGUUUGAGGACAUAAAUCGUUUUAGUGGUAAAGUUUAGGGACAUAAACUGUAAUUUUCCCUGAGUAUAGUCAUAUAUAGUGUAGUUUGUGGUAUAUAGCUUCAAAUCUCACUUUUCAAUACGACAACAACUCCGAUUUAAAUCAGUUGCAAAUAAAUUAUUUUGAUUUGACGAUCAUCAUGUUCUCUCGAUAAAAACUUAGUGAAUAAAAGUUGCUCAAACACCGAGACAUGUGACAAAAAAUCAACAAUUAUCAUUAACUGCAAUAACACAAUCAAAUUCGAAAAACAUAAAUUAUUAUUAAUAUACGUUCAAAUGUACAAAUUAAAAAUUAGUUCCUUCACAAGUCCAUGUUCACAUAAUAAUCCUCUACAGUAAUACUUUGUGCUACAUUCCUCAAAUUUUCUGUAGUUUUUUCAUAACUAAAUUCUUCACUGAAUGUAGCACAAAGUAUAUAUAUAUAUAAACAAAAUGCAAACUUCCACCGAUUAUCAAUAUAACAUCAUCAAGCUUCUCUCUCUCUUUAAAAAAAUAUGAAACCUCAAUAUUCAUCAAGAAACAAAAAGAGUGGAACAUGGGAUAAACAAGGUUGUGAAUAGAUAAAACUUUUGGUAAUUCUAUUGACCUAUGCAUCCCAAUUUGUUUUGAUUUUUAAUUUAUCCAAACACAAAAAUUGUUAAGCAAACGAUUAGGAUUUAAUAAAAAUAACUAGACAACAGGGAAAAAAGAAAAUGAAUCACCUUGAAGGUGUAGAUCUUGUAUGUCUUUACGCUAUUCUUUGUCCUUUUCUUCUUCUCUCUGCCGAUGGCCGCCUUGCCGGCGUCCUUGGGGAGCUUCUUGCCAGCCUUCGGCUUCUUCUCCGCCACCACCACCGGAGAUUUUUCUACUUUUGUGUUUUUUUUGGACAUUGAGAGUUUGAGAGAGGGAGAGAUAACGAGAGAUGAAGAGAGGAAGAGAGAGAAAGAGAUGAAGAUAAUACGACGUGGGUUGAGGCGGAAGAGAUAGAAGAUUAGGUCAUGUUUUUGGUAACAUAUUUUUAGGAAUUAUGUGGCUAAGUGACCUAAGGAUAGUACUGGGAAUAAAAUUUCUAGGGGGUUAUCACAAAAGAAAAAUUUAAGGAGUGGACAUAUCACCAUUUCUUAUCUAUACGAGAGGCUUAUUGCUAAUGACCCCAUAGUAUUAAAGGGAAAUUUAGUUAGAGAACUUAGACGAAUAGCACUUUAGACUGAAAAUACCUUUAUCCUCCUCCUCCUGAUCCAAUCUCAAAAUCAAAUCUACUCCAGAAAAUGGCGUUUCUUCAACUCCUCUACCCCUCCCUACCAGUCCUCUAUCACCGAACGCCUAAUCUAUUUAAAUCUUCACUCGGUUAUCUUAAUCUGAAUGUUGAUUUAUUUUUUGUAUUGUUUUUUUACUUUUAAAAUUUUACGUUCGAUUAACUUUCUGUCGAAAUGACACCGGGAUAACGUAUUUUUAAUACGCAUUUUAUUUUCCUCAUAACUUUCGCUAAAGAACUUGAAGUGCAUUAAUUUAGCUCCAUUAAAAACUAAAUGGCAAGUCCUCCACCCAAUAUAACAUAGAAUAAAUGGCGAAUGACGUAUUAGCCCCAAACAAAAACACUUAAUUAGAAAAAGGUAAUCCUACUUUUUUGUCUUAUCAACUCAUCAACAAUUAUUUGAUUCUAAGAAAAACCCUCUCAUAUAUAGAAAAAGGUAAUCCUACUUUUUUGUCUUACAAAUAUAUCAAUGCAUCAAUACUUAUUUGACUCUAAGAAAAACCUUCUCAUAUAUAUAAAAAAUACUUUUUACUCCUUGAAACCUUAAUUUAUCCCAGUUUCAUGAUUUAAACCUAAAUUUAGCCCCAAUUUCCACCAUUAACAAAUUUUGGCCGUCACAUGUUGAUUUUUUUAAUUUAAUUUUUGGAUAUUUUUUGUAUGAAUUUUUUUUCGGCUAGUCACCGGCGUUGAUUAUUUUAUUUUUAUUUUUCUGGCUUUUUGACCUCUAUAAAAUAAUCUUACUGUACACAAUAAUAUUACGGUGUUUCACAGUACUAAUAUUACUGUGUUUCACAGUAAUAUUAUUGCGUUGUAUUGCAAAUAUUACUGUCUCGGACAUUAAUAUUGUCUUGGCAUGCAAAAUUACUGCCUCAGAUAAUAAUAUUGUUGUUAACACAGUAUUCUUACUGUCUUGGGCUAAACUAUUAUUGUCUCAGAUAAUAUUAUGUUAACACGAUAAUAUUAUUGUGUUAAUAUUGAUAUUACUGUCUUGACCAGCAUUAUUACUUGCAGACAGUAAUAUUACAGUUAGCACUGUAAUAUUACAGUUAGAACUGUAAUAUUACUGUUUUGGUUGCUUAAAAAUUGGAAAAAAGGUAAAAACAAAUAUAUUUAAUAUUACUAUUUAAGGCAUAUUACUAUUUAAGGCAUAAAGAUCAUUGUAAUGUAUUCAUAAUAAUUCUACUUUGUUGACCAGGCAACGUCGAGGAAAAAUGUUUUAGAAAAAAAGAUUUACAAGAAAAAAAAAAUCAACGGUUUGUGAACGAAAAAAAAGGUUCAGAAACACCAUCGUGCAAUAUUUGUUAAGUUGGGCCAUUAUGGAUGACAUUGAUGUAAAUUAUGUUUUGAGAGGUAUUUGGGCAUGAGACAAAAAAAAAUGAUUUUUUUUGUAUGAUUGAUUUUUGUGUUGAUAGGAUUGCAGAUAAGCCCUCCUCCUCGAGCAUAGUGUAAACCAUAGGCAUCUAUCCUACAACUUCUAUAAAUACCGAUCAUUUCUUCGAUCAAAGAAUCACACUUAUUCGAGACUACCUCCGCCAUGACUACCAAAUAUACAUUGUUCUACAAACGCGCUUUAUCCACUAGAUUUUCUUUACGCAUAUAUCAACCAAUCAAUACACUAACUAGAGCUUUAACUUUCAAAGUAACAAGGCAUAACCCAGAGCUAAUCCCUCCAACAAAGCCCACACCACAUGAAUUCAAGCCUCUCUCCGAUAUCGAUGAUGAAAAAGGCCUUUGUUUUCAAGUUCCAAUCAUACAAUUUUACCGUAUAAAUCCCUCCGUCAAAGUGGACCCCAUUGAGGUUGUCUGUAAAGCUAUCGCUAAGGCAUUGAUUUCCUACUCCCGUUUGCCGGGCGGCUAAGGGGACACGCCGCCAAGAAGCUGGCGCCAGAGUGCACCGGUGAGGGGGUUAUGUUCAUUGAGGUGGAUGUUGAUGUGGCGUUGGAGCAAUUUGGUGACGAGCUUCAGCCAUUGGUGUCGUGUCUUGAGGAGCUCUUUAUGAGGUGCCUGUUUCCGGUGGAAUCAUUAAUGCUUUGUGCUUAUCCAAGUAUGUCCUGGCAUAUAUUUAUAUGGCACUUUACAAAUAAGCUUAUCAAUGGGGAUUUAUUCAUCAAGGACCCAAAACAAAAAACCCUUUUACAAAAAAGUCCUCACAUCGUUCAGAGGUUUGUAAAACAUAAAAUAGCCCCACACAUUUUAAUAUGCUACAAUUUCGUCAUUUAAUUUAAUUUAACCUCAAUUUGACCCCGAAUUUCACAAAUUAUUCAAUUUUGACCCAAAACACAAUUUUGAAUACAAUUUCAUCUGUCGUCGUCGUUGCCCGCCAGUCUCAGGCGUUGACUGUUACGAUUUUUUUUAUUUCUUUAUUAUUUUUUUGAAUUUUUUGUUUCUUUAACAUCUUUUGCCCUCGUUUAAACAACAAUAUUUUUGUGAUUGACAGUAAUAUUAACUAUAUUACUGUUAAACUACAGUUUAACACAGUAAUAUUGCUAUAUUAAUCGCUAGCACAGUAAUAUUAACACAACAAAAGCCGUUAUUAUUGUAUAAUAGAGUAAUAGUAAUAUGUUGACCGUUUCAACAAAGGUAAACAUAAUAAAAAAUCAAAAGAAUUAUUAUUGAUGUAGUUGACAUUAAUAUUAUUGUAGCAACAGUAAUAUUACCGUCAACCACAAUAAUAUUGUUGUGUUUAUAGUAAUAUUACAAUAGUAGACAGUAUUACGUUACUCCGUCAACAACUCAAACAAAACAAAAAACCCAAAAAAAUAAUAAUAUUAAUGUGGUUGAGAGUAAUGUUAUUGUGUUUAGAGUUAUUUUAGUGUCAACGAUAAUAAUAUAACUACGUUGACUUGUCAACAAAUCAAACAAAAAAAAAGAGCCAAAAAAUAAAAAUAUUGUCGUUGACUGUAAUUAUACUGUCAACGACAGUACAAUGACAUAAAUGUACUGUCAACGACAUUACAAUUGUUUUAAUGUACUGUCAACAACAAUAUAAUUACGUUAAUGUACUGUCCAUGACAGUAUAAUUACUGUUAAUGACAGUACAAUUACGGUCAACGUUUAGCGGUGGGGGUAAAAAAACAGGUCCAAAUUUUAGGUCAAAAAAAUCGAAAAAGUCAACGCCAAUAAAUCCCUGACCAUUUAUUAUUAUUAUUAUUAUUAUUACUAGUAAUUGUACCCGUGCGAUGCACGGGACAACAAAUUGCAUUCUUUUGAUGUUGUAAGAAUAUAAACAAACGUUUGAUGUAUCGUAUGAUCGAAAUUCUAUUAUACUGGAACAUUAUUAAGUAUACUACACACAAAAAAAAAAAGGACAUAACUUUACUGUUGAAUAAUUUUCCAAAUGAAUUGAAUCAGCUAAUACCAGUAGAUUGAAAAUUUGAACCAGGAAAAAAAUCAUCAAUUAUGUCUUCCAUGUUGAGCUUAAAAGUAAUUAGAUUUAAUAACUAAGUUAACAUAAUCAAAACUAAACUAUCGACAACAUACCAUCGUAAAAGGCCAUCUAUACAUCUUGCAUCGGAACUAAGCCCUUCUCCACUGCCUCAUUUUAAGGUUGUUUUGCCACUGGAAUUAACAAUUGGAAAAUUAAGAAACAAAAAUAAAUAUAAACAAUAAAUUAAAUAUCGCAUACAAACAAUAAGUCUUGAAGGUCGACUUCCAAUAGCUUGUGGCUCCGCCCAUUUUUGGUUAAUUUUCUCAAAUCAUCCCUUUCAAUAACAUGUCCAAUAACAUAUAAAAUGAAAUAAUUGUUAUCCAUAAAAUUUGAAAACUUUGGUAUAAAUUAAUGAAACACAUAAUUUAACAAAAUGAAAUUACCUAUAAGCCAUGAUGGAAAAAGAUGUAAACUAAUCGCCACACAUGCAAUAGGAUGAAGAAGAAGAUAAGAAACAAAAUCUAAAGUCGGGUUACCAAAAGAAGAAGCCUUAGGUAGGGAAGAAAUAAAAUUCAAAUGUUGCAGACAUUCUGUAAAACGAUGACACAAAAUCCGCUAGGGAUGAAAAUCAGAUUUAUUUACCCUUUUCUGUAAAAAUCGAAAAUCAGAUUAUUAUAAAUAAUAUCUAGGAGAAUUUGAUGAAAAUCGAUAAUAAUAUUUAAAAUAAUAUUUCGGAGAUAAAAAUUUGAUAAAAAAAUCAAAAAAUAAUAUUUAGGAGAUAAAAAUCAAAAAUAAAAUUUAAAAUAAUAGUUAGGAGAUAAAAAUUUGAUAAAAAAUCGAAAAUAAUAUUUCAAAUAAUGUUAAUGAGAUAAAAGUUGAUAAAAUAUGAAAAUAAUAAUUAGAAUAAUAUUUAGGAGAUAAAAUAUGAUUAAAAUCAAAAUUAUUAUUUAAAAUAAUAUUUAGGAGAUAAAAAUUUGAUAACAAUCGAAAAUAAUAUUUAGGAGACAAUAAUCUGAUAAAAAACGAAAAUAAUAUUUAGGAGAUAAAAAACUAAUAAAAACCCCAUACAACUCGAAAAAAAUAUUUAAAAUAUUAUUUAGGAGAUAUAAAUUUGAUAAAAUUCGAAAAUAAUAUUUAGGAGAUAAAAAUCUGCUAAAAGUUGAAAAUUAUAUUUAAAAUUAUAGUUAGGACUUAGGAGAUAUAAAUUUGAUAAAAUUAAAAAAAUAUUAUUUAUAAUAUUAUUUAGGAGAUAAAAAUUUGAGAAAAAUAAAAAAUAAUAUUUAGGAGACAAAAAUCUGAUAAAAAUAAAAAAUAAUAUUUAAAAUAAUAUUUAGGGGAUACAAAUAUGAUAAAAUUCAAAAAUAAUAUUUAAAAUAAUAUUUAAGGAGAUAAAAAUUUGAUAAAAAUUGAAAAAAAAAUUACAAAUAUGACAUUAGGGUUUCUUAGGGUUGCCCUAGCGUUUCUUUCUUUUAUAUAUAAGAUAUCUAGGAGAAUUUGAUGAAAAUCGAUAAUAAUAUAUAAAAUAAUAUUUAGGAGGAAAAAAUUUGAUAAAAAAAUCCAAAAAUAAUAUUUAGGAGAUAAAAAUCAAAAAUAAAAUUUAAAAUAAUAGUUAGGAGAUAAAAAUUUGAUAAAAAAUCGAAAAUAAUAUUUCAAAUAAUGUUAAUGAGAUAAAGUUGAUAAAAUAUGAAAAUAAUAAUUAGAAUAAUAUUUAGGAGAUAAAAUAUGAUUAAAAUCAAAAUUAUAAUUUAAAAUAAUAUUUAGGAGAUAAAAAUUUGAUAAAAAUCGAAAAUAAUAUUUAGGAGAUAAUAAUCUGAUAAUAAACGAAAAUAAUAUUUAGGAGACAAAAAACUAAUAAAAACAUGAUAAAACUCGAAAAAAAUAUUUAAAAUAUUAUUUAGGAGAUAUAAAUUUGAUAAAAUUCGAAAAUAAUAUUUAGGAGAUAAAAAUCUACUAAAAGUUUAGCAGACAAUAAUCUGAUAAAAAACGAAAAUAAUAUUUAGGAGAUAAAAAACUAAUAAAAACAUGAUAAAACUCGAAAAAAAUAUUUAAAAUAUUAUUUAGGAGAUAUCAAUUUGAUAAAAUUCGAAAAUAAUAUUUAGGAGAUAAAAAUCUGCUAAAAGUUGAAAAUUAUAUUUAAAAUUAUAGUUAGGACUUAGGGGAUAUAAAUUUGAUAAAAUUAAAAAAAAUAUUAUUUAUAAUAAUAUUUAGGAGAUAAAAAUUUGAUAAAAAUAAAAAAUAAUAUUUAGGAGACAAAAAUCUGACAAAAAUAAAAAAUAAUAUUUAAAAUAAUAUUUAGGGGAUACAAAUAUGAUAAAAUUCAAAAAUAAUAUUUAAAAUAAUAUUUAAGGAGAUAAAAAUUUGAUAAAAAUUGAAAAAAAAUUAGAAAUAUGACAUUAGGGUUUCUUAGGGUUGCCCUAGCGUUUCUUACUUUUAUAUAUAAGAUAUCUAGGAGAAUUUGAUGAAAAUCGAUAAUAAUAUAUAAAAUAAUAUUUAGGAGGAAAAAAUUUGAUAAAAAAAUCCAAAAAUAAUAUUUAGGAGAUAAAAAUCAAAAAUAAAAUUUAAAAUAAUAGUUAGGAGAUAAAAAUUUGAUAAAAAAUCGAAAAUAAUAUUUCAAAUAAUGUUAAUGAGAUAAAAGUUGAUAAAAUAUGAAAAUAAUAAUUUGAAUAAUAGUUAGGAGAUAAAAUAUGAUUAAAAUCAAAAUUAUUAUUUAAAAUAAUAUUUAGGAGAUAAAAAUUUGAUAAAAAUCAAAAAUAAUAUUUAGGAGACAAUAAUCUGAUAAAAAACGAAAAUAAUAUUUAGGAGAUAAAAAACUAAUAAAAACAUGAUAAAACUCGAAAAAAAUAUUUAAAAUAUUAUUUAGGAGAUAUAAAUUUGAUAAAAUUCGAAAAUAAUAUUUAGGAGAUAAAAAUCUGCUAAAAGUUGAAAAUUAUAUUUAAAAUUAUAGUUAGGACUUAGGAGAUAUAAAUUUGAUAAAAUUAAAAAAAUAUUAUUUAUAAUAAUAUUUAGGAGAUAAAAAUUUGAUAAAAAUAAAAAAUAAUAUUUAGGAGACAAAAAUCUUAUAAAAAUAAAAAAUAAUAUUUAAAAUAAUAUUUAGGGGAUACAAAUAUGAUAAAAUUCAAAACUAAUAUUUAAAAUAAUAUUAAAGAGAUAAAAAUUUUUAUCAAAUUGAAAAAAAAUUACAAAUAUUACAUUAGGGUUUCUUAGGGUUGCCCUAGCGUUUCUUUCUUUUAUAUAUAAGAUUAUUAUUAUUAUUAUUAUUAUUAUUAUUAUUAGAGUAAAAAGCAGUUUGCCCCCUAAACUAAUGGCCAUUUUGCAUUUUACCCCCUAAACAAAAAAGUUUUGCACAAUUUUACCUAAACUCGUUAAUUUGUUGCAGUUUGCCCCUAAACCGAAUUUUCCGGCAAUUUUGGACGGAAAGUCAAACACGUGCAUUGCACGUGAAAUUUGCAGGGGUAAAUUCAUACAUUCUCUUCCAUUGUAUAUAUUAAAUAUUAAUUAAAUCAUUAACAUAAAAAAAAAGUAAAUAAAGAAAAAAAAGAAAAAAAAACAAAACCACCUGCAACAUCAUCUUCCCUCGCCCACCCACCGCCCGCGAUUUACCUAUGCACUCCAAAGCUCGAUCUUGCACCACCGAUAAAGACGGCGAAGAUCCUCUCUCCACCCUUGCCGACACCAACCGCCCGACACGCUCCCUAGUCCCUCCCUUUCCUCCGCCGCUUUCUCCUCCAUCUUCGCCGCCCUUAUCUAUUAUCUCUCCUCCGAUCCCAACUACGCCUCCACCAUAUAGCCUCCAAUGUCCACUCUCUCUCUCCGGUCAAAUCAUAAAUGUCCUCGAUUCUUCCUUAGUGAGAGAAAUCAAAAUCAUAAGUGUCCCUAUCACCAAUUCUCGCAGCCUCCGCAAUUUUACCCCAUUCUUGUUGAUGUUGAUCUUGUUCUUAGCACGUGCUUCCUUCUUAAAUUUCGCCGCUGAAGUUUUGAAGGGCUCCUUCGUCAGCCCAAGUUUCACGGCGUCGCCGACAAAACAGAGUAGGUUAACAAUGGGAUGGUGGGCGGUUGUGGGCUAGGGUUGUGGUCUGGGAUUAUUGGCUGGGAUUUGGGGGUGGGUCUUGUUGUUGAAUUCCGUUCUCAGUUGUUGUGCUGGAGUUGGUCAGGUAAAUCGCGGCGGCGGAAGUGGUGGGAAUUGGAGGCAGCUGUGGAGGAUAAAUGAACGGCAAAGAAGAAGAAAUAGAACAGAGGAAAUAAAAUGGAGAAUUAAAAAAAAAAAAAAAAAAAAAAAAAAAAAAAAAAAAAAAAGAUAAAAAAGGCAUGUGGCAGGUGUUUUGAUUUUUUCCUUUUUUAUGAUGAUUUUAUAUUAAUGCAUAGAAUUUAAGUAAAUUGACAAAUUUACCCCUGUAAAUUGCUGCACGUGCAACGCAUAUAAUUUAACAUUCCGUCCAAAAUUGACGGAAAAUUCAGUUUAGGGGGCACCGUGCAACGAAUUAAUGAGUUUAGGUAAAAAUGUGCUAAUUUUUUUUGUUUGGGGGGUAAAGUGCAAAACGGCUCUUAAUUUAGGGGGCAAACUGCUUAUUAUUAUUAUUAUUAUUAUUAUUAUUAUUAUUAUUAUUAUUAUUAUUAUUAUUAUUAUUAUUAUUAUUAUUUUGCAUUUUGUUAUUUUUUCUGAUUUGUUGAUAAGUCAACGUAAUUAUAUUACUGUCGUUGACGGUAAAAUUACUAUAAACACAAUGGUAUUACUGUCAACUAUAGCAAUUUAAUUUUUUUGCUUUGUUGUUUAGUUUUAUUUGUUGACCAAUUAACGUAAUAAUAUUAUUGUCUACUAUUGUAGUAUUACUGUAAAUACAAUAAUUUUACUGUGGUUGCGGUAAUAUUAUUGUUGUUACAGUAGUAUUACUAUGGAUGACAAUAUUAUUACUGUUAACCACAUUAAUAUUACUUCUUUUGGUUUUCUAAUUAUGUUUGUCCUUAUUGAAUGGUCAACAUAUUAAUAUUACUCUAUUAAACAAUAAGAGUGAUUUUUGUUGUGUUAAUAUUACUGUGAUAGAGAAUAACAUAGCAAUAUUACUGUGUUAAGAUGUAUAGUUAAUAUGCAUGUCAACCACAACAAUAUUGAUGUUUGAACGAGACAAAAAGAUGUUAAAGUAAAAAAUAAUUUGUUUUAAAAAAAAUGAAAAAAUCAACGCCGGAAAUCGGCUGAAAAAUCAGGAGAAUUUAAAAAAAAAAUGAAAAAGUCAACACCGGAGACCGGCGGAAAAAUAAGGAGAAAAGUAAAAAAAAAAAAAAAAAAAAAAAAAAAAAUGGUCCACGCCGUUUAAUUGAAUAUUUUGUGAAAUUUGGGGUUAAAUUGAUGUUAAAGUAAAUUAAAGGAUGAAACUGGAACAUAUUAAAAUAUGAGAAGGUAUUUUAGUCCUUUAUAAAGAAAUCAAUACCAUAAAUAAUUUCUGUUAAUAGCAUAGUAUUAAAAUAUACAUCAUUAAACAAAAUACAAUUUAAAAAAAAAAAUGCUUUUUUUCAUUUCAAUACCAAAAAUUAAAAAAAUGAAAAAAUUAUAUUCUUCUCCCCCAAACCCAAACUCAAACCCUCUCUUCUUCUUCAUCUUCUUACAAACCCUCCAAAAAAUCUCAAAACUCAAAAAAAUCAAAAACCUCACAAAACUUAUAAAAUGAAGUCACAACAAGACAAUAAAAUGGUGGUUUACAUGGAAGGAGAACCCAUUAAAGUAUGUAAUAAUGUCUUCUUUGAGCUUCAGGUUAGAUUUUUUAGUUUUUUUUUUUUUAAAUUCGCCUACAGUUUUCGAUACAUAUAGAUCAAAUUUUUGAUCAUUUUUCAACACCAACUUGUCGAAAAUUGCAUUAAAAAAAAAAUUCGACAUGUAUGUGUCGAACUUCAUUUUUUUAAUACAAUUUUCGACAAGUUGAUGUUGAAAAUUGACCAAAAAUCCGACCUGCAUGUGUCGAAUAACUAUGGCGGAUUUAAAAAAAAUCUUCAAAAUCGACUUUUAAGCUCAAAAAAGACAUGGAUACAUAUCUUAAUGGGUUCUCCUUGCUCGUAAACUACUAUUUUAUUGUCUUUUGACUCCAUUUUGCAUGUUGUUUAAGGUUUUGAUUUCUUUAGUUUUGAGAUUUUUUUAGCAGGGUUUGUUAGUAGGAGGAGGAAGAAGAAGAAGAAGAAGAAGAUGAAGAAGAAGAAGAGGAGGAGGAGGAGGUGGUGAGGGGUUUGUAAAGAGGGAGAUGGAGAUGGGUUUGAGAGGGGGUUUGUGUGUUUGGCAUUGAAGAAUGAAAAAUGACAUUUGUAAUGUAUGUUUGGUUUUGAUUUUCAUUUAAGGGUUUUGAAUAUUAGUAAUUGUUUUAACGGUAUAAAAAAAAAUGAAACAAGUAUCAAUUAAUGAAAAAACAAAUCAAUAUUCGAGAAGAUAAAAAAAUCCGAAAUUAAUCAUAAUAAUCAAGCGCCGCCUUGAUCUUUUUAACAGUGGCGCUGAUUAGGGUAUGCACGGUGGCAACCGACUCCAUAUUCAGUUGCGUUGUCAAUUGGCUGUGAAAAAUUAAUAUCCGGAAAGCAACUGUGAGAAGCGAGCCACCGCUACCGGUGUUGGAACUGGUUGAAGCUCCGUUGGUGCCUCUGCUAGUAGCACGGCCAUCGGUAGAGAUCACAAAACCCGACGGCAGAAUCGGUAUUUUCGUACUUGUGCUCUUCUUUUCUCGUCUUGGAAGAAGUUAAAGAGAUGCUCCUUGGAAAAGGGAAGCCAAAGCGAGGUAGCUGCGCUAACAAUGAAUCCAUCAGGUUGAUGAGGUCCGUUACUUUUUCGGAGCGCGACAUAAACUCCGCUAUUUUGAUAUUCCGACGGAUUGGGACAAUCGAGUUUAUCCGACAUGCACAGUUCUUCGAAAAAACUCACCACCAUUCUUUGGGAACCACAAACGAAGUCUCUGUACAGACGAUGAGUCGAUAACUUGUCGUCCACUUGUACAUGUUCAAUCCAUGUAACCUAUUCAAGAAAAAUAAUAUUCAGUAUGUAGACAGCGUAAAAGAAUAGAGUUAAUUGCAUUCGGCACCCCGUAUUAUAUCGAAUUGCUAAAAACACCCAUGAGUUCUGGCUCGAAACUCUAAAUCGACACAUAAUAUGAGAUAAAGAUGCACUUAAAAAGAAACAAAUGGGUUUUUAUAUAGAGAACUCACUGUUGAUUUUCCAUUUGAAAUAUCUUGAAUAAUACACCCUGAAGGAAACCUCCAAGAACGAGUGCGAACGGAAUCUUGGAGCUGUGUUAUGAAAUCGUAGGACACGUCCACCAACACCCAAGUGCUCGAAUUAAUUUGGCGGGAAUAUCGAAUGAAGAAAAAUUCUCGGGGAGCAACAAGUGGUGAUAAAAUGUGCAUUUUUUGAUACAUCUGCGCACCAAAAUAAGUCAAAACAUUCAAUUUUUUAUCCGUUCAGAUAUCCCGAAAAUAUAAUGAUAAUAAUAAUAAUAUGAAUUUUUUGAGGUCCUUCCCAAAUGUAACAAACCACCAAAUAUUCCAGUAUCGAUUGCUUCAAGGGUCGUCGCUUUUGUGACGAUAGUAGGAAAAAUUUCCUUCCAUUUGUUCUGCAAAUUAUUAGCAAAUAAAUUUUCACUUAAAAAAAAAAAAAACAAUUCCAAUGUGUAACAUACAUACCACAUCAACAAGCAUUUCGAUUAAAUGUGUGGCAGACAUUGCCACCUCGCCCGAAUCUUUCGAAGAUUCAAACCGAGCACUUGAAGUGUUGACCUGGUUUGACUUGGGGAAAAUCAUAUCAUAACUAUCUCGACGUAAAGUAUAUCUCCCAUGAUCCGAUGGAGCUUCGAACCACAGCGGCUCGUUCACACGUAACAGCUCCAGAAGUUCGUUCAUUGCAGCGACAGCUGUCUCGAUAAUGACAGAUUUAUCCACAUGUGUCAGGCUUGUUGACCAAUGUUGUGACAUAUAUUGUUGACCAGGUGCACUAGUACUGGGCUCGGUUCCAGCAAAAGGCAAAGCUGGAUUUCCGGUAUAAUUGGUGAAAAAGUUGACCGCUCGUUCGUACUGAAAAAAAAAAGUUUACGAAAAAACCGAUAAUUAAUAAAUGUCCAAAAUAUGCAUCUCAUAGUGAUUGCAGGUUUCUUGAAUAUAUGCUUUUACUCGUGCAAUUAAAUAAACUCGGACAUAAGUGGUUGCUAUACUUGCUAAAUACAGAAACGACGAAACUUUUCAUGUGCAAAAAGUAAAGAUCUCGAUUAUUUAGUAGAUAAUAUAUCGAUCGAUCAGAUCACCUCUUCUUUCCGACGUGCAUUUUCGAUUCUCAAUCUCUGCAGAUUUUGGCGUUUCUCUUCUUCACAAACACCUGAAUUAUUGCAAGAGGGACAAAAGGCGUUUUUCAGAACCUCGUGCAUCGAAAGGUUCUCGAAAUGAAUUCUUUGGUUCUCCGAGCGGAGGGAAUUGUUGUCUGCUCUCUCGUUUAGAGCCUACAAAACAUAAUAUACAAACAAGUAAAUAAAUCAUCGUAAAACGACCAUAGAAAACAAUUGCGUAAGAAUAAAGCACCUUCAUCUGAGUUCGUUUAUUUUGAAACCAGAACUUUAUCUGCUUUUGGUCAAGGCCGAGUUCUCUGCUCAAUUGUUGCCUCUGGUUCUUGUCCGGGUGCGGACAUUCGUUAUAGAAACUGCGUAAAUAUCAUAAAUCGGGAAACGAAAAAAUUUUAUAUAGAGAAAUUCUAUUUUAAGUGUCUCGUCUUUCGAAUGUACCGAGAAAUUUUCAGCCAUGCAAAUGAAGGUUUAUGAAAAAUCGAAAUGUAAAUGGAAUAAAAUUAUUUAGACAGAAAUUAAUCGUACGCCUCGAGCUGCUGAAUUUGUUCGGUAGUGUGACGGUGGUAUUGCUUCUUGCCCUCUCGUGAGUUGUAGUUUUCUUCAUCGCCCGAUCCAUUUCUUCUGUUAGACAAAUCCAUCUCUUCGUAUCAAACACAACAGCUCUUUUUUUAUUCCUAACAACACACAAAAAAAAAUUAUUAUUAUUCAUUAUAUAUAUACAACAAAUUCAUAUAGAAACCGAAAAAAUGGACUCACCUAAGUCGAAAAACUCUGUAAAACACAGUAUGAGUAAAAAACAAUAUUUACACAUACUCUGGAAAACACAGUAUGUGUAAAUAAUUCUGCUAUAUGAAAAUAUGGUUGUCUUGGACUCAAUAUAUAGCUUGACCUAAACGAGAGGUAACAAGCAAAAAAAGAAUUCUAUGACGAUAUUCGAAAUAAUUUCAGAUACGAGAUACCCUACUGAAUGUGGACGGAAUCUCAGGGUCAACAGAAUCCUGCUGAAUAGAAAAUAUAUACAUCAUAGAAUAUAAUUUAUGUCUUUAUUUGAAAUAUCAAAUGCAGAUUCUAAUGAUUAAAUAAUGAUUAUGAAUGUAUAGCAGUAAUUCAAAAGUUUCCUUUUAUUCAAUUAGCUUAUAUGGAUUGUUAAUGAAUUUAGUAAUUGAUGGUUUGAAUAACAUUUACUCAGAAUCUGUCAUUUUUUGAUUCUGAUUGUUCUUAUCUGCAACGAGACUGAAGACAGAUAACUUAAUCAACACGAAAAGAAAAAAUACAUAUAUCGCGUAUUCGUUGUCAUGAAUUCAAUAUUACGGAGAAGACCUCAGUUUCCUAAAACGAACAAUUUAUAUACACUACUAAUAAUCACAGAGAAGACCUCACUUUCCCUCAGUUUCAUAUUGCUGAGAGUGCUAAUCGGUUAUUCGUCGACAUUACGCACCUUGUAAACAAAGUUAUUUCCUUUCUUUUUCUACUAGUUCAUCGAGAAAAAAUAAACAUGCCUGUAUAUAUAUAUAUAUAUAUAUAUAUAUAUAUGGCCUUCGACGUCCUAAAAUGAAAAGGUUGAAUAAAAGUUAAGGUUUAGUACCAACAAAUGAAUCAUUUAACAUCAUGGUCCAUCUAAAUUGAUACAUUUAUUUCCUCGAUGCUCCAUGCACGUAAAUUGGGAACAAGAACUUCCUUCUUUCUAUUAAAUAACAACUCAGUCCAUUCAGUUUCAAUUAAAUAUACUAUUAGUUCCAACAUAUUAUGCUGGAGUACUUUACCUCGGAAUAUCUAUUCCGAGGUGUAAAAGAUAAUAACAAGAUCUUAUGCUAUCAUACCUUCAAUAAUUGCAAGUUAGUAACUAAAAUUAUGAAAAAAAUGAAUUUGAGCCAUAUUUUUUGACGACUUUAUACCAGUCGAGUUGUCUGAACCUCCGACGAUCAAGCCCUUCGUUUCAUGCAAGGUCACAAAGAGUAGCAUAUAUUCUCUGAUUCUUGCAUAUACCCUGCACAAAUAAUACCUAUAUCAUUUAGCAAAAUUUAAUUACUAAUUUACGGUGAAACAUUGAAAUCUAAUCACAUCCCACAAAGAAAAAUGUAUCAAUAAACAUAUUCCCAAUCGCGAAGCACUUCGGCAAGCAACGAAUAAUCGAUCGGGGUUUCAGCUGAUGGAAGUAGUUUUAUUCGAAUAUCAAUCACGUAACGAGUAAUUAUUGCAGUAAAAUUAUCACUAUCUAAGGAAAAAACACGAGUUAGUUCUUGAAAACAUCUAUUAAUAGACAUUUACGAACCUUGUGAACGAAGUUAUUUUCUUUCUUUUUUCUACUAUUCAUUAAGAAAAAUAAACGUAGUUAGAUAAAUAUCUCAUUCGACUUUCCUAUAACGAACAAUACGUAUACAUUAUCUCCAACAUGGCUUUAAUUAAUCAUUAAUUAACAUCAUGCUCCUUGCAUGAAAAUCGGGAAUAUACUUCAUUUAAACUAUCCCUUAGUCCAUUCAAAUUUCGAUUAAAACUAACAGUACGAUACACUAUGAGUUCCAAUAUAGUAUGCUGAAGUCUAAUCGUAAGGUGAAAACGUAAAAACCUAAUCCCGAGAUAUAAUUAGUCUAUCAAAUUUAUCAAAAUUUCACUAUUAACCUAAUUAAGGUGAAACAUUGAAAUCUAAUCUCCUCCGACGUAGAAAAAUGUAUGCAAUAUCCGCAUCAAUAAAUUCUCGAUGACGAAGCACUAACGACACGUAACGAAUAAUCGAUCGGGGUUUCGGUUGAUGGAAGUAGUUAUAUUCGAGUAUCAAUCAUGUAACAAGUAACUAUUGCAGUAAAAUCAUCACUACAUAGGGCAAAAAAAACAAGCUAGAAAUCAAAACUAACAAUGGAACUUCAAAUUAGGGAGAUAAAUUGCAGAAGAGCUCGAAAUGCCCAAAGGUACAACCUGUUGCAGAGCUAUGUACAAACAUCAAGCAGCAUUUUGCCCUCUUUUUUCUUCACUUCUUCGCUUUUUAUUUUUCUUUCCCAUCUCCCCCGCAGAGAAGAAACCAAAAAAAAAACAAAAAAUUAGUACGCCAAUAGGGCAAGGGCUGGGCCACCGUUCUGGCGGCGUCCAAUAGGCAGUUUUCAGCACUGCGCCGCCGGUCAGCCUCAUCUCCGGCUGCCUCAUCUCCGACCUUGUUCGACAAAUGAAUUGCUAUUUUCCAGACAUCGCAAAAAAACUUAAUCGUUUUGAGCAACAUUCUAAAACUCUAUUAUAAAGCUAGGUUGCGGUUAUAUGCAAGACUAAUUCCACUUGUGCAAGACCAAAUUAAAAUUUUUAAUGUAUAAAUACUAUAAUACCCUUAUUUAUUAAAAAAAUAAAAAAUUCCAAAUAUGCAAGACCAAAAAUUCAAAAACACAAAAAAUCCUAUCACAAGACUACAAAACCACAAGACCAACUCUCAUCUUCUCCAUCUUCCAAAAUCCACAAGACCUUUCUACUUCCUCCUCCAUUAACCCACAAAACCUAGAAAUUCAAAAUCAUCAAAACUCAACAAAUCUUACAAAGAUGGCAAGUAUGGAGUCAGAAGACAUCACAAUAGAAGAUUUUACGAUGGAGGAACCCAAGAAUGUAUGCAUUUAUGGGUUUUUUUAGCUAGAAUAUUGAUUUUCCAAAAAAAAUCCCGCGCAAACGAAUUCGACAUGUACAGGUCGAAUUUUACAGGUAAAAAUCGACAUUUAGAUGUCGAUUUUGAGGUAUAAAAUUCGACAUUUGAAUUUGUGCUAUAAAUUCGACAUGUCAAUGUCGAUUUUUACCUAUGAAAUUCGACGGUUAAGUGUCGAUUUGUAGCAUAAUUUUUCGACACCUUAGUGUCGAUUUUUGUUUUUUUCUCAUUAUUUGUAUUUGGUCUUACAUGAGAAAAAAAAAAGUCAAUUUAAUUUAUGGGCAUACUUGUCAUUCCAUCUUAAUAAAAUAGAAUCUUUUGGAAUCUUUCUUUAAUUUGGUCUUGCACAAGUGGAAUGAGUAUUGCAUAUAACCGCAGCCUUAAAGUUAUUAUUGUUUUUCUUUUUUCUUUUUUUUUAAAUCCGGGAAAAUUAUAGUUUUCGUCUAUCAAGUUUGCAUCAAUUUCACUCAAAAAAAAUAUACAUUUGGUCCCUCAUGUUCUAAUAAUUUAACACUUUUGGUCAUUUCCGUCAAUUUACCGUUAGUCCGUUGGUUAAGAAAGUUAUGGAAUAUGUUUCAUCCCGAUUCGUUAGUUUUUACGGAAAAUUGACGGAAAUGAAUAAAAAUGUUGAAUUUUUUUAAAGGGACAAAUGUGUUUUUUGUGAAUAUGGGGUACCGAAUCUGAAAUCGGUGCAAAUUUGAAGGACGAAAACUGUAUUUUUCUCUUUAAAUUCCAAGAGGGACCAAAACCCAUCCAUAUCAUCGUCAAAAAUAAAAAUACCGUUAUCUAUAAAUUAAUAUAGUUAUGACUGAAUAAAUUCUAUUAAUUUAAUGAAAUAUUAAACUAUCGAACUAAAAUUUUAUUAUGUUUUUACUUAAUGGGGAUGAGAAAAAACUAUUAUUUAAGCGACGUUAUUAAUUUAUCGAAGUCCUACUGUAAAAUAAAGUUUUAUUUCUAAUGAAGUAAGCAAAUCGGAUCUCCAUAUCGAAGUUCAACUGUAAAACAAAUUCUCUUUUGGAGACCAAAAUGGAGACCAAAAUGGAGACCCGAUAGAAUUAGAGUUUCUAAAAAACAAAACUCCACAAUAGAAGGCUUUAUAAUUUUGAGUCUCUAAAUCAUAUUACGGAUUAUUUUAUAUAGUAGUUUAUUAGGGCUCAAAUUUCAUGCAUAUACGAGGUUGUAGAUAAUUUUUUUUUUAAUAGUCUUAAUUAUUUUUAAUACAUAUUUCGAUCCAAAAAAUUAAAAAAUUCUGAAAAGGAUAUGAAAUGUUGAACUACAACCAUUGAAUAUGAUUUUAAUUAAAGUAUUUGUAACCACCACUAAUUUCCACCGCCUUUCACCCCAAACGGUUUUUUUAUUUUUUACUCUCAUUUAAACCUAAUUCAGUACAAUAUAGCACGCCCCUCCUCCCUCAAUUUCCUUUUUCUCCCUAUUCUUCAACACGCUAGAAACAGAGAGGAAAAAAAUUAUAUUACAAGUUUCUUCAAGUAUUGACAGCCAACUCAACCCUCUACUUCUAAUUUCUUCAAUUCUCAUUCACAGAACCAUAAAUUCAAUCAAAUUCCCCUAAAAUUCUACAAGCAUUGGAGAGAAAAGAAAAAGAAAAUAAAACUCACAAUCUGAAAAUUUAGAAGUGGUGAAAAUGAUGAAGAACAAUUAAUUAAAGGUAUUUAUGCUUUUUUUCUUUUCUUUUUUCUUACUGUUGAUAACCAACGAUCAAAUUUGCAAAUCGUUCAAAUAUUAAUUUUUAUUUGAAAACAAAAUCGAAAUCUAAAUGCAAGAAAUUGAGUCUUGUUUGAAGUUGGGUCUCAUAAAAUAUGAGUCUCCAAACAAAGACCUAUAUGUAGGAACAAGUCUGGAGAUUUGCAUCGAGGCCCUCUAUAUUUCUUGUUGGUAUUGGAUUUUCUACCACAGUCUCCAUAUUGUGCAGCCAAAUGGAGUUUGCUUACGCGACUGGAAAUGUCCUAAAUCCUAAUAGCCUAAAAGUGGCUUAGUCGGAAUAUUAGGAUCGAUCGGCAAAAGACAAAAGUUUGCCGUCCAACAAUGAAAAUCAAAGGCUAGAGUACCAAUUUUAGCGAACAAACUAUCAAGUUUUCGCACAUCAUGUUAUUUUUAAGGGGAAAUGUGGGAUACUCACUAAUUUUGAAAAUAUAUAUGGAUAGGUCCUAUGGAUUUUUCUUUCCUAGUCAAAAACUCAAAUUCUAAUCUUAAUUUGACAGCCCCCCCUAGACAAGUUGAAAUACCUGUUUUACUCUUUUAGUUACAAUUCAAACCCUAACCCAUAUUUUCUUUUUCCACAAACUCUCUCAGCCGUUAUUCUCACUCUUUCUCCCUCUUUUUCUUCUUUCUCUCUCUAACUCUCUCUCUCUCUCUCUCUCUCUCUCUCUCUCUCUCUCUCUCUCUCUCUCUCUCUCUCUCUCUCUCUCUCUCUCUCUCUCUCUCUCUCUCUCUCUCUUUCUUCUUUCUCUCUCUAACUCACUCUCUUUCUUCGGCACACAGCUCUCCGCGGCCACCUCGGCUCCCUACCGCCUUGCGUCGCCCAUCGUCGUUGCUUCCCCCACCUCCUUGCGCCACCGACGUUGCUCUCCCACAGCCUUGCGUCGCCGCCCCUGCUCCUCCACAACCUUGCGCCGCCGCCACUUUACGCGUGCUCGAUGCAAUCGCCGCCUUGAAUCACCCGUCCAAAUCGAAUAUACUCGGUGAUGCCAAAAACAUGAUGGAUGAGGGUUUGUUUGUUUUAAAUUCGUUUUAGAUCUUUUUCUACUUCCGUUUGAAGAAAUGGUUUCUACGUUAUUGUUUUAGUUUCUUCUCUCUUUUUUAGGGAUGGGUCGAACCAGAUCUAUUAUUUCUUAUAAAAAAAAACACAGAUCUACUAUGUUUUUCAAGAUCUGUGAACAAUUAAUAUUAAUAUCUUUUUUGUUGCAUUAAUUUGAUUUUUUAUUUUGUUUGAUUCUUAUCUUGUUCAUUUUUGUUAUAAUUCAAAUGUAAUUUAUUUUUUUGUAUUUAUUUGAAGAUGACCCGAAAUACCUUAAGUGUAAGAGCUUUGUUUGUCUGUAAUAGAAACUUAAUCAGUAGUGGUUACUUAGUGUUUCAGGUGAAUAUACAGUUAUAUGUAGUCAUAUGCAGUCAUAUACAGUCAUGGCUACAUAUAAACUAUACAUGACUAUACAAUUUGUAAUAUACUAUAGUCAUUUGUAGUCGAUUUCAAUACGGUAUAUUUAUCGGAAAAAAAACAAAAAAAUCAUUGUUUUUUUGUAUUUUUUCAUGUCAUAUAAUUUGCAUGUUCCAUUUUGCUCUUUAACUCGUAUUUUUUUGUCGCGGGUUUUGCUAUUUGUAUAAUUUUAUGAGAUGCAGAGAAUAAGAUGUGCCGAAGUGCCUUGUGAAGUUGGAUUCAUACUGCAGUAGUCUAGACUUUAUGUUAAUAUAGAUAACUAUCAAUAAUUGUAGAUAACUAUAGUCACGUGUAGUAACAUAUAGUUAUAUAUAUGCUAUGUGUUUUUUAAUGUAUAGUAAUGCGUGUUCAUGUUUGAAGAUAAUAUACAUGUGAUUGUGUUUUUUCAUUUUUUUUUUGGUUAGUUGAUUUAUAAUACCAAGAUUUAAAUUGUGAAUUUUGUUGUUGGUGUAGAUAAUUUUGGGGUAAAAAGAUAGUAAGUACAUAAAUACAUAUAACUAUACAUGACUGUGGUAUACUAUAGUUACGUGUAGUAUACUAUAGUCAUGUGUAGUCAAUUCCAGUACAGUAAACUUUUCAAAAACAAAUCUUACAAAAAAAAUUUAAAAAAAAAUUAAAAAAAUCAAAAAAUUAAAAAAUUAAAAAAUAACUAAAAAAUUAAAAAAUAAAAGAAAUAAAAAAAAUAAAAAUAAAAAACAAAAGAUGGUAUAUAUAAAAAAUAAACAUUUUUAUUUUUUAUUAAAUUAAUAAAUAAAAAUGAUAAAUGCAGGCCCAAAAAUGCUAAAUGCGGUUGGGCAUAUGUUGAAUGCAGGGGCGAAAAUACUGAAUGCAAUCAGCCGAAAAUUGCAAUUAAGGGCACAAUAGUACUUUUGUCUCUCUAGGGGGUAUCUCAAAGGAAGAAUUUUAGGGGUGGACCUAUCCGUAUAUAUUUUUCAUUCUAGGGGUCUAUAUCAAAUGGACCCUAUUUUUAAACAAUUUUAUAAUUUUGGUAUGCAUUUGGUUAUUUGUUGAUCCACUCAUAAAUUAAGGCCAAUAAUAAUUGGGCACUUUACAAAUAAGUCUAUCAAUGGGUAUUUAUUUAUAAGUGAGUUCAAAUAAUAAACUCUUUUGCCUUUGAUUAAAAUAUAGUUGAUUUUGUCUUUUUUUUAGUUGUGAUUCGUUAUUUUUAGUAGUCAGAUUCUUAAUCGAUUAUGCUUCACAAGAGAUUAAUAUAUCUGAUAGAGAAAAAAAAUUAAAAACAAAAAAGAAAAAAAAAACUUUCAAAAGUUUUUACUUAAUCGACUAUGUUUCGUAAUCGAUUUUCCUUAAUCGACUAUGCUUCAUAGUCGAUUAAUAAAACUGAUAGAAAAAAAAGGCUAAUGACCAUUGCAUGAUGCAAUGAUGAUGUGGGCACGUGACCCAAUGAUAAUGUGGCGGACGGAGGUAAAUUGGAAAUAAUUAUAGUUGGAAAUGAGUGUGGGUUUUGUCAAAUGAAGUAAAAUAUUUUGGACCUCUCCCUAUUAAAAGAAGUAAUGGGGGUCUACAUCCCUCCAUAGUCCAUCAAAUACUUGUUCGGCCAAGGGAUGGGGGCCCUGGGGCAAAGGAUUUCACAUUUUAGUGCUAGUAAUGAGGUUUUUUUUUAGAUCGCCUAUAAUAAUUAGGAUUUUUCUAGCGUCUGAUAGCUCAAAAACUCGCUGAGGUCAGAUACCCCCUAUAUUACCAUUCAUUUAAAUAAGUGUUCUAAAAAUCGGCCAAGGCGGUCGAUUAAUCGGCCACCGAGGCGAAGGUGGUCCAAAACCUUUACGAUUUUAGUGUAAAUGUUUGAAAAAUCGGUUUUUGACCUUUGAGGCGGUCCGAGGCGGUCUGAAGCGGUAUGAGACGGUCCGAGGCGGUCAAACCUUUAAGGUGAGUCAAAUUUCGGUAGCAAAAAUCGCAAAAAUUCUGUCAAAAAUCGGUUUUUUUUUUUUUUAAUCAAAAUAAAAGUUGGGAUUUUAAUAAAAAACAAAAUAUGAGUUUAUGCUUUAUUUUGUUUUUAAUUAUUAUUGUUACAAAACUAGUGAUGUAUGCCAAGAAUGUAUGUAAAUUCAAAAAAAUUGCCUUUUUAUUUAUAUUUUAUAAGGAUAUUUAUGUAUUAUGAUCUUAUAAUUAUUAAACUUUUAUUAUGUUAUUAGAAUAUAUACAUGAUGGAGAUAUAACUAUGUUUAAAUAUUUUUUAUCUAUGUUUUGAGUAUUUAUAAAUAAUAUCUACAAAUAUAUUAUAUUAAAUUUUAAAAACCGAUUUAUUUGCGAUUUAUCACCGAUUAACCACCGCCGCACCAAUUAAUCGUGAGUCGGUCCCUGACCGCCUCCGACCCGAUUAUCACUUUUUACAACCUUGUUUUAAAUAGAUCAGAUCUGAACCGUUGAAUCAAAAAGUGAUUUUGGAUUUCCUAGAAAAAUAAAUAAAAUAAUAAUUUUAGCAAUUACGAAUCUAUCCUUCUCACUUAAAAUUAUUUAUUACAUUAAAAUAAAAUAAGUUUAUAUGUAAUAGUCUAUUCUACCCUCAAUUACAUUCACUGAAAUUCAAUUUCAGCCCACAACUAAUUUUUCUUAUCUCAUUAUACUUCUUUUGCUCAUCAUUUUCCACUCUCUUCUUCCACAUUUUUCACAGGGUUUUUGGCAUUUUGCACUCUUAAAUUACACCCUUUUGGUACUUUGCACUCUUAAAUUGCAAAAUUGGCAGAUUGCACCCUUUAAAUAUAAAUUAUUUGGCACUUUGCAGCCCAAAUAACUUUUGGCUUAGAAAACCUACCUGCAACUUACUGGAAAUCUAGAAGAUGGGAGAAUUCAUAAUUUUCUUAUUAUCUAUCCUCUUCCCUCAUUCUUAAUCACUGUUCCACCAUUUUUAUCUUUCGUCCCUUCAAUCAAAAAAUCCUAAAAAAAAUUUAGCCAUUUCUUUCAAUGGUAAAAUCGGUAUAAACACUAAACAAUAAUAGUAAAUCACAUUUUUUUUUCUUUGUAUGAAAAAUAAUGUAACUGGAAAUUUUAGGGUGAGCCCUCAAAUUUUUUUUUUUGAAUAGUCAAAUGAUAAAAUAAGAUUACUGAGAAGUUUAUUUGGUAGUGGACAGGUGGUGCAUAUUAGUUUCAUGAUGCAAAGAUUUUUGUACUCCCAUUGAAUAGUUUGGAUCUGCAAAAUUAUUAAAAAAAAAUAGCGUUACCAUGGAAUAAAACUUGAUUUUUUGAAGGUGUGUUAUCGGACUCUUUUCUGUAUAUUCCCGACCAUUCUUGAGUUUUAGUUCAGAAUUUACAUAUUAUGGCAAAUAGAAACGGGUAAGAAGAAUUUAGGAUUUUUUGAUUAAUAUGACGAAAUAUAAAAAUUGUGGAACGAUGAUUAAGAAUUGGGGGAAGAGGAUAAAUAAUUAGAGAAUUGCGAAUUUGUCCAUCUUUCAGGUUUUCAACAAGUUGCAGGUAAUUUUUCCAAGGCAAAGGUUAUUUGGGAUGCAAAGUGCCAAAUAAUUUAUGUUUGAAUGGUGCAAUCUGCCAAUUUUGCAAUUUAAUGGUGCAAAGUGCCAAAAGGGUGUAAUUCAAUGAUGCAAAGUGCCAAAAACCCUUUUUCACAAUAUAACGGCACUCAAGAACCGAGCUUUCAAAAUCUGAGUUCCAAUGAAAUCUUCACAAAUUUGAGAUUUAUUUAGAAUAAUGUUCUAUCUUUAACCAAUUUAUACUGUUAGAACCCUAAUUCAGAGUUCAUAUCAGGAGAGAGAAUCGAAGAAUGAAGAAGAAGAAAAACUGUUAUUGAAAAAUCUGGAAAAAAGUGUUUUACAACGGUAACAAAAUCAGCUUUAAAUAGCUGUUACAAUAACUACCUAAAAGUGCUAAAAGGAAGAAAAAUACUAAUAAAAACGUGAUAUCUAAAACACGUUUUAUUAAGAACAGAAAGACAAUAUGAUAAAUGCUAUACAAAAAUUACUACAUAUAAGAUACAAUAUCUACAUAUCCAAUAUCCCCCCCUCAAGAUGGACUUGAACAAGCAUAAAUGUUGAGAAAAGCCAUCUUGGACAACAAAUGGGAAAAAGCAGGAAGAGGCAAUGCUUUGGUGAAGAGAUCUGCAAGUUGAUCACAGCUCUUAACAGGCAUGAGUCUGAACUUCUUUUGUUUAACCUGCUGCCUGACAAAAUGACAAUCAAUUUCUAUGUGCUUAGUUCUUUCAUGAAAAGUUGGAUUAGAGGCAAUAUGAACAGCAGCCAAAUUGUCACAAAAAAGCAAAGUAGAUGGUGGAACAGCUUGAAAAUCACAUAGCAGCUGGAGAACCCAAACCAGUUCACUAGCUGUGGUAGCUAGAGCUCUGUAUUCUGCCUCUGCAGAAGAUCUUGAAACAGUGACCUGCUUUUUGGAUUUCCAAGAGAUCAAAGAAUCACCCAAAAAAAUACAAAAACCAGUAGUAGACUUCCUUGUAUCAAGACAAGAUCCCCAAUCAGCAUCUGAAAAGCCUUUGAUUAUAAGGUCUGAAGUAGAUGAAUAAAAUAAACCUUGACCUGGAGCUGCUUUAAGAUAUCUUAAAAGAUGAUGAACAGCCUGCAUAUGUGAAGUACGAGGAGCAGAAACAAAUUGACUAAGUUUAUGAACAGUAUAAGCAAUGUCUGGCCUAGUAAUGGUAAGAUACAGCAGCCUGCCAAUGAGUCUUCUAUAAGCUGAAGAAUCUGCCAGUAAUUCACCAUUUUCAGAAGCAAGUUUCAAUUUAGGAUCCAUGGGUAAGGUAACUGGCUUACAGUCUGUAUAUUUAGUAUCAGCAAGAAGAGUGAGAGCAUACUGCCUCUGAGAAAUAAAAAUACCAGAGUGAGACCUUGCAAUUUCAAUACCCAAAAAGUAUUUCAUAGGACCAAGAUCUUUAAGCUUAAAUUUAGUACUCAAAACUUGCUUGAAACCUGCAAUAUUAGCAGAACUAGGACCAGCAAUGACCAUGUCAUCAACAUAAAGUAACAAGACAAUAAAAGAAGAGCCAGAACCUCUGGUAAACAAAGAAUAAUCAUUUUGAGAUUGAACAAAACCAAGAGCCAAAAUAACCUCAGUAAACUUAGCAUUCCAUUGCCUGGAAGCUUGCUUAAGCCCAUACAAAGACUUAUGUAACUUACACACUAAAGAAGAAGAAGAACCUGAAGAUGUAGAGGUCUGAAAGUACCCCAAAGGCAAAUCCAUAUAGACUUCUUCAUGCAAAUCUCCAUUGAGGAAAGCAUUAUUAACAUCCAGUUGAUGCAGCUCCCAACCAUGAACAGCAGCUAAAGCAAGCAAAACCUUAACAGAAACAAGCUUAACAACAGGUGAGAAAGUAUCAAUAUAAUCCACACCUUCUAGUUGAGUAAAACCUCUAGCUACCAACCUAGCUUUAUACCUGUCAAUAGAACCAUCUUGCUUUCUCUUGAGCUUAUAUACCCAUUUACAACUAAUAGUAUGUUUAUCAGGAGGCAAAGGAACAACAGACCAAGUGUGAUUGGCCUCAAGAGCAUCAAGCUCUUCUCUCAUAGCAUCAACCCAUUGAGGAUGCUGAACAGCUUGUUUGUAAGUAUGAGGUUCAGAAUCAUGAGCAAGAUUAAGAACAAAAUGUCUAUAAUCACUAGAUAACUUGUCAUAAGACAAUACAGAAGCAAUAGGGUAAAGAGACUUAUGCAACCCAAAACAAGCAUAAUCAGUCAAGUAUGAAGGAGGCUUAAUCUGCCUACCAGACCUUCUAGGCUGAGAAGGAGAAGGAGAAGAUAUAGGAUCUACAUAAGGCUCAGUGGGAACAGCAGACAGAGGAAUAGACUGAGAAAGAGGCACAAUAGGCUGAGAAUCAAACACAGAAUCAAUGGAAGAAUGAGGAAUAGAGACAAAAGGAAACUGAUCCUCAUGAAAUAUCACAUCUCUAGAAAAAAACACUUCCCUACUAUUAAUAUCCAAGAGUUUAUAACCUUUAACACCAGUAGGAUACCCAAGAAACACACAAGGCCUUGCUCUAGGUUGAAACUUAUCUCUGGCAGCAGCCAAGGUGGAAGCAAAAGACAGACAACCAAAAACCUUAAGAGAAGUAUAAUCAAAAGGAGACUGAGGAUAAAGAAUACUGUAAGGAGAAACAUUGUGUAAGAUUUUAGAAGGAAUACGAUUAAUAAGAUAAACAGCAGUACUAACACAAUCACUCCAGUACUCAACAGGAAUUUUGGACUCAAAAAACAAAGAACGAGCCACAUUCAAAAUGUGCUGAUGUUUUCUCUCAACAAUAGCAUUCUGCUGAGGAGUUUGCACACAAGAAAACUGAUGUAAAAUGCCCAGAUGAGCAAACAAAUGAUUAAAAGACAACUCUGGAGCAUUAUCAGAACGAAACACUUUAAUGGUCUUACCAAAUUGAGUCUGAACCAUAGAAAUAAAACGAGGAAUCACCACUAAAGCAUCAGACUUAGAAUGAACCAAAUGAACCCAUGUAUACCUGGAACAAUCAUCUACUAUAGUAAUGAAAUAUUUAAAACCAUUAUAAGAAGGAACUUUAUAAGGGCCCCAAAUGUCACAAUGAAUGAGAUCAAAAACAUGAUCAGCAACAUGAUUAUGAGAAGGAAAAGAAAGUCUCUUUUGUUUAGCAACAGGACAAACAUGACAACAACUGUCUUUAGGAGGAGCAAAACCAGAAGAUACAGGAAGAAAAGCUUUUAAAAACAUCAAUUUCUUGAAAGGAACAUGACCUAGUCUCUUAUGCCAAACAGUGGCAGAAACUUGAUUACAAACAAACACAGAAUUACAAGCAGAUAUUGAAGGAGGUGGCAGAAAAGGAGGUGAAUCCAAAACAUAAAGUUCCUCAACUUUUCUACCCCUGCCAAUCAUCUUGAAGAACUUGUCCUGUAUGACAAAAUUAAAGGCAGAAAAACCAAUAAAAAACUGAGUAUUUUGAAGAAAAGCACUCACAGAAAUGAGAUUAAACUUGAACUGAGGAACAUAAAAAACCCCAGUAAGAAAUAUCUCCUUAGACAAACGAACAUCACCCACAAAAGACACAAUUAACACAGAAGAAUCAGGUAAAAGAACCCUGAAAUUACUAACAGGCCUGAUAUUAAUGAACAACUGUUUAUCAUGACAAAUAUGUUUAGAAGCACCUGAAUCUAAAAUCCAAUCAGCAGAUGACAAAGAAGGAACACCAGAUAAAGCACAAAUACCUGUCACACAAGAAACCGUAGCUGUAUCAGCUCCAGCUCCAGGAACAGAUUGUGGCUGAAAAGAAGCAGCAGAUUGUUGCUGUUGAGCAGCCAUGUGGGAAGAAAACAUAGACAUGAACUGCUGACACUGAGAAGGAGUCAUUGACUGAAGAUAACCAUCCACUUGUUGAGAGCUUACACCUGUAUCUGAAGAAUGAGAAUCCAAAGAAGAAUCAAAACCAGAAACCUGAUUAGCAUGAGAAACAAAACGAGAUUUCUGUGGCUUAUAAGAUGGGGGAUAUCCAUGAAGUUUGUAACACUUCUCCACCGUGUGACCCUGCAUAUUGCAAUGUGUGCAGAAACUGCGUUCUCUCUUCUUUAAACCAGGAUUGUAGAACUGGUUAUUAAUGGACCGCUUAAACCCCUCAUUCUUGACAGAAAAAACAGAUCCAGAAGAAUCAACAUGUGAAGAGACAACUGAUCUCUGACGCUCUUCUUGAGAAAUGAAUGCAAACACCUUAGAAAUGGGAGGAAGCGGAUCCAUAAGCAAGAUUUGACCACGAGUGGAAGCUAGACUGUCAUUCAAUCCCAUAAGAAAACUCAUGACAUACUCUUGAUUAUAAUGAGCCUGUAACUUUUCAAAACCCCCACAAUCACAUUUGCCACAGGAACAACACGGCCUAUAAUUCGCCAACUCAUCCCAAAUUGCCUUGACCUUAGUGAAAUAUACAUUCACUGACUGACUACCUUGGGUAAGAUUCGCCAAAUCACGACGCAAUUGAAAUAUGCGAGGGCCAUUUGUCUGUGAAAACCUAGUUUUUAGAUCAUCCCAAAUUUCUUUUGCCGAAUUCGAGUACAUAAUGCUACCUUGAAUGUCCUUGGAAACCGAAUUGAUAAUCCAAGACAUGACAAUAUUAUUAUUCCGAAUCCAAGCAUUACGCAUAAUCAACUCAUCAGCAGCAGGCUCCGAAAUCGUGCCAUCAAUAAACCCAAUUUUGUUCUUCACCGUUAAUGAAAUAGUCAUGGCUCGCGACCACGAAGCAUAAUUGUCUUCCGUCAAUAGCUGCGAAACCAGAAUCAAAUUCGGACCAUCCGACGGAUGAAGAAACAUCGGAUGCGAAACAUCAUCCAACGGAGAACGAGCUGGUGGCGCCAUGGAUUAUAAACACCAGAAACAGCAAUCGAUACAAGAGAUGAACAAUAAUCACGCGGAAACGAGAAAAAAAACCGACCAGGAGAUCGAAUCAAUUGAAAACUGAUACCAUGUUAGAACCCUAAUUCAGAGUUCAUAUCAGGAGAGAGAAUCGAAGAAUGAAGAAGAAGAAAAACUGUUAUUGAAAAAUCUGGAAAAAAGUGUUUUACAACGGUAACAAAAUCAGCUUUAAAUAGCUGUUACAAUAACUACCUAAAAGUGCUAAAAGGAAGAAAAAUACUAAUAAAAACGUGAUAUCUAAAACACGUUUUAUUAAGAACAGAAAGACAAUAUGAUAAAUGCUAUACAAAAAUUACUACAUAUAAGAUACAAUAUCUACAUAUCCAAUAUAUACCAUUGAUUUGAUGUUUGGGACGAAUUGUGAUGAUUUGGGCUGUUUUAGAGAUUUUUCAGAAAAAAACAUAUAUAAUAAAUGUGGUGGGUUUAGAGCAGGGUUUUUCUUUUCUUCCUUUUUAGUUUAUAUUCUAUUAUUUAUUAAUAUUUAAUAAAUGUUUAAAUAAUGUUAUAAUUUGUUUAAUAAGUAUUUAAUCAAUGUUAAUUAUUGUAUAGAAAUUGUUUAAUACUUAAAAAGUUUAAUAAGUAUUGACUAAAUAUAUUCAAGGUUUGAUAAAUAUAUAAUAAAAAAUCUAUAAUUAUUUAAGAAUGUCAAAAAAAACUUACUUACUUAAUAAAUGGUAAAAAAAAACAUUUAUUAAAUGUUAAUUUUUUCAAAAUUACUUUUAAAAAAAUCAUUAAAUGUUUAAUAAUUAAUAAUUCAUUAAAUUUUUUUUUCAAAUAGUAAUGAUAAACAAUUUUAAAUGCUUAAUAAUGUAAAGAGUUAAAUACAAAAGCACCCCUGUACUAUGCACUUUGUAUCAUGUACCCCCUGUACUACACACAAAUACAAACCCCCCUAUCGCUAUAUUUUUUCCAAAAUCUGACGAAAAUACCCCUGCUAAUCCUAUAAAUAUAAGGGUUUGUUUUAGCCAUUUUCCACUAUAUUUUUUAACAUUUUCGGUUGAUUUUACUUGGAAAUUUUUUUAUAUUUUUCUUCAAAACAUUUAACUACUUAGAUUUUUUACUUUUUUUCUGAAUAAAACCUUUUAUUUUUGUCUUUUUGAAUUUCUUCAUUUUUUUCUUAAAUGUCUUCCGGUAUUAUUCUCAAAAAUAAUAAUCAUAGGAUAUUUGAACUAUCGGAAGACAUUUAAGAAAAAAAAAAAUGCAAGAAACUCAAUAUGACAAAAAUAAAAAAAAAUUAUUUGGAAAAUUAAAAAAAUCCAAGCAAUUAGAUGUUUUUGAGAAAAAAAUAUAAAUACCAAAAUUUCUCACGUAAAAUUGAGUGAAAAUGGUAAAAGAAAAAUAUAGUGAAAAAUGACUCAAAAUAUAUAUAUAUAUAUAUAUGCUUGAGUAGGGGUAUUUUUGUCAUACUUUGGCAAAAAUGUAAUAUGAGGGGAUUUUUGUAUUUAUGUGUAGUACAAAUGGUAUAUGAUACAAAGUCCAUAGUACAGGGGUAUUUUUGUAGUUAACCCUAAUGUAAAUAAAUACUUAGAGUUAUUCCUAAAAAAUAUAGAGUAUUCCAUUUGUCCACACGGCUAAGGGUACUCCUCCUGAAAAAAUAAACAAAAAUAUAUAACAAAAAUUAAAUUAAAAAAUGCUUUAAAAUGACUCGAUAUACCGGUUUUAACAACAAUACUUUUUUUAUUUAUAAUGUAUUUAUGUUUAAUAUUCCUUUUUAGCAUUUAGUUUGUUUAAAUAUAGGUUUUGUUAUGAAAAAUAGUACAAAGAUAACUACUACUUCCUCAUUGCCUUUAUACUUGUCACUUUUGACAUAUUUUCAUAUUUCAAAUUAUUUGUCAUUUUACUAUUCCAGUGACUAGUUAAUUGCAUUUUUUUCAAUUUCGCCUUAUCUCACACAUAAUUAAUUGAAAUAUAAUUAUUUAAAAAUCAAUUAAUGACAUGGACAUUUUAGCAAUUUACUAUAUAAUUAUAUUGAGUGGAGUUAUAUUCCUAAUUGAAAUAUGUUACUUCUAAUACUAAUUUUAUUGCAAAUUAGUAUUAAGAUGAUACCGUUCAUUAGACUAUGUUACUUCCAAUACAGUUGUAGUGUUCUUCGAAGUUCUUGGUAACAUGUAUACAUAGAAAAAUUUAUGAGGUUGAGAUGGAGAAAAGUGGGGCAGUUAAGAAAAGAAGUUAAAGAUCAUGUUGAGUGGAAACCAACAAAAAAAAAAGAGAAAACAAUAAAUCACAGUUAAUCGUGAUUAGUGGAGAAGGAAAAAAAGAAAAAAAAUAAUAAUAAUCAUAUAUAAGAAAAAAAAAGAAAAAAAAAAAAAGAAACAUGCAAUAAAAAACUAUUGUGGAUUAGAUUGUGGGAUGGAAAAAAAAGCAGAAAACAAAUAUAAUUAAUUAUUAAAAAAAAAAAACGUGUACAUUGAAGAGGAGAAAAGAAAGGAGAAAAUAAAGAGAUUUGUUAUGAAAAAAAAAAAACUAUUUUUUGAUGGUUUCGAGGAAAACAUUUCUUUUAUAUAUAAAAAUGUUUGAAUUAAUAAAAUGGGUCAUUAUAAAUAAGUCCAUCAAUGGGUACUUAUUAAUAAAAAUUAAAAAGAUUCAGGCAAAAAACUCACUUACAAAUAAGUCCACACAUGGUCCAGAUUUUAUAAAUGACUACAAUAACCUCUCAUACUUUAAUAUGCUCAAAUUUCAUCAUUAAUUUAAUUUAACCUUAAUUUGACCCCAAACUUCACAAACUAUUUAAUUUUGACCCAAAUUUUUUUUUUCCAAUUUUUUUUUUCUACCGGAUUUAAUCCGGCGUUGACUUUUUUUUUUUUUUUUUUCUACCGGAUUUUUUCGCCGGUUCCCGGCGUUGACUUUAUUUUUUUCUCCUCAUUUUUCAACCACCGUUUUCCAGCGUUGACUUUUUCGAUUUUUUUUUCUGUAACAUUUGUUUUUCGAUUAAACAACAAUAUUGUUGUGAUUGACAGUAAUAUUAACUAUAUUACUGUUAAACACAGUAAAAUUAACUAAACUACAGUUUAACACAGUAAUAUUGCUAUAUUAAUCUCUAGCACAUUAAUAUUAACACAACAUAACUCAUUAUUAUUGUGUAAUAGAGUAAUAUUAUUAUGUUGACCGUUCAACAAAUGUAAACAUAAUAAAAAACCAAAAGAAUUAAUAUUACUGUGACUGACAGUACUAUUACUAUAACAACAGUAAUAUUACCGUCAACCACAGUAAUAUUACAAUAAUAGACAGUAAUAUUAUUACGUUACUCUGUGAAUAACUCAAACAAACAAAAAAAAUCCAAACAAAAUAAUAAUAUUGAUGUGGUUGACAGCAAUAUUACUAUAACAACAGUAAUAUUACCGCCAACCACCGUAAUAUUAUUGUGUUUACAGUAAUAUUACAAUAAUAUACAGUAAUAUUAUUACGUGAAUAACUCAAACAAAACGAAAAACCAAAAAAAUAAUUAUACUGAUGUUGUUGACAGUAAUAUUGUUGUAUUUACAAUUAUUUUACUGUCAACGACACUAAUAUAAUUACGUUGACUUGUCAACAAAUCAAACAAAAAAAAAUAGAUAAUAAUAUUACGUUAAUUUACUGUCAACGACAGAACAAUUACAUAAAUGUAUUGUCUGUUGGAGAUAUUAAUACUAAAUGAUACAUUUCACUAACAGCUUAAGCUUUUGGUUGAGAUGGUCAUUCAACAUGGUAUCAGAGUCAGGCCAAAUGAAAAGGUCCUGAGUUCGAAUCCCACCGCCACCCAGUUCAAAUAUUUCAAGUGUAAGGCUUCAAAUGUAAUUCGCCUGCACUUGAGGGGGCGUGUUGGAGAUAUUAAUACUAAAUGAUACAUUUCACUACCCAUUUAAAAAUAUUUCAAGUGCAAGGCUUCAAAUGGAAUUCGCCUGCACUUGAGGGGGCGUAUUGGAGAUAUUAAUAUUAAAUGAUACAUUUCACUAAUAUUGUCAACGGCAGUGCAAUUACGUUAAUUAACUGUCAUUAAUAGCAUAAUUACGUUAAUUUAUUGUCAGUGACAGCAAAAUUACGGUCAACGUUUAAAAAAAAAAAAAAAAACUUAAAACGUCAACGCCGGAAUCCGGCGGCGGAAAAAAACAGACCAGAAAAAAAAAAUCGAAAAGUCAACGCCGGAAUCCAGUGGCAAAAAAAUUUGAAAAAAAAAAGUUUUUGAAAAAAGAAAGUCAAAAUUGAAUUUUGUGGUCAAAAUUGGAUUUUUUUGGACAAAAUUGAUUACAUUGGGGUUACAAUUAAGAAUUGGGUAUAAAGAGUUGGGGGUAAUAUUUUCAUAUACAUGAAUGUUUUCUUUAUUUAUAAUAAAUAUUAAAUGGAUGGGCUUAUUGGCGAAAGAGAUAUAACCCCUAAACCUAGAAUAAUAAAGAUGUUUGGUUAUGGACUUAUGCACAAAAACCCCUUACUAAAAAGGGAUUAUUUGCCAAAACUCCCUGGUUACACAUGUGCAGUUACAAUGAGUCCAAAAAAAAAUUAUAUUUUAAGAUAAAUCCAAAAUAUUUUUAACUAAUAAAAAUUAAUUAAAUUUUACCAUUAUACCCUUAUAGUAAUCUAUGUUUAACCCUAAACUUCUACAGACUUUUAUUCAUUAUUUAUCACGUGGCCUCUCUCCAACACCCCUCUUCUAGUUUGUUUAAACAUAGGUUUUGUUAUAAAUACUUUUUUAUUUAUAAUAUAUUUAUAUUUAAUAUUCCUUUUUAGCAUUUAGUUUGUUUAAAUAUAGGUUUUGUUAUGAAAAUUAAUACUAAGAUAACUACUACUUCCUCAUUUCCUUUAUACUUGUCACUUUUGACAUUUUUUCAUCUUUCAAAUUAUUUGUCAUUUUACUAUUCCAAUGACUAGUUAAUUGCAUUUUUUUUUCAAUUUUGCCCUUUCUCACACAUAAUUAAUUGAAAUAUAAUUAUUUAAAAAUUAAUUAAUGGCAUGGGUAUUUUAGUAAUUUACUAUAUAAUUAUAUUGAGCGGAGUUAUAUUCCUAAUUGAAAUAUGUUACUUCUAAUACUAAUUUUAUUGCAAAUUAGUAUUAAGAUGAUACCGUUCAUUAGACUAUGUUACUUUCAAUACUAAUACUAAUUUCAUUGCAAAAUAGUAUUAAGGCAAUACUAAUUCAUGUACUGGAUUAUUUAAAUAGAUGCUUAGAAUUUUACUCCCAAUGGGACUAUAUUAGUACUCAUACUAAAUUCCUUGCAAAUUAGUGCUAAGAAAAUACUAAUUUAUUCAACUCAAUAAUUAAAUGAGUAUUAUUAUACUCCUAAUUGAAUUAUGCUACUUCCAAUACUAAAUUCACUGCAUAUUAGUAUUAAGAUUUAAGAUAAUACUAAUGUAUUGGAUUAUAAUUAAAUGUGUAAAAAUAUACUUCUAAUUGGACUAUGUUAUACUUUCAAUACUAAAUUCAUUGCAAUAUAUUAUUAGUACUAAUAUAUUAAAUUUAGUAACUAGAUUUGUAAAUUUAUAAUCCAAAUUGGACUAUGUUAUACCAAAUUCAUUGCAAUUUUUUUUUUUCUUUUGAGAAAAUUAAGUCAUUGUAAAUUAGUAUUAAGAUAGUACUAAAUUAUUGAAUUUAAUAGUUGAAUGCGUAUAAUUAAAUUUUUAAUUGGACUAUGUUACUUCCAAUCUAGAUUCUUGCAAAUUAGUUUUAAGAUAAGACUAAUGUAUUAAAUUUUAUAAUUAAAAGUGUAAAAAUAUACUCCUAAUUGGAAUAUGUUACUUCAAAUACUAAAUUCAUUACAAAUUAAUUAAGAUAGUACUAAUAUAUUUGAAUUUAGUAAUUACAUAUUUAAAAUUAUACUCCCAAUUAUAUUGUAGUAUGUUAUGUCAAAUAAUAAAUUCAAUGCAAAUUAGUGUUUGGAUAAUUGAAUGAGUAGAAUUAUACUCGUAAAUGGACUAAAUUGAGAUACUGUCUCAUACGAUAAUUUUCUCUAUCUAGUUUUUAAUAAAUAUAUACAAUUUCUGACCCAGAACGGAAGCACUCUAAAAAAUUAAUUUCUACGAAUUAAUCCUAUAGAACAAAAUAACAUUCGGAAUCCACCGAAAACUCUGGAAUCCACCAGAAAAAUAGAGAAAACUCUAAAUAAUUUUAUUAAAAUUCCAAAUUCUUUUCAAAAUAAAGUCAUAAGGCAGCUAUGUAUACUAAAAAACUGAAAACCCUAAUUAAAAUAAGAAAAUACUAAAAAUUACCAAAAACGACAAAAAUGAGUUAAAUCCUAAUUCUAGUAGAUCACGUAAUUUUGGGAACAACCCAAUUUACGGAAUCCUAAUACGAUUUUUCUAUGAUUUGAUAUUAAUUUUCUAAAACUUACCUAAAAUAGCAAAACCGAACUUUUAGGAGUCUAAACGACGUUGGAUUGCUAAAAUUUGACGUGAUUCAUGAGCUUUUCUCAUGAGUUUUGUUCCUUGCGCCGUUUCACUUGAGAUAGAGUUUGUUUCGUACUCAAAUACAAUUUGAGUUUUUCGAAAACCCUUACUUUUCCAUAAUUUCUUUCGAUAUUUCCACCAAUGGCCAUUGAUAACUCUUCUCCGAAUUAAAUAGUUAUUUUGCAACUCGAAUCCAAUUUGACGUCCCUUAUCACAAAAUAACAUUCGGAAUCCAAUUUUUCUGGUGGAUUCCAGAGUUUUCGGUGGAUUCCGAAUGUUAUUUUGUUCUAUAGGAUUAAUUCGUAAAAAUUAAUUCUUUACAGUGUUUCCGUUCUGCGUCAAUUUCUUUAACAUAAUUUUCAUUUCAAACAUAUUCAUAUUUGAAUUUCCUAACAAAUAAAUUCAAUUUUAUUUAAUAACGAGGAAGUUAAUGUCCAAUAACACAUACAUACAUACUAAGCGGCAAAAGCUAGGGUUUUUAACCUUUUUAUUUGUUCAAUUAUCACGGACACGACACGGCCAUGGGCCGAUUCGGGCCGGCACGGUUUAUUUUUUCCGGAAUCGGAACAUGCCCGUACUACACACGGUUCGGCGGGCCGGGUCAUCCCGCCGGUUCACUCCGGUUUCGGGCCUAUCCGGGCCGGUUCCGGGUCACCUUGAUGCAUGAGAACAGUUUUCUUCAUCUAUGUGGUAUUGAUAGUUUUAUGCAUCAUUGAUUUUGGUUUGAAGUAUUUGUAAAACAUGAUGGAAUAGUAAAACUUUCCUCAAGUCUAUGGUGUAUUGUCUUUCUUGAUGAAUUGAUGUAGAUGGUGAUAGAAGAUAGAUAUAUGAUGCAGCUAUAUACCAUGGUGUAUGUUUUAAUAGUGAAAUUCAUAUGGUAUUUUUAAUUAUUUAUAUUGUGAGUUUCCAUGCAUUACUCUUUAAGCUCUUCCAAAAAAUUAUUGCAUGCUUGCACAAUUUUUCAUUAGUAAACAGUGAAUUUGAACAUUUGUACCACCAGGUUUCCUUAAGUAGCCCUGUGUUCUGGUUUCCAUACCUUAAUUAGGAUCGAAAAAACUAAAAGAUUGGCAACAUAAUUCAGAUCCAAUGUGGAUGGCCUCAGUUUGCCAUGGAGAAAUCCAAUGUUGUUUUUGCUUUUAAUUAUCUUUAAACCCGAAAAUCGGAUUAAAACUACAAUUUAUUGAAGAAUGUAUCCGGUUGUUUUUAACUUGCGAAAAUAAGACCAUCAAGAUACAUAACCAGCAGAUAUCAUUGCAUAAUAUAUCCACAUACAUAAAACACAAAUACAGUAACAAUGAACAAAACAAAAAGGAGAGAAAUAGAGAAAUAUACCCAUAAGUCAUCUUGCGGAAGACGAUUUGUAGCCACAUCACAUACACACUUCGAAAACGUUAUAAGAAAAAUCGAACCUGACAAACACCAAGGCACCAAAACUGGAUUUACAGAAAAUCAAAAAGCUUUUCAAAGAAUGUCCAAAAAAAAUCUAAUUCAAUGUGAUAUGUCUAAUUGGGCCAACCCAAUGGGCCUACAAUUUCUUUACCUAUUGGGCCACGAGCCCAAUAUCUAAGACCAUUAUCACCGAUGCCCAAUCACCUUCAAAUAAGGUUCGGGCCCAACAAUCUCAUCUAAGCUAUAAAUAAAGGUUUGAACUCAUUCCUCAAGGUACGUCCUAUUAACUGAGCAAUACUACAACUGUAUUCUCUGGACUAUUUUCUUUGAUCAGCACGUCUGACUUGAGCGUCGGAGGGGUUUCUGCCGGAUCAACCCCCGGCCUAGUUCACGUGUUCUAUGAUCGCCGGUACCUCAGGAUCAUCAAGUUGUCAAGCUACUGAUCCGCUUUGCUCUCCCAGUUCGUUUUCUACACUACCCCAGGUGAUCUAUAUUUUAGCAUCAUCAUUUUGGCGCCGUCUGUGGGAACGAUGCAAACCAGAUCACGUAGCCAACAAGAUCCUCCUGAGGCGUCAGCUCGGAGAGAAAAUGACACAACUAAUCAAGAUCCUCCUGAGGCGUCAGCUCGGAGAGAAAAUGACAUAGCUAAUCAAAUACUCUAGUUUACCGUGAUUCUUUCUCCCUUGUGCAAUUUCUUUCACCAGGAUUCACCCUGCCCAUUGAUGGUGUCAUUAUCCCCUGGAAAAACAAAUCACGUAAAAAUUUAAUAAUUCAAAUACCACAAAAUCUUGUGACAAAGAUAAGAGUAAACUGCAAAAUGUACCCCUGUGUAAUCUCUAAAUAGUAAAAAAAACCUUGUGAUAAAUAAACUAGCAAAAACCCCCCUGUGAAAUUUAGUCAAAGACAAAAACCCCCUGAUUGACUUGUGUGUGGCUCACUCGCGGGUUGCGCGACUGGGAGUUGGUUUUUGGACGUGAAAUGACGAAAUUGACCCUUAAAAUGUGUUUAUAUGUAUAUAUAUUAUAUGUAUACAUAUUUUCUUUUUAAUUUGAUUGUUUAAAAAUUAAAAUAUUAUUAAAAAAUAGUAACUAAGUAAAUUGAAAAAUUAUUAAAAAUUUAUUAAUAAAAUUAAGUAUAUAUUUUUUUAAAUACAUAAUAAUAAAAUUUAAGUUUUCUUUUGAUGUAGGGAUAAUUUAAAAUAUAUAAAAAAUUAUGUGAUAAUAAAAAUAGAAAUAAAUUAAAGACCCCAUUGUACCUUUAUAAUUAAGAUAUAACAAAAAUAAAAUAAUUGUUGUAAAUAAUAUGGAAAAGUGGGUCUUCCUAUCCUAACACAUGAAAGGUUGUAACCUCCAUAAACCACUAUAGAUUCUCAACUUCCCACUACCCCAUUAUCCCCACACAUUGUAGUGGUUGUAACUCCUUUGUAACUUCUGGUGGAUUACACCUAUAUAAAUGAGAAUCUCCCCUCCCCUAAAUACCCACAAUUAUCUCUCUACGGAUUGUUGUUCUUUGCAUUCUUUCUUUCUCUCCUUUCCUUAUUAUUUACAUUCUUAUGUAUAUCCACAAUCACAAACCAAAGAGCUAGAUAAAUAGGCCAUUUUACAACACGUUAUCAGCACGAAAUGCUCGUCGUGAUCGUGGAAAGACAAUCGUUCGUGGGACUAGGAUACUUGAAGAAUUUGUGAUUCAGGUGCUCGUGAAAAAUGAACCAUUUUUGGCACGUGGAUGCUUGAAGAACUUGUGAUUCGAGUUCGUUCGUGAAAUGGUAAUCUUGUUCAAAGAAUACAAUAUAUUCUUCAACAUUUGGGUUUAAGCGUUUCAAGUAAGCCGUAAUCCCUUGCAAUUUCGAUUUCGUAAGAAAUGCACUAGAUCUAUUUAAUGGCAUGAAAUGCAUGAAGUACACAUAUUUAUCUUCAAGUCAUUAUUUCAUUUAUACCGUGGAUAAUUUCAAAAUAUGAUGUGAUUCGUAAUUAUUGGAAGCAUGCUUAAUAUGUUACAGUAUGGUAUAAAUAUCACAAUGAUUGUUUUUUGGUAUGUGGUAUAGCAAAUUAUUUUAUCAUUAUCAACGAUAAAUGUGUGAUUGUAUAUUGUCAGAGGAUUAUAAUAUCUUGCUGGUUUAUUCCAUGUUUCGAGGAUUUGAUAUGAAAUUGUAUUAUGAAUGUUUUAUCAUAAUAUUUAGAAUACAGUGCACUAAGAAGCUUAUGAAUAAAUAUGCACUGUAGAAUGAGGGGUGAAUAUAUUUGAUGAUAAAUGUGAAAUUGUUUAUGUUUCUUACUGAACGUGAUUGUAGCCAUAUUAAUAGAAUUUCCUUUCUUGGUUGAAUUUGUACUCCAUGAAUUGUUAGAAAAUUUUGCUACAAUAACUUGGUCAUUUCAUUUUAAGAUGAUCUAAUGCACUACUGAUACUUGAUAGCAUUAUGGAUCUAUUUAGUUAAUUCAUGAUUACCUACCGGAAUAAUUUCAGAAUUAGUUCGUGGAAUUUAUAUGAGAUAGUACAUGUUAUAUAUUAUUUAUAUUAUUUAGCAUGUUAUAUUUUAUAUAUUUGACAAUUUACAAAGUCUUAAUUGCAUGAAGAUUUUAGCCCAUCUCUAAUGGAGAAUUCUAUUAAAUUGAUCCAUCUGCCAUAUGUAAUUUUUGUUGGGUUUCGGGCACGAGUACGCAGCGGAAAACAAAAAUUUAAUGCGAUUUAAACUACUUUAAAGCACAUAAGCACAUGCCCGACAAAUUUAAUCAAUUAAUUGCGUACCUUUGCGCUUCCAGCGAAAUUAAAUAACAACAUAUAUGCUAAUUAAUUUAACCGAAUUUAAAUCAAUUAACAUGCUCGCGUUUAAACCAAAUAACAUGCUUGCAAUGAUUUAAAACGAUUACACAUAAUCACAUAAAAUCAUACGAAAGCAAACAUGAAUAUAUAUAACGUUUAAACGAAACAAGAACUUCAAGUUCGUGUGUUUACCUCUUGAAGCGUGAGGUAAAAGCGCUAAGCAAGUCGAGAUUGCUACGGAAACCAAUCCGUACAAUCGGGGCAGCAGCGGUGCAGCGGCAGCGGCGGUGAGACGGCCACGGCGGCGCGUGAAACUCACGCGCGGUCUUUCCGGGGCGGCGCGUGGGGCAGCGUGCGGCUUCGGCUCGUGCGCUGCUCCUCGAUUCUUCGAUCUUCGGUCUUCCUCCUCUCGGAUUUCACCUCGUAUACUUCGAUCUACUAAACACGUGGCACUAGACACGUAAUAGUUAGAAAAACGGAAGAAAAAGAGAAGGAAAGAAACUACCGAAACAAUCGGCCGAUGAACGGCCGAUUCCGGUGAAGCUCCGGCGACGGCGCCGGUGACGGCCGCGGGGAGAGGGCGAGAGAGAGAGGGAGAACGGCUGCUAGGGUUAGGGUUUUUACUUGUUUGUGCAAGACCUAUAAAUCUUGUAUUUAUAGUGUCUUGCAUAAAACCCUAGCGGGCUUAAGUUGGACCGGGCCCAACAGCUUAAGUUCGCUAGUACUUUUACUUGCUCGUUUCUCUCAAUCCAAUGACCGAAAAAUUGCAACGAUUACAUUUUUGGAAUCAUUAUAAAGUCCUCGUCAUUACGAGUGUCAAUUCUCAUUUUCAACUUUCUAAAAGUGGAAACCCUAGUUCAGUGCACUUUCUAAAUUUAGAAACUUCCCGAUUUAGAAAGUCCACUACAACGUUCGCCUAUUCUUUUCCUUUUCUUAUUCUCAUUCAUAAUUCCAAAUUACGAAUGUUGGAUCCAAUCAUAUUGACUUCCAAUCAUGCAAAGAUAAACUAUUUUACCUUUGACCGUUUAUUCAAAGAUCUCAUGUGCACGAGCAGUGUGACCCUCGAUGGUUCAGGUGUAAGCUAGCCGUGGGCCCACGACCCUUUGUGGUCAAAACUCGUCCCUUAGAGUUACGAUUAAGAUGAAGCUCGUUUCACCUUAAUCACCCAACGAAUCAAGAUUGGCGUCUAGCAACUACGCGUCAUAAUUCCCUAGAUACAAAUGAAGUGCCUGCAAGAACCUUCAGAUAUAGUUAACGUACAGUACGGUCCCUUCGAUUCAUAUGUCCCGAUCGAACUAGAGGCAUUGGUUCAUUGAUUCCUCUUUAUAUGUUCAAUGACGGUGCGAUCGUUCUAAGUAUUGUAAUCGUCACGUGCAUGACUUAGAGAAUCGAAUCCUCAAAUCAUCACUUAGUCAGCUCUGGCCAGAGACUUAGAAUGAUUACAAACUUUCAGAACACACAGGACAUCCAAGACUAUUCUAGCGAUCGAAUCCCCGACUACAAUGCACAGACCUCCCACUAGAUUUCGGACUGCACGAACACUGGCUCUUGGGAUGGUCCUCGGUGGAACUCAGGGACAGGCCACGAUACAGCUGGUCCUCUAGUGAAGUCACGGUGAUGUCUAGGUCAUAAGGACUAAUGGUGUACAACUAUACCAUAGAUAUCUCUACUCGAUUAUUGGGAACCACUUAGAGAUUUCUAGGGUGAGGGAGUUCAGUGAACUCGUCAACUUACGAGCACCCACCUAUGCAUGCCGAUAUCACAAUACCGUUUACUGAUGAGAUGCAGUACACAUACACUAAGUGCUAGUCUUAAUGGGAAAGGCCGAUAUCCUCAUUAGUGGCGUAACCCUUCGACUAGGAACACGUUUAACAGUUAUAAUACUUAAGUAAAUAUCUCACGAUCCUAACGAUCAAUUACUGGUACUUGUAAUAACUGUAAGGACUAUAUCUAUGCUUGUGACAAAGGGACAAAGAUAUAGAAUGCCAAUGUGUUUUAUCAUUAAUACGAAUAAAGGUUCGUUUAUUACAAUAAUAAAUACGAAAGACCACAGCCACAUGUUGGCUUGUUGGUCACCUACUCUAACAAUCUCCCACUUGACCUAAAGCCAACUACCCAUAAAUCGCAAUCCCAUCGACUCUCGAUGUUUCUCAUGGACCGAUCUCGGCAAAGGCUUCGUGAAGGGGUCUGCUACGUUCUCUUCCGAGGUGACUCGUUCUACCUUAACUUCACCUCUAUCAAUGAUCUCUCGGAUCACGUGAUACUUCCUCAGAAUAUGCUUCGACUUCUGAUGAGAUCGUGGCUCCUUAGCUUGCGCCACGGCUCCGGUGUUAUCACAGUACAAUGGUACUGGAUCACUAGCAUCAGGAAUGACACCCAACUCUUGGAUGAAUUUCCUUAUCCAAGUCCCUUCUUUUGCAGCUUCGGAUGCUGCAAUGUAUUCCGCUUCGGUAGUGGAAUCAGCCGUCGUGUUUUGCUUGGAACUCUUCCAACACACGGCACCACCAUUAAGCGUGAAUAUGAAUCCAGAAUUCGACUUUGAGUCGUCCACGUCUGAUUGAAAACUAGAGUCGGUAAAACCCUCUAAUUUCAACUCGGCACCCCCAUACACUAGUAGAAAACCGGCCACAGGCGACGAAAAAUUGCGACGAAACUAGGACUCUUGCGACGAAAUUAGGACUCCUGCGACGAUUUAUAUUUCGUCGCACUGGGGGUCCAAAUUCGUCGCCAAUGAUAGACCAAAAAUAUAUCCUUAGUUCUUCGCAAGUACUUGAGGAUAUCUUUCACGUCUUUCCAGUGAGCCGGGUCGGGGUUAGACUGAUAUCUGCUUGUGACACUCACAGCAUACGCAAUAUCGGGUCUCGUACAUAGCAUGCCAUACAUUAUGCUUCUUAUGGCAGAAGCAUAGGGCGUCCUUUUCAUCUCCUCGAUUUCACUAGGUGUUUGCGGACACAUAGAUUUCGAGAGACGAACCCCAUGGGACAUUGGCAAGAAUCCCUUCUUGGAUUCUUCCAUGCUAAACCGUUUCAUAACGGUGUCUAUGUACAGGCUUUGGGAUAAACCAAGCAUCUUUCUCGCUCUAUCUCUAUAGAUGCGUAUUCCUAAUACGUAAGAUGCUUCUCCCAAAUCCUUCAUUGAGAAACGCGUGGACAACCAUGCUUUCGUUUGCUGCAACAUUCCUACGUCAUUCCCAAUGAGUAGAAUGUCAUCAGCGUAAAGCACUAAAAAUAUCACUGCCCUCCUACUAACCUUCUUGUAUACACAAGGUUCCUCCGGAUUCUUCUCAAAAUCAAACUCUUUGAUAGUUGAGUCGAACCUAAUGUUCCAACUACGGGAUGCUUGCUUCAAUCCAUAAAUGGAUCGCUGGAGCUUGCAAACCUUUUGCUCACUUCCACAAGAUAUGAAGCCUUCCGGCUGCGCCAUGUAAAUUUCUUCCUCAAUAUCUCCAUUAAGGAAGGCGGUCUUCACAUUCAUUUGCCAUAUCUCGUAGUCGUACCACGCAGCUAUGGCCAGCAAAAUCCUAAUGGACUUCAGCAUCGCGACUGGCGAAAAGGUUUCCUCAUAGUCAACACCUUGCCUUUGAGUGUAUCCUUUUGCUACCAAUCUAGCUUUAUAGGUCGACACCUUUCCAUCCACUCCAAUUUUCUUCUUAUAGAUCCACUUGCAGCCAAUAGGAACAAUUCCUUUAGGUGGAUCUACCAAGGUCCACACCUUGUUGGAGUACAUGGAGUCCAUUUCGGAUUUCAUGGCAGUUAGCCAAUGUCCCAUGUCCGCAUCCGAUACGGCCUCAUUGUAUGUUCUUGGAUCUCGUCCAAGAUCAACAUGAUCUUCAUCAUUUUCGAGGAGGAAUAACCUAUCCGGCAUUUUCCGAACUCUUUCGGAUCUACGUACCGUAGGUUCAGGAGGUAUAUUAGUGGUUUGUUGUAUUGGUUCGAUUACUUGUUCUUGCGUUUGAACUUCACUUUGUGGUUCUUGAACUACUUCAAGUUCUAUCAUGCUGCCCUUUCUAUCGGAUAGAAACUCCCUUUCCAAAAAGGUGGCAUUUCUCGAAACAAACGUCUUUGCUUCUUUGACAUAAUAGAACUCGUAUCCCAUUGAGUCUUCGGGAUACCCCACAAAAUAGCACAAGUCGGAUUUACUAUCCAACUUAUCUCCCACUAACCGCUUCACAUAAGCGGGACAACCCCAUAUCCUAAUAUGUUUGUAGUUGGGUUUUCGGGAAUGCCAAAGUUCAUAAGGUGUGGAUUUAACUGCUUUGGUGUUAACUCUAUUCAGCAAAUACGCGGCAGUACGAAGUGCAUGACCCCAUAAGUAUGCCGGUAAGUUCGUGAACCCCAUCAUUGAUCGAACCAUAUCUAAUAAAGUUCGAUUCCGACGUUCGGAUACUCCAUUAAGUUGAGGAGUUCCCGGUGGAGUCCAUUGGGACUGUAUCCCAUUUUCUUUUAGAUAGUCAAUGAACUCGAUGCUCAAGUAUUCUCCACCACGAUCGGAUCGCAGCUUCUUAAUACUUCGUCCGAGUUGCUUUUCCACUUCGUGUCUAAAAUCUUUGAACCUUUCAAAUGUUUCGGACUUGUACUUCAUCAAGUACACAUACCCAUACCUAGAAUAAUCGUCGGUAAAGGUAGCGAAGUAGUUAUAUCCACCCUUCGCACUAACACUUAGUGGACCACAUACGUCUGUAUGGAUCAAAUCCAAAAGACCCUCGGCUCGUUCCAUUUUCCCUUUGUAGGGUGACUUGGUCAUUUUCCCUUUAAGGCAAGAUUCACAAGUUUGUAGUGAUUUCACGUCCUCCAAAGAGAACAAUCCUUCACUAACAAAAUCGUUCAUCCUUCUUAAAGAGACAUGACCUAAUCUAGCGUGCCAAAGUUGUGCGGGGUUUUGAUCUAUCUCCUUACGUUUUGCUGAUAUAACAUUAAUAGGUAUUUCACUUGGAUUUAGUUCAUACAAGUUGUUUAAUAGUCGUCCUUUGCAAAUCAAAUUCUCAUUCUUUUGUAUAAUGCAAAUCGAAUUUCCAAAAACAAAAGUAAAACCUUCAAUGUCUAAUACAGGAAUAGAAAUAAGGUUUCUAAUGAGCGACGGAACAAAUAAACAAUCGUUCAAAACAAUAGGAAAACUAGAAUCCAAAACAUUUAAGUAAAUUGUGCCAAUGGCUUCAGCAGCAACUCUUGCUCCAUUCCCCAUCCUUAGGAAGGUCUCACCCGCUCUAAUUCUUCGACUUCUUGUCAUUAGCUGCAAAUCAUUGCACAAAUGUGAGCCACAGCCCGUAUCCAAUACCCAAGAAGAAGAGUUGACAGACAAAUUUACGUCAAUGAAAUACGUACCCUUUUCAGAACCUUUCUGCUUCAGGUAAGCCUUGCAGUUGCGGCGCCAAUGUCUUUUUUUCUUUCCACAGUGAUGGCAAGCAUCAUCAACUUGUUUGCUAACCUUUGCUUUGGGGCCCCCACUACCUUCACCCACUUCGAACUUGCUGUUUGGGAAGGGAACUCUUUCCUUUCUCUUCUUUUGGAAAGAACUCUUCUUUCCAGAAGUGGCAGCAAUGAGAACAGACUUCUCUUUCUUAAUGGUGGACUCGAAGCUGACUAACAUGUUCAUUAACUCAUCCAAGGGAGGAUCUAGUUUGUUCAUGUUGAAGUUCACUAUGAACGAUUCAUAGGAACUAGGAAGAGACAACAGGAUCAAAUCCAACGAGAGCUCGGCCGGGAGGGUGACAUCAAGAUUCACUAGCUUUUCAAGGAGAGUGAUCAUUUUGAGACAGUGCUCGUGGACCGAAGUCCCUUCGCGCAGUCUCGCUGUGAUCAACUCCUUUGUAGCAGCGUACCUCGAUGCCCUAAUAUUCUCACUAUACAUGCUAUCGAGAUGAGCCUUUAUAUCGAAAGCAUGCAAGUGAGACUCAUAUUUCCUCGCAAGCGCGGGCUCCAUGGCGGCAAUCAUAUAGCACCUAGCAUGAGUGUCAUCUUUCUUCCAAACUUCAUAAGUUUCCUUUUCAGCAUCAGUCGCUGUGGCAGGUAUAGUGGCGGGAAGUCUCUCGUUCAAAACAUAGAGACGCCCCUCAACAGUUAGCACAAGCUUAAGACUACGCAACCAAUCUAGGUAAUUAGGGCCAUUGAGUUUAUUGUCGAGGAUUGACAUUAUGGGAUUCUUAGACAUGAUUAUCUGAGACAUAUAGAGAAGAGGAUUAUUAGAGAUUUGCGUUAAAUGAUUGUUACAAUUAAAUGUUUGGACUUAUGUUAUUUAAUUGUUCUCCCACUAAUUUUAUCGAAUUCCACUUCCCUCUAGUAGACAAACGAGAAAACUGAUUUUUCUUAAUGGGCUUUAGGUCCAAUGGACAAAUAUAACCCGUAGUUAAUCUAGCCCGAUUAUAUUUGCCCAAAGGUAGAUCACAAUCAAUCAUAUCCUCAAUAUGACCCUAAAUUAAUUUUCCUCACACUUGAUAAUGACCUAAGUUAAUCUCGCGAAUAUCAAAAUCGUCGUGUGUCAAGUCUAACCUACCAAUCAAAGAUGCUCAUAGAACUUGAUUAUGCCAAACUAAUGCAGUCCCUAGUUAAUCUAGCCGACCACGUUAAUCCAACAUAACCCUUUUCUAUGGCUACCUUCAUCGCUAUGUCAAUUGGAUUACAGCUUACUCUACCAUAGCACUCCCCGCUAACACGGCUUACUGCACUAUAGUAAAGGGCUACACAUAAUCCAACCGUUGGCAGAAGGAAAGAAAUAACUCAACAGAUUGGGUUUUUCUUUAUAGCUUGAAAUGAUUCUUAAUUAAAUUAAGAAUGAGGGAUUUUUAUUAAAAUGUUUUAUCUCAUCAGAAGGUUUUGGAUUGGUCUAUGUGAUUCCUACAUCUAUGUUCUCUAAAGGUAUAUGGAAGCGCAUAUUGUCCUAAGAGGAACAUACGACCUAAUUUCAUAAUUAAUUACAUUAAUUAAUUAUCGAGUUUUUCAAAAUAAUUACAGAACCUCAACUAGCAUAAAUCAUUCAAAUAAUGUUCAGGGACUACUAAUUAAGUUGAACCAUAAUCAAAAUUAUGAACGUGUUCUAUUAAUUGAAAUCAAUUUAACAAUUUAAAUUAAUUAAUUAAUCUAACACAUAUUUACUAAAAUAGAUGAUUGUCGAUCCAAUUAUCUAAUUGGGAUUAAUUGAAAAUAAUUUUCCAAAAAUUAAAAUCAAUUUGUUUGAAGUUUAAUUUUAGAAAUCUGAAAUAAUUUUUUUUUUUUUUUUAUUUUCAGUGAACCGGUUCGGCCGACCGGUCUGACCGGUUCGGACCGAAGCGGUCCGGUUCUGCCCGGUCCAUUUGACCCAAAUCAGUGGGCCGGGUCAGUCGGACCGAGAACCGGUCUGACCGACCCGAAUCCACUUGGAUUCGGUCGAUUGGAUCGUGCACAACCAUCGAACCGGCCGGUCCGACCGGUUCGAUCCGAACAUUUAAAAACCGACGUUUUAAAAACAAUUUCAGAUCCGAUUUUCCAAUUUUAAACAAUUUUAAAGCUGGAAAAAUUCUAAACAAUAUUUCAAAAAUAUUUUAAACUUACGAAAACUCCCAAUUACAUAAUACGACAAUCGCUACUUUAAUAAAUCGAACAUGCAUAAAAUCAUAGCAUAUUAAACGACGCAAUUAAUUGCGCAACGAGCUCUGAUAUCACUGUUGGGUUUCGGGCACGCGUACGCAGCGGAAAACAAAAAUUUAAUGCGAUUUAAACUACUUUAAAGCACAUAAGCACAUGCCCGACAAAUUUAAUCAAUUAAUUGCGUACCUUUGCGCUUCCAGCGAAAUUAAAUAACAACAUAUAUGCUAAUUAAUUUAACCGAAUUUAAAUCAAUUAACAUACUCGCGUUUAAACCAAAUAACAUGCUUGCAAUGAUUUAAAACGAUUACACAUAAUCACAUAAAAUCAUACGAAAGCAAACAUGAAUAUAUAUAACGUUUAAACGAAACAAGAACUUCAAGUUCGUGUGUUUACCUCUUGAAGCGUGAGGUAAAAGCGCUAAGCAAGUCGAGAUUGCUACGGAAACCAAUCCGUACAAUCGGGGCAGCAGCGGUGCAGCGGCAGCGGCGGUGAGACGGCCACGGCGGCGCGUGAAACUCACGCGCAGUCUUUCCGGGGCGGCGCGUGGGGCAGCGUGCGGCUUCGGCUCGUGCGUUGCUCCUCGAUUCUUCGAUCUUCGGUCUUCCUCCUCUCGGAUUUCACCUCGUAUACUUCGAUCUACUAAACACGUGGCACUAGACACGUAAUAGUUAGAAAAACGGAAGAAAAAGAGAAGGAAAGAAACUACCGAAACAAUCGGCCGAUGAACGGCCGAUUCCGGUGAAGCUCCGGCGACGGCGCCGGUGACGGCCGCGGGGAGAGGGCGAGAGAGAGAGGGAGAACGGCUGCUAGGGUUAGGGUUUUUACUUGUUUGUGCAAGACCUAUAAAUCUUGUAUUUAUAGUGUCUUGCAUAAAACCCUAGCGGGCUUAAGUUGGACCGGGCCCAACAGUUUAAGUUCGCUAGUACUUUUACUUGCUCUUUUCUCUCAAUCCAAUGACCGAAAAAUUGCAACGAUUACAUUUUCGGAAUCAUUAUAAAGUCCUCGUCAUUACGAGUGUCAAUUCUCAUUUUCAACUUUCUAAAAGUGGAAACCCUAGUUCAGUGCACUUUCUAAAUUUGGAAACUUCCCGAUUUAGAAAGUCCACUACAACGUUCGCCUAUUCUUUUCCUUUUCUUAUUCUCAUUCAUAAUUCCAAAUUACGAAUGUUGGAUCCAAUCAUAUUGACUUCCAAUCAUGCAAAGAUAAACUAUUUUACCUUUGACCGUUUAUUCAAAGAUCUCAUGUGCACGAGCAGUGUGACCCUCGAUGGUUCAGGUGUAAGCUAGCUGUGGGCCCACAACCCUUUGUGGUCAAAACUCGUCCCUUAGAGUUACGAUUAAGAUGAAGCUCGUUUCACCUUAAUCACCCAACGAAUCAAGAUUGGCGUCUAGCAACUACGCGUCAUGAUUCCCUAGAUACAAAUGAAGUGCCUGCAAGAACCUUCAGAUAUAGUUAACGUACAGUACGGUCCCUUCGAUUCAUAUGUCCCGAUCGAACUAGAGGCAUUGGUUCAUCGAGACCUCUUUAUAUGUUCAAUGACGGUGCGAUCGUUCUAAGUAUUGUAAUCGUCACGUGCAUGACUUAGAGAAUCGAAUCCUCUAAUCAUCACUUAGUCAGCUCUGGCCAGAGACUUAGAAUGAUUACAAACUUUCAGAACACACACGACAUCCAAGACUAUUCUAGCGAUCGAAUCCCCGACUACAAUGCACAGACCUCCCACUAGAUUUCGGACUGCACGAACACUGGCCCUUGGGAUGGUCCUCGGUGGAACUCAGGGACAGGUCACGAUACAGCUGGUCCUCUAGUGAAGUCACGGUGAUGUCUAGGUCAUAAGGACUAAUGGUGUACAACUAUACCAUAGAUAUCUCUACUCGAUUAUUGGGAACCACUUAGAGAUUUCUAGGGUGAGGGAGUUCAGUGAACUCGUCAACUUACGAGCACCCACUUAUGCAUGCCGAUAUCACAAUACCGUUUACUGAUGAGAUGCAGUACACAUACACUAAGUGCUAGUCUUAAUGGGAAAGGCCGAUAUCCUCAUUAGUGGCGUAACCCUUCGACUAGGAACACGUUUACUUAAGUAAAUAUCUCACGAUCCUAACGAUCAAUUACUAGUACUUGUAAUAACUGUAAGGACUAUAUCUAUGCUUGUGACAAAGGGACAAAGAUAUAGAAUGCCAAGGUGUUUUAUCAUUAAUACGAAUAAAGGUUCGUUUAUUACAAUAAUAAAUACGAAAGACCACAGCCACAUGUUGGCUUGUUGGUCACCUACUCUAACAAUUUUGUGAUAUGAAAAUGGUAAGAAAUAUUCCGUUCGUGUUUAUGGUUUAUCGUAUGUAAUCCAUGAAUGUGUAUGAACAUGCGGUGUAUGAAUUAUUAGACCAGAAGUUCUAGUAUGUGCAAAAUAUUCAUGAAAUUGUUUAUGGAGGUUACAUUCCCAUAAAACAAUAAUACUCCUUAUUGUAUUUGAUUUGAGAUAAAACACAUGAGAAAAUUCAAGUUCACCCAACUUAAUGUAUCUGGUGAAAGUUAUAUUAGUUGGAAAAUGGAUGUUAAGAUCCAUAUGCUUAGUGGCCAAUUGAGAAUGAUUGUUUUCAAUGAUAAUUUAUUAGGUAAAGCCGAGAAGGCUGAAACUAUGUUUCUGAUUACGAGAUAAUUAGAUGAAGUCCUUCGUCUGGACUAUUCAUCGAACGAGGGUCCCCAUACAUAAUGGGAUAACCUGACUAGUCGUUUUAAUUACCAAAAGACAAUACACUUGCCCGAAGCAAGGAGCAUGUGUUCAUAAACGUUUUGUAUAUAUGAACUUUAAAAUCCGAAUAGAGCUCAAAAUCAGAACAUAUAUAUAUGGUGGAUCUGAGCAUUGGUCGCCCACUGUAGUGCGAGAAACUUUGGGGCUGGGAAUGCAAAUAAUAAUGCACCAGCAUAGACUGAGUUGACAUAGACAAAUGUUUCAAUGUAUAGCCCGUCGCUCAGCUUCCGUACUUGGGCACAUCUGACCAAAUAACCUAUGUUGGGAUAUGAUUGAACUAUUGAUUUCAUGCAUUAUGUUUAUUUUAUUACUCGGGUUUAUUAUUUUAUUGAAGUUCAAUCAUCUUACUUCAUAUGCUCAUGUUAUGAACCAUAUUCAUAUUUUGAUUAUGUCUAGUUUAUGCUCUAGACCAUAUAUUUAUGCUCUAAGUUAAUUAUUAUGUUAUUCAGUGGUGUUUGCUUGAUGAAUUUAUUUAGUACCUGAAGUACUGAAAAUAUAAGAUUAGAAUAUAUAACGCUCUGGACAUGACAUGUGGGGAUAAAUGUCUGGCAGAUAGUGCGACUACACAUACUAUCCUUACAGAUAAGUCGUACUUUAUUAAUUUCAUGUCUAUUAGUAGCAAAACCUCUUUGAUAACUAAAUGAGGCAUACAGAGUUUUGAUAGAUGGUUAUGGUAAUGUCCACAUUAUGUUAUUUUAUGGCACAAUAUUGCCCAUUGAAGUAGCUCAUUUUUUCUCCACGUUCCAGAAGAACGUUAUUAAACUUUAAAGAUAUUUGAGCUAAUGGUUAUUAAAUUGAAACCAUUGAAGACAAGAAAUCGAAUAUAUGUGCAUCAUCUCUAACGUGUACGGCCAGAAGCGUACAUUGGAAAAAUUAGAGGAAUUUUUUGACACGGUUAUGUAGAACCACAAUUUGAAUGCCAGGAGCAUAAGUUGUCGAUUGCUCGAAAUUAAGUAAUUUGAUUAUAUGUCAGCGUACGCACAUACAUAUAAUGAUUCAAUUCCUUUCUUGGAGGUAAUCCAAGAAGAUAUAUGUGAAAUAUGUAUCACCAUCUAUAACUUAAAUUUAGAACCUUAGACAGUGAUCUCUUACCCGCUCAAAUUGCGGACUGUCACUUUGAUGAGAUUGUCUUCCCGCCGUUAGGGGGAGGAAAGAACGUCCACACUAACCUUCCUGAAGAACGGCGUGAAGUCGUGUAAGACGACCCCACCGUGUCUCAUCAAGAUCCUUUACUUCAGAUAAUUGAUAUAUAGAUUAACAGAUCAUCCACACUAACGUUCCUGAAGAACGGCGUGAAGUCGUGUGGGACGACAACUAAAUUUGCAAAGAAUGUCAACACUAAUGUUCCUGAAGAACAACAUGAAGUCGUGUAUGGCGAAUAAUGUCAGACUCAUUCUAUGGUUUGAAAAAGUGACGAGAUCUCAAAUAAGCCUGCAAGGAUAGAUGUCCUAGAAGGAAAAUUGCGGGUAGACCAUCAAUCCAUGUUAACUAGUCUUGCCUCCCUUCCUAUGAGAGGGGGAGCGCAAUGGGACCAAAUGAUUCUCACCCCCAGAAGUGGAUGAAUGCCCAAUAAUUGAAUCCGGUUAGCACUAGUAUAAAUGGAAUCCCACCUGAUCCAUCUCAUAAAAUAAUUUUGGACUAUGGAUUCGUCCUGCAGACGAAGUCGGGGGACGCCUCGACAUUAAUAUCCAUUCUCGUGAAAAGGAAAAACUCGGUUAGUUAUUCAUGCAUGAACGAGAUGUGGUAUUGGGAUGAAAUGAUCAUCGAUGAUAAACUUCCAUACACAGUAGCUACUGGAUGUUUUAACGAGUGAUGAUAUAAAACCUGGAUCAAUUGAUAAGUGUAAACAAAGGGAUGAUGGCCGAAAUGAAAACAAAAAUCAAUCCAAGCUGAAUUUGAUUCCUUGAUAAAAUGAAGAGUGUAGAGACCAUUAGUUCCUACAACUCCUUGAAUUUCACCCAUGGGAUAUAAGUGAGUACUCACAAAUAAAAGAAACGAGAUUGGGAGCCAAAAAGCUCAUCUCAUAGCUUAAACGAGAUUGGGAGUCAGGAGACUCAUCUCAAUAGCUCAAGGAAUAAAAUGAGAUUGGGAACCAGAAGAUUCAUCUCAUAGCUUAAACGAGAUUGGGAGCCAGGAGACUCAUCUCAAUAGCUCAAGGAAUAAAAUGAGAUUGGGAACCAGAAGAUUCAUCUCAUAGCUUAAACGAGAUUGGGAACCAGGAGACUCAUCUCAAUAGCUCAAGGAAUAAAAUGAGAUUGGGAACCAGAAGAUUCAUCUCAUAGCUUAAACGAGAUUGGGAGCCAGGAGACUCAUCUCAUAACUCAAUUAAUGAAAUGAGUUGGGAACCAGGAGAUUCAUCUCAUAGCUCAAAUGAGAUUCGUAACCAGAAGAUUCAUCUCAUAGCUCAAGCGAGAUUGGGAGCCAGGAGACUCACCUCAUAACUCAAUUAAUGAAAUGAGAUUGGGAACCAGAGAUUCAUCUCAUAAAUUAAACAAGAUUGGGAGCCAGAAGACUUAUCUCAUAGCUCGGCGAGAUUGGGAGACAGAAGACUCAUAUCAUAGUACAAUGAUUUAAGAGCAAAUGAGAUUGAGAGCUCGAAGACUCAUCUCGUAGUUCAAGGAUUUCCUCAGCAACCCGAGAUUGAUUUUAAAGAGGUAUACUCUCUCAUGAUAAAUGUUAUUAAAUGCGUGGUCAACAAGUAUCUUACGGGGAUCUCGAUACAAAUAUUUAUAUGGAAGUUCCAGAAGGACUUCGAUUUCCCGAAGCAAUUAGUUCAAAACAUGGAACAUAAACUCAGUUGGGCUGAGACGUUCACUUUAAUUAUGACUAGAAAUAUUCCAGAAUAAUAUAGGAUAAUCGCCUAAGUGAACAAUUGCUCGGAAGAGAAUAGGUGAACAAUAAUUGGUUUGGUUCAUCCUAUUACUACAAUUUAUAUUAAGGAUUUGAACUUGAUUUGGACUACUGAAGAAGUCAUGUAAGAAAAACUCAAUUGUUGAAAAUUUGAGUUCAAGAUCAAAGAUCUAAAGAAGACUCUCGACCGACUUAAAAUUUAUCAUGUCAAUUAUAUUUAUGUCCAUCAAUCGAAUUACAUCGAGAAGAUGUUAUGGAUAAAGAGAAAUUAUCGAGUAACACCUAUGGGAGUUGGAAAGUGGAAUAGGUCCAAUGAUUCAUUCCGUCCCAUGGUGAAGGACGAUGAAGUGUUAGCACCAGAAGUGCCAUAUGUAAAAGCAAUAUAUGCAUUAUUAUGCUUAACUUCAUGUACUCGAUAUGAUUUACCUUUUCGGUAAAUUUAUUAGAUAGACUUAUCUCAACUUACCGACACGCCAUAUGCAUCAAUGAAUGAGGCGAAACUUGUGGUUUGUAUUAGCAUUGACUAGAAGUCAUAUCCACACAAAGCUUGUUCCCAUUCCAUGGUUUAGUAUUGGGAAAAUAGCUAUGUCUUGGGGUUCUAUGAAAUGUACCUCAGUUGUCACUAGAUCAAAACAAGCAUGAUGUUUGCUUCACGAGAUAGUGAGUGAAUGCACAUGGCCUGAAGCCAUGAUUAGGCAUGUUCGAGAUUCAUGUGAAUGAAGAUCCUACGGGAUUGUAUUUUACUGUAAUACAGUAUGCAUUGAGCAAAUGAAGAUCGGCUUCAUUAAAGUGACAACUCCAUGUACAUAGCUUUGAAGUUUUCUUCAAUCAGCAACAACAAUAGCCUAAACAAAUAAUGAUCCCGCAAAUCAAAAUUUGAGAUAACUGCUCCAACUUUAAGAAUAAGUUUGCCUAAAGUCAUCUUUUGAAAACAUGUUAAGGCUAUUGACUUGAGUAGAUUAUCCGAGUUAACUCCCUUGUACAUAUCAGGGGGAGUUAACUUGAGGGGGAGUACCGUGUAGGUACUCAGUAUCCAGAAGAUACCCGGAUGCCCUGUUGUACUCUUUUUCCUGUGUGCGAGGUUUAUUUUUCCUACGGGGUUUUCGUUACUCGCCAAGGUUUUAACGAGGCAACACAUGCUGAUUGGAAAGAUUGUGCGUUGUACUCUUUUUCCUAACCGAGGUUGUUUUUUCCCACUGGGUUUUUAUUACUCGGAAGGUUUUAACGAGGCAACAUGAAAAGCACAAUAGUGUUUUGAUAGGAAUCGCCAAGGGGGUGUGUUGUAAAUAAUAUGGAAAAGUGAGUCUUCCUAUCCUAACACAUGAGAGGUUGUAACCUCCAUAAACCACUAUAGAUUCUCAACUUCCCACUACCCCAUUAUCCCCACACAUUGUAGUGGUUGUAACUCCUAUGUAACUCCUUUGUAACUUCUGGUGGAUUACACCUAUAUAAAUGAGAAUAUCCCCUCCCCUAAAUACCCACAAUUAUCUCUCUACGGAUUGUUGUUCUUUGCAUUCUUUCUUUCUCUCAUUUCCUUUUUAUUUACAUUCUUAUGUAUAUCCACAAUCACAAACCAAAGAGCUAGAUAAAUAGGCCAUUUUACAACAAUAAUUAAAAUAUUUAAAAAAUAUAAGAAUUUAUUAAUUGCAAAAUUCCGGGGGUAUUUGGGUCUUUUUAUAUGAAGUCAACCCUCAAAUGAGUAAUGGGCCGAGUGUGCUAUUUAAGUAAUUUCACAGUGGGGUUUUUGCUAGUUUAUUUAUCAUAGGGGGUUUUUCGCUGUUUAGAGAUUACGUAGGGGUACUUUUGCAGUUUACUCCAAAGAUAAUUAUAUUAUAUCAAUACAUACAACUAUCAUUUUUUUUUUUAAUUUUACCUGUAAUAACUGUUGGGAAAAUUGGUUAAAAAUUGAGUCAUGAACAAUUUUUUAUCAAUGUUAUUGUACGGUCUAAUUGAGUAUAUAAAUGAAUUUUGGAUUAGAACCAAUUUUGUGGUGAAUGAAAAAAAAUACUAGUCCAAAAUAUAAGGAAAGUGGGAUUUGAGUUAUCCCACAUUGGAAAAGUAGAGAAGUACUGAGCUGUAUAUAUAUCAAAAUAUUGGGACGGGCCAAAAACAUUAGGUCAUGGGUUUUUAACCCAUUGGGCCCUUAUUACUCGAAGCCCAUCUCGAUUGGUCUGAUUGGUCUGAAUUGGUGCGGCCGAACCAAUGCAAACCAUUCGGCUCAACUCGAAAUGGUGCAACCACUCCCAAUUGGCUCAACUCGAAAUGGUGCAACCAUUCAAAACAAAAGGUACCUUUUUGCUCCAAAGGACACUACUUUUCGAACCUUAUAAAUAGACCCUAACUUUCCCAAAAUUCCUCACUUCAAUCCAAAACAAGCCUACUACAUAUUAAGCCUACCCUUCACAGAUUCUCUCGAAAAGUUCUACACAAAGUACAGUUCGUCGUACUUGGGAUUUGGAGUGCUCCUAUUCCAAGUUUUGCCGUUGUAUCUUGGGAGACGAUUUCCAUUUAAUCCGUUAGCACCGUUGCGGGGAAAUUUCGUCUUAAGGACAGAGACAACUCGCCUCGGCAAAAUUCUCGUUCAUAGCAGAUUUCCAACAAUUAAUUAAUUUGUUCAACCAAUUUACUAAAUUCACUACCCCUUUUAUGUAUCGGGAACAACAAUCUUAAGACGAAAUCUUUUUGAUUUAGUAAAUUGUGUUUUCUGCACACUUUGGUAAACGAGAUGGAGAAGAAGAUAGUCUGCCAAAAAUCAAGAAGUUACAAAAUACAAUUGGAGAAAGUUUAUUUUCGGACAGAACAUGAAGUCCACAUUCUUUCCCAUUUUCGAAGGUGUUAAAGUCCGAAUAUGGCAAAUUAACAUUUCACAGAAGUUGUAGAUAAUCAAGUUAGCUUUCCAGAACAUGUUAGAUCGUCACAAUCGGAGAUCGUACGAGGAAGUUAUGAUGAAAACACGAAAGGGUGGCAGAACUGCCAAUGCACCUUUUCAUGAAAAAUACAAACCGUUCGUGACCAAUGCAACUCGUCGCAUAUUAACGCAUCACCAAUGUCCAAUGCACGAAAUUUUGGUGCAAAUUUACAGCACACCUAUUCCGACUUCGAGGCUUAUUUUGAUCAUGAUCCGGUCCGAAUCUCAGAAAACAUAAAAGAUAAAAGUUGUAGAAAAGUUUGUUGGCUGUUCGGAUCAUAUUGAAUCAACAAAAUCGGACUUGGGAUGGAAGAGAUAUGAAUAAAUCAUUCAGCACUGCCAUAAUAUUGACACGAUUUGGUGCUACCCACAAAUUUUGAAUUGACGAACAUAUAAUUUAUCGGGUACGCUUUUUAAUUAUAAGAAUCUAUUUGUGAAAUAUAUUGAUAAUGCUAUAUGAUAUAAUGGUGGAUUAUUGCAUGACAGUUUAAUUUUCUAUGUGGAAGCAUGGUAAACCAUAUACAAUAUAUAUGCUUAAUGAAUAUUCACGAUGUUUGUGUAUGUACAUUAAUAAUAGAAAAAUUUUUAUCCUAAAUAAAAUAAAGUGAUAGCGUAUGUGCUAAUUAUUUGAAUAAGUUUAUCAUAAACCGCAUGAUAAGUGCUAUACUAAUGACAUUUCUCAUGGAAAUGCAAUAUUUAUUUGCAUAAAUUGCUUAUAGUUUGAUAUGGGAUUAACUUUCUCCCAAUUUGAUGUGGAACUGUCCGGUUGAUUGAUUUUCGAAUAUGUGAGUACGUGAUCUUAUUAACGUUUUUACUAUUGUCAUGAUCGAUUAGACUUGUCUCAUAUAUUAAGUAUGAGUUACUUAGUAAGAGGAAUAUUAUUAUACAUAUUAUUUUUUGCGUAAGCCAUACUAAUUCCUUAGAAUUGUGUUAUUGCAUUGACAUGCAUUGAUUACGUGCUAUAGAAUUUUUAUCGAUUCAUUAUAUUGGACAUGAAUUUAUUUAUGCCAUGAAAUAUUAUGUUCAAAUUUGAUGUUAUUAUAUACUCGUGCGUAUACUAUGUAUAUGUUGAUAUAAUAUGCUUGAUAUAUUGUUUCUUUCUAUGAUCAACUAGUAUGAAAGACGUGCUCACAUGUCAAAUAUUAUGUUUAUUAUAAUAUUGAUGUACAUAUGAAUCAUACUACGGUUUAAUUAAAAGCAUGAUUUGAAAUAAAAUUGAAAGAAAGAGAAGCUCAAUUCAUGAUAACACAUGAGUAGUUCUUGUCUCAAGAACAUAAAAGAAGAUCGAAUCGUUGGUUUGAUUUGAUUUGAUAUCACAUUUGCAAAAUAAUGAUCUACAAUGUGAAUGGAUGAGAUCGGAUUUUGAUUUUUCAAAGAUCCGAAAUAGUUGUUAACAACAAUGGAUGUUUUGUUGAAAUAAAAUUCGAGCAGUUUACUUAAGAGCUCGUUUUGUAGAAUUAAAUCGUUGGAUUUGACUGAAUUUUGAACAGCAUGUUUAGGACAUGCAAUCCUAAAUUAUGAAUAAUUAAGAUUAGAAUUUAUAUAUUCUAACUUUAAUGUUGAAUAGUGGAGAUCAACCACCAUUUGAAGAGAUUAAUAUUCUCUUGUUUAUUGACAAGAUUUAAGUACCUUGACGAGUUUCUCUUUUGAGGAAAAAGAAGAAAUCUGAUUAUCUUAAUUGUUGACAAGAUUUAAGUAUCUUGAGAAGAUUUUUCUUGUUGUGCUUUCUUGAGAGAAAGAAAAACAAUACUUUGUAAUUAAAUCUUAUUGGUGAUCCAAAAUAUUUUUCUAACUAAAGAAGAAAUGUAUUUUGUUACAUUGUAUCCUUAUUAAUAAAAUAAAAAUAAGGAUUUCAGAGCAUUUAAAUGUUAUGUGAAUGAAAGUUGGAAAGUGCCAACUUUGACAAAUGAAUGAAAAAUGAGAACCAAAACUUUUGGAAAAAGUUUAUGGAUAUUAUAUUGAUAAAUUCUAGAAUAUAUACUCUAGAAUUUGUGGUGGAAAUUAGAUAUCUCGAGCUAACCACAUUAAUAUUUAGAAAUGUGGGGGUCUUUAUCCCGAGCUAACCACAUAAAUAUUUAGAAAUGUGGGGGUGUUUAGGCAAAGGUAAAAAAAAGUACCUAAGUUAAUAUACAAUGCCUAGUAUAGUUAAGUGGAUAAAAUACUUAAGCAUAUUCAUUGAAUAUGCAAAUAAUGAUUGUGCAUAAGAUAGUCAUUCUUGAUGCAAAUUACAUUAUAUUUUUCUUGUAAAAUAAGAAAAUAAAUAAGUUCUAAAUAAGAGAACUAAUAAAUGUCUAAGUGGUAAAUCAUCAAAGUGAUGAAUAACCAAGUUAAAAUAUGUGUGAUUGGUAAAUCAUCAAAGUGAUGAACAACCAAGAUACAACAAGAUGACAAAGAAAAUCAAUAUGUUUGAUUUUGAUUUGAUUUUAUAAUUUAUGAGUUAUAAAAUGAACAAAGGACAAUUAUUGAAAUAUUGUCUACAUUGGAAGAAUGUACGUGGAAGUUAGUUUGUCUUCUUCCAAGUAGUAAACCAUUAAGGUUUCGAUGGACUAUUCAAAGGAAUGAUUAAGGGUGGUCCAAUAAAGCUAAAUUAUAUAGCUAUGUAAAAAUCUUGAUUAUUUAUAACAAUGUAAUAUCAAGCUAAAUUAAAUAGCUAUGGAAAUAUUCUAAAGUAAUAUUUGAUAAAAUUGUGUUUGUAAUAACGAGUGUGGCCAGUGUGUUUAUAUUAAAAGCACAUGGAAGUAUAUGUCUAUAGACGACAUUAUAAUCAUGAGAUAGUGAUCAUGAUACUAUUUUGAACGUUGAGAAAAUAUUGGAAAAGUAAAAAUAAAAUUUUGAUGUCAAAAGACGAGGGUCUAGACGAUGUAAUCUUACAGAUUAAAAUCACUAAGACAAAGAUAGUCUUAUUGAAAGUCUCAUGUUGAGACACUACUAGAAAAUUGAUCUAGUUAUCUAAAGACCAAGGGUUUACCUUGCCAAAAAUAAUGAUGAACAAUGGUUCAAUUACAAAUAUUUUUGGAUAGUUUGGCAGCAUAAUGAAUUGCAAACUAGUAAAUAUGUAAUUCCAAAAAUAAUAAUCAUUCAAUGAUAUUAUAAGGGUUCUUAGGUAAUCUAAGUAUAGCCUUUAAAUGGAUUACAUUAAAGAAAAUAUCUUAUUGUAUUAGGAAAGUACAUUGGAUAUAUGAGUCCACUAAGAUUAUGUAUCUUGGAAAUCCUCAAACAAAAUUGAAUAGCUCGAUUCAUGGUCGAAUUCGAAUGUAUAACUUGAGAUAAGGUUAUAAAAGAAGUUGAAUAAACUUCAUAAAAUUAUUGGAGGAUGUUCCGUGUUGGACUAAGUCGGUGUCUACAAUUAUGAAUAAAUUGUGAUAACCAAUCGGUUACGUUAAGGGCACAAACGACAUGUAUAAUGGCAAGUAUCGAUACACUCGUACACAUAAGACCAUUAGGCAAUUGAUCUCAAAAGAAAUAAUAUAACAUUGAUUAUGAAAAUCAAUGGUUAAUAGCGGAUCCGCGACUAAAAGUCAACUAAAGAGAUCAAACAUAUUGCCUGUCUAGGGGAGUGAGAUUAAAACCCAUAAAUUAAGGACAAUCUUGGUGGUAACCCAACCAUGCUGACUGGAGAUCCCAAGAACUGGUUCAAAAGGGACAACUAAGCUAAGAAAGUUCAGUGAUGCACUAAGGAGUGUAUAUUCCUAUGGAAUAAUAUAUUUCCAACUCAUUCCCGUGAUAGACAUUAGUGCUGCCUGCAGAGAGGGUAAAGGAUAAGCGAAAGCUUUUAAUGAUUCCAAAACCUUAUAACAAAAGGUGAGGUAUUGGCAGGAUACCUUUAAUAGGAGAUCACCUAUGUAAGUGUAUGAAGUGAGGGCCGCUUCAAAAAAAACUUGACAAACACUUAUGAAUCCAAGAUGUGUGUCCAUGGCCAAAACGGACACAAUCAUGAGAACUAAGGAAAUGUGAGAAUAGUAUUGUGUGGGUUGCAUUGUCUUGGUUUACACGAACGGCUGACAGUUCAAGACAUCGCGUUCACUACUCAGCCUAGUAAAUCCGAUGUAACUCCACUACGGAAGGUUCAAAGCUAUAUGCUACCUAUCCCGAUGCAAUACUAUUCGCGGGAACUCUAGAGAGAAUCGACGCCCUCGUUUUCAUUCAUGUGGGGGAUUGUUGGGAAAAUUGGUUAAAAAUUGAGUCAUGAACAAUUUUUUAUCAAUGUUAUUGUACGGUCUAAUUGAGUAUAUAAAUGAAUUUUGGAUUAGAACCAAUUUUGUGGUGAAUGAAAAAAAUACUAGUCCAAAAUAUAAGGAAAGUGGGAUUUGAGUUAUCCCACAUUGGAAAAGUAGAGAAGUACUGAGCUGUAUAUAUAUCAAAAUAUUGGGACGGGCCAAAAACAUUAGGUCAUGGGUUUUUAACCCAUUGGGCCCUUAUUACUCGAAGCCCAUCUCGAUUGGUCUGAUUGGUCUGAAUUGGUGCGGCCGAACCAAUGCAAACCAUUCGGCUCAACUCGAAAUGGUGCAACCACUCCCAAUUGGCUCAACUCGAAAUGGUGCAACCAUUCAAAACAAAAGGUACCUUUUUGCUCCAAAGGACACUACUUUUCGAACCUUAUAAAUAGACCCUAACUUUCCCAAAAUUCCUCACUUCAAUCCAAAACAAGCCUACUACAUAUUAAGCCUACCCUUCACAGAUUCUCUCGAAAAGUUCUACACAAAGUACAGUUCGUCGUACUUGGGAUUUGGAGUGCUCCUAUUCCAAGUUUUGCCGUUGUAUCUUGGGAGACGAUUUCCAUUUAAUCCGUUAGCACCGUUGCGGGGAAAUUUCGUCUUAAGGACAGAGACAACUCGCCUCGGCAAAAUUCUCGUUCAUAGCAGAUUUCCAACAAUUAAUUAAUUUGUUCAACCAAUUUACUAAAUUCACUACCCCUUUUAUGUAUCGGGAACAACAAUAACUACAUCAGUUAGGUUGCUAAAAAGCUGGAUUAAGACGUCUAGAUAGUAAAUGUUUCUUGUGUAUCUCAAUUCUCAAGUGAAAGAAUCAGAACUUUACAAGUUUUAGUUCCAAUCUUACAUACAGAUAAAAAAAGAUUAGUUGAAACCAUUUUAACUUGGUAUAAGGUUAUAACAAUAAGUGCAUUAAAGUGACAUCUAAAUACUACUAGCCAAGAAAAUAAUGAAACUCAGAUUUUUCGUAAAGGAAAUAAGACUCCAGCAAGGAGAAAAGAAAAAAAAAAUGAAAAAAAAAAAAAAAAAAAAAAAAAAAAAAAAAUCACAUAUCACAGAAUAUGGAAGAAAUGUGUUAAGCACAAAGUACAAACUAGUAGGAAUUUAACCAUGAAACUACAGUACACAUUUAAGUAUUUUGGUUUGGGGGUGAUUAUAUAUAAUGUACAAAAUUAAGUAUUCCAAAUAGUUGUUAAGGAAUGUGACAAAUACAUAUUAGUCCACUAUAAAAUUGUGCUUAAUCCAGACUACAUGGAACUGAAGAAAAGUGACCAUGCAUAAAAUUGUAUCAAUAGAUAAAUACAUGCAUAUUAUAAUUUAUAGCACGAAUUAAUAAAUUUAAACACUCAAUUACCAUAGCAUGAAUGUCUAGGUCAAAUUUCAAAUUGAUUUCGAGAAACAUAAUUUCUUGGGAAGAAAAGAACAUUUUAAACCGAAGGUUUAUACUGAAAAUCCCCUUUAUCAAUGUUAAAACAUAGAGAUUAAAAAAAAUCAAUUAUUUUCUAUAUCAAUACAACUAUAAGAUAAAUACAUCACAUUUUUACCCUUUUGCUAAAACAUGAAUGAGGACAAUCGUUGAUUUUCAUUACCUCGUCCUUCAACGAGCGAACCAGGCAUCGAUGAUGUGGUACUCCUUACGAUCAAUUUUUACUAGGUUCGUACUGUAAACUGUAAAUUCUUAGGAUCAUACUAGGUUGUACUAGUACUUAAAAUCAACGAUUAUAAUUAUUCACUAAUUAUUUUCUACGCACCAAAUUCAAUCGUUUAGGUCCGAGUAGUACAACCCCUCUCGGAACCUAGACAACCCCAUAUUAAAUCGGACCCUAGACAACCCCAUAUUAAAUAGAUUUAAAAUUGAUAAAAAAUAUAAAGGAUAAUAAAGUCAUUUGUAUAAAUUUAUUAAUUUUAUUCUUUAAAUCUGAUAUUUAAAUAGUAAGGGCUUUUAGGUCAAUACACAUAAAAAUUAAAAUUUGUAUUUUUUUUGACACGUGUCGUGUCAGCCAUUAACAUCCUACCUGAACAGCAAGUUCUAAAUAAUAUAUAUAUAUGAAUAUUACUAACUGUUUUAACGGUAUAAAAAAAAUAAAACAAGCAAAACAAAAAGUAUGAUUUAAUGAAAAAAACAUUAUUCAAGAAGAUAAAAUCCGAAAUUAAUCAUAAUAAUGAAGCGCCGCCUUGAUCUUUUUAACGGUGGAGCUGAUUAGGGUAUGCACGGUGGCGACGGACUCCAUAUUCAGUUGCGUUGUCAAUUGGCUGUGACAAAUUAAGAUCUGGAAAGCAACUGUGAGAAGCGAGCCACCGCUACCGGUGUUGGAACUGGUUGAAGCUCCGUUGGUGCCUCUGCUGCUAGCACGGCCAUCGGUAGAUAUCACAAAACCCGACGGCAGAAUCGGUAUUUUCGUUGCGUCGUCCCCAUUCACCACAGAGAGGAGAGCCUUUAAAUCCAUCGGGGCGUAGAUUAUGGCUGCCCCUAGAGAGUCGAUGCUACUCUCUUGCAGCACCACCAUCUUAUUUUCUUUGGGCACAAAAGGCUGCAGAUUUAAUAAAAAAAAUAUAUUUCAAUGAUAUUAAAGUGAAGUUAAAAAGAUAAUAAUAAUAAUAACAAAUUGUUAAAUAAACUUUAUUGUGCUAAUUGCGUGCUCGAUAAACUGUGUCGUGUCUACACUAACAAUGCACAAUAGUUCCAGUUUCGGUAGUGCAAAUGCAGUAGGAUGACAAUUUAUGAUAAAUUAACGACUUUAUUGUGCUAGCUGCGUGCUACAUAAAUUCUGCGUCGUAUUUGAACUAAUAGUGCACACGUAAAUAUUUAUUUCGAUUCCGGUUUUAGUGCAAAUGUAGGUCGAUAUCAAUUUAUAAUAAAUUAACAAUUAAUCAAAUUAUACGCUGUUCAAAAUCAAAUUACGAGUAAACGAACUAUGGCACCCCAGCUUUUAUCAAGGCACUAAUUAAUUUUAUUUUCAUUCUAUAGAUCACAUUGAUUGAGAAGCUUGUUGUACAUUUAUCGGCCUUCAUACCAAUUUCGAGCCCAGUAAACAAAUAAUUAAUUAAUUAAUUAAAUAAAUCGGUAAGUAACCUGGACGAUGGAGAUACGAUUUCCGGGAUGUGUCCCGGUUGAGAUAAGACAUCCCACUGCACAUAACAUAUAAACACAUUUUUAGUCUUUCUAUCUUAUUUCCAAUCCAUUAAGACAUCGUUUGGUUGCCAAGAUUGGAUUAGUCGGGACAAGAUUACAUAAUCUUAUAAAACAAAGUUGCAAUUUGAUAAUCGAGACAAAAGUCGGUAACUUAUUUUUUUUUACGUACCUGUGCUCUUCUUUUCUCGUCUUGGAAGAAGUUGAAGAGAUGCUCCUUCGAAAAGGGAAGCCAAAGCGAGGUAGCUGCGCUAACAAUGAAUCCAUCAGGUUGAUGAGGUCCGUUACUUUUCCGGAGCGAGACACAAACUCCGCUAUUUUGAUAUUCCGACGGAUUUGGAAAAUCGAGUUUAUCCGACAUGCACAAUACUUCGAAAAAACUCUCCACCAUUCUUCGGGAAAGAUUCAUUACGUUUCUCUUUCCUUCAAGUGACUCGAUAACUGAAUGACAAAUGAACGGAAAUAGUAAUUAACGGUUUUUUAACCACAAUUUCUUAAUAAUAAUAAUAAUAUACCUCCUUCGAGUUCGUUUGUUGGUGUGGCGAUUAGCCCAUUUGAGAAUGCAAAUCUCUCGCACAUUCGUUGAAGAGUAAUAAUCCAUCGUUUGGCUCCAUAUGCUUGAGAACCACAAACGAAGUCUCUGUACAGACGAUGAGUCGAUAAUUUGUCGUCCACUUGUACAUGUUCAAUCCAUGUAACCUAUUCAAGAAAAUUGAUAUUCAGUAUGUAGACAGUGUAAAAGAAUAGAGUUAAUAGCAUUCGGCACCCCGUAUUACAUCAAAUUGCUAAAAACACCCAUGAGUUCUGUCUUGAAACUCUAAAUCGACACAUAAUAUGAGAUAAAGAUGCACUUAAAAAGAAACAAAUGGGUUUUUAUAUAGAGAACUCACUGUUGAUUUUCCAUUUGAAAUAUCUUGAAUAAUACACCCUGAAGGAAACCUCCAAGAACGAGUGGGAACGGAAUCUUGGAGCUGUGUUAUGAAAUCGUAGGACACGUCCACCAACACCCAAGUGCUCGAAUUAAUUUGGCGGAAAUAUCGAAUGAAGAAAAAUUCCCGGGGAGCAACGAGUGGUGACAAAAUGUGCAUUUUUUGAUACAUCUGCGCACCAAAAUAAGUCAAAACAUUCAAUUUUUUAUCCAUUCAGAUAUCCCGAAAAAAACAAUGAUAACAAUAAUAAUAAGGAUUUUUUGAGGUCCUUACCAAAUGUAACAAACCACCAAAUAUUCCAGUAUCGAUUACUUCAAGGGUCGUCGCUUUCGUGACGAUGGUCGGAAAAAUUUCCUUCCAUUUGUUCUGCAAAUUAUUAGCAAAUAAAUUUUCACUUUUAAAAUAAAAUUAANNNNNNNNNNNNNNNNNNNNNNNNNNNNNNNNNNNNNNNNNNNNNNNNNNNNNNNNNNNNNNNNNNNNNNNNNNNNNNNNNNNNNNNNNNNNNNNNNNNNUCAGUCGAAAUUUUCACAAGGUACCCAUUAUAAAAAGGGUUUUUUGAGGGCCUUCCAAAAGUAACAAACCCCCCAAAUUUUCCAGUUUUGGUUUCUUCAAGGGUGGGUGCUUUUUGGGAGGUUGUUGGAAAAAAUUCCUUCCCUUUUUUUUGCCAAAUUUUUGGAAAAAAAUUUUUCCCUUUUUAAAUAAAAUUUAAAGGAAAAAAAAAAAAAAAAAAAAAAAAAAAAAAAAAAAAAAAAAAACUCCAAUGUGUAACAUAUAUACCACAUCAACAAGCAUUUCGAUUAAAUGUGUGGCAGACAUUGCCACCUCCCCCGAAUCUUUCGAAGAUUCAAACCGAGCACUUGAAGUGUUGACCUGAUUUGACUUGGGGAAAAUCAUAUCGUAACUAUCUCGACGUAAUGUACAUCUCCCAUGAUCCGAUGGAGCUUCGAUCCACAGUGGCUCGUUCACACGUAACAGCUCCAUAAGUUCGUUCAUGGCAGCGACAGCUGUCUCGAUAAUGACAGAUUUAUCCACAUGUGUCACACUUGUUGACCAAUGCUGCGACAUAUAUUGUUGACCAGGUGCACUAGUACUGGGCUCCGUUCCAACGGAAGGCAGAAUUGGAUUUCCCAUGUAAUUGGUCAAGAAGUUGACCGCUCGUUCGUG